rnacentral:lncRNA from 1 species
AAACCCUCUAUUCCACACUUCCCACAUCUAUAAAAACCUCAAAACGCAUCAAAACUAAUGCAGAAACAAACUUGCACCCAUAUCUACUGAUUGUAAUAACCAAAUAUAUAUAUCUUUCAUCUCUUAAAGCAUUAUUCGCCACUAGUUAUAUACAUAUCAACAAUGGCAUCCUUCUCUUUCUCAUCCGUUAUGCUACCACUUUUGCUAAUCGCUUUAUCGUCAAUGAGCUUUAACAUUGAUUUGAUCGCUGCUCGCCAUCUUCUAGAGGCAACAGUUCCAGAAAUCCCCAAGCCUGAAUUGCCUAAGGUUGAAUUGCCACCGUUACCAAAACCUGAAAUACCACAAAUUCCAAAGCCUGAAUUACCUGAGAUUCCAAAGCCUGAGCUUCCUAAAAAACCUCAAUUACCAGAGAUUCCAAAGCCAGAACUACCGAAGAAACCUGAAUUACCUGAGAUUCCAAAGCCUGAGUUGCCAAAAGAACCAGAAUUGCCAGAGAUUCCGAAAGCUGAGGUGCCAAAAGAGCCUGAAGUACCUGAACUUCCGAAGCCUGAGUUGCCCAAAGUGCCUGAGGUGCCAAAAGAGCCCGAAGUACCUGAACAUCCGAAGCCUGAGUUGCCCAAAGUGCCUGAGGUGCCAAAGGAGCCCGAAGUACCUGAACUUCCAAAGCCUGAGUUGCCCAAAGUGCCUCAGGUGCCAAAAGAGCCCGAAGUACCUGAACAUCCGAAGCCUGAGUUGCCCAAAGUGCCUGAGGUGCCAAAGGAGCCCGAAGUACCUGAACUUCCAAAGCCUGAGUUGUCCAAAGUGCCUGAGGUGCCAAAGGAGCCCGAAGUACCUGAACUUCCAAAGCCUGAGUUGCCCAAAGUGCCUGAGGUGCCAAAAGAGCCCGAAGUACCUGAACAUCCGAAGCCUGAGUUGCCCAAAGUGCCUGAGGUGCCAAAGGAGCCCGAAGUACCUGAACUUCCAAAGCUUGAGUUGCCCAAAGUGCCUGAGGUGCCAAAAGAGCCCGAAGUACCUGAACAUCCGAAGCCUGAGUUGCCCAAAGUGGCUGAGGUGCCAAAGGAGCCCGAAGUACCUGAACUUCCAAAGCCUGAGUUGCCCAAAGUGCCUGAGGUGCCAAAAGAGCCCGAAGUACCUGAACUUCCAAAGCCUGAGUUGCCCAAGGCGCCUGAAUUGCCUUCUUUCCCCCAUCUACCUGAGCUUCCUAAGCCGACAUUUCCCCCCAUCCCGAGUCUUCCCAAGGAGAUGCCAACUCACUCAACCACCAAUCCUUAAAUUCCAUUUUCUUCAAAUGCUUUCCCGAGCUUCAUCUGGUUCUCUGCAGAUGUAUAUCAAUAAAUUAUAUUUGUUGUUUCUUGUUUUGAGACUUUCCAAAUUUGUGUGUUUUCCCUUUUGAGGAUUCUUUUUGUUAUUGUUUUUAAAUCUGGGAUACGACUCGUGAUGAGUUCGGCUACGCAGGACUACUGUUGUAUUCAUUUCUACAUAAUAAAUUGAGUGAUAUAUAUUGUAUUUUUAUGUUUAGCAGUCUGAUUUGAGGUUUCUGAUUUUAUAUGUGCUCUAUCACGUAAUUGCAUUUUAUCUUCAUUUUGACGUCAGUCGAAAAUGUAUAGGAAAUUUAAAAUAAUGAUGAUUGCUGUGUCACAUCGAUUAAAUUGGUAUUUAAUUUUUUGUGAUUUUAAAAUAUACAGAAAAAUAAAUUAAAGAGACAACUUUUUGUUUUGUGUUUCAGCAUUCGAAGCUAGAAAGACCUAAACGAACUUCAGCACCGCAGCGACAGUGAUAUUUUAGAAAAAUAAACUAGGACGACCCUUUAUCUGAUCAUCAAGGGGAGAAAAAUCAGAUUUAUUUGUUCCCUUUGACCACACAGUCGGUUAUGAUUUUGUCGAACAGCAAACCGUGAAGAGCUACGUGCCCAAAAUAGGAAUGUUUACGUGACUUUUAGACUAGAGCUGUCACUAAUGUUUAAUAUGAAACUAAUCCAUCCUGAACUAGAUUUACAACUUUUGUAAAUGUUUUUUUGCAGAAUAAAUAUUCUCACUUGAGACGAAAUAUCCCCAUUACACAAGGUCCAUAAAAAAAAUGAUUAAUUUGCAGAGAGAGUUACAAAAAAAAUGAUUAAAUUAUAGAGAGAGCUUACAUUAAAACCAGAUAAGGACAGAAGUUAGUAACUCAAUUGAUCAAUUCUAACAAGGAACAAGAAACAAGGAGCAAAAGUGAAUUAUAUAAAACUAGCUAGUAUUAAUAUUCAAAAACAAAGUAAUAAAAUGAAAUGAAUUAUUUUAGGCUCAAGUUCUAGCACUUGACACGUGAUAUUUUUUGGUCUGAUUUUUUUGAAGUACACACAUGUGCAUUUGAUUAUCCUGAUUUGAGCUUUUUGUUGGGAAAAAUCGGGUGGGUGAAGUAGACACGCAAUUUAAAUGAAAUAAAAAAAUAAUGAUCAUACAGGGACACCAGAAUUUAUGUGGUUUGACUUUUAGCAUACGUCCAUAUGUUGUCAGAUAUGCUAGAGUGCAUUUACUUAUGCUGUCAGAUAUGCUAAACUUUAAUCUAUGCUGCUUACUUGUAGCACAGUGCUCGCAAAAUGAUAAGUUCACCUAUUUAAGCCCUGGAAGCAACUUUUUCCCAGAGAGAAUCUUCAAACCUUGUUUCCACAUGUGGCCAAGUUUGAGAUGCACAUCAUUGUCGAUUCUUCUCUAUUUGACGCAACACAAGCAGUAGCUUCUUGCAAUGUUUCCCCUUUAAGCAUGAAUAAAUUGGCACAUAUAUUUUCUGCCUUCAUCAAUACAAGCGUACUUCUGACAAUCUUCAUGAUCCCAUUUUCCACCUGAGUUUUAUAGUCAAGACUAUCUAUUUGUCCUAAAGACAAUAGAUUUUUUUUCAUACAUUUGACAUGCAGUACCUCCUAAAUAGUGCAAAUAUACCAUCAAAUAUUUUUAUUUUGAUAGAACCAACACUAGCAAUCUCCAAGGUAUGAUUAUCACCCAUAUAUACCGAUUCUCCUAAGAUAGGUUCAUAUUUGUGGGAUUAUUCUCUCUAAGAGGUCCUGUGCCAGUAGCUCUUGAGUCUAUAAACCAGACGUCAGAUAGUUUUUUUCUGCCUUCUGCAACCAUAACUGCCUCGUUGUAUAAAACGUCAUCAUCAUAUGAGGUACUUACUACACACCCCUAAGUAUUUGAUGACUUAGGAUCUUUACCCUCUCCUUUCUACUGGUAACUCCAACACUCUUUCUUGACAUGCCAUAUUUUUCCACAUUUGUAGCAUCUGAUUUUCUUCUUACUUCUUAAAUUUGAUCUACCAUGAUUGUGACUCCUACUAGGACUACGUUUCACUGACCUCCCUCUCAUCAUCAUGCGCUUCCACUUGCAGCGAACUUGCUUAACUGUCUUCCUAGUUUUUGCGCCUACUCUCUUAUUCUAAUACAGAGGCUGUAACAUCAUCGAAGACUAAGUACUCCAUAAGGAUAUUGUUCAUCAAGUUGAUGAUGAGUUGAUCAUAUGAGUCAGGUAAACUUUAAAGUAGAAGCUCUGCACGUUCAAUUUCUUCUAUUUUAUACCCAACGUCGUAAGUUGUGAAAAUAGAGUUUUAAGAGUGUUGAUAUGGUCGCUCAUCGUUAUGGUUUCCGCAAUUCGAAAAGUAUAGAGUCUCCUCUUCAAAAAGAUAUUAUUGUGUAGUGACUUGGCCUCAUACAGUUUUGUGAGAGUAUCCCAAAUACCUUUCAUUGUCUUUUCCUCCGCCACACUAGAUAACACCCCAUCUGAGUGCCAGGUGUAGAUCAACAAUUGCAUUGCUGUCACUUCAUUCCACUUGUCACCAGUGAUUUUUGCAGGCCUUUCCCCAAUUAUUUUUAAGCAAUUAUUUUUCCUCAAGACUAGGUACUCCGUAAGGAUAUUGUUCGUCAAGUUGAUUAUAUAAGUCAGGUAAACUUUGAAGUAGAAGCUCUGCACAUUUAAUUUCCUCUACUUUAUGCCAAACAUCAUAAGUUGUGAAAAUAAAGUUUUAAGAGUGUUGGUAUGGUCGAUCACCGUUGUGGUUUCCCCCAUUCGAAGAGUAUAGAGUCUCCUCUUCAAGAAGAUUUUGUUGUGUAGUGACUUGAUCUCGUAUAGUUCUGUGAGAGUAUCCCAAAUACCUUUCACUGUCUUUUCCUCUGCCACACUAGAUAACACCCCAUCUGAGUGCCAGGUGUAGAUCAACAAUUACAUUAUUGUCCAUUCAUUCCACUUGUUACCAGUGAUUUUUGCAGGUCUUUCCCCAAUCACUUUUAAGCAAUUAUUUUUCCUCAAGAUUGCCCGCAUCCUCAUUUUCCAUAACGAGAAAUUGCUCCCGUUGAACUUCUUAAUUUCAAACGUUGCUGUCAUUUUGUUAAUACCGCACACAAGUUAGUGUACCUCCUUGAAUAGUUAUGAGUGAUCACACGUGUGAAUAUGCACACUACGAAAGUUCCUAAGAAAGACUGGAGGGGUCACAAUGAUCCCACUUAAAAUCCAAACUUCUUAAACUCUUAUUGCCUUUAUGACAGAAUUUUCCUAGAUAUGUACAAGACCACACAAUUACUUUCACUCACAUCACUAUUCCCUACUUUGUACCGCAGAAUUCUUGGAUCGCUCCCAUCGUUUCAUGUGAAUAAUGCCGUAUACGUGAAUAGUAUUGUAUAUGUGAAUAGUAUCGUAUACGUGAACAAUACCCGACUCCAAAGAUUUGCAACCAAUGGCUCUGAUACCACUUGUUGGGAAAAUUCAGCGGGUGAGUAGACAUACAACUAAAGUGAAAUUGAAAAAUAAUUAUCAUACAACAACACCAGAAUUUACAUAGUUCAGUUUUUAGCCUACGUCCACAUGCGAAGACAGAAGGAAAUAUUUUGCUAGUAAAAAUGAGUUACAAGUAUUAUAGUAUUUUUGUCUCACAACCCAAAACUCCAGUACACUAAAACUCUGAAAAACACUAGAACUAGAGUACAAAGCUCUCAACACUCUCAACUUACACCUCUUGGCACUCUCACUCUCACCAGAGAAAAUGAGAUGAUUCAAGAGGGCAAAUGAAGCCUUUAUUUAUAGGCCAGGUAAUGUCUAAAAAUCAAGGAUGGUGGGCAUUAAAAUAAUAUAAAUUUUCUCUGAACCUUCUACUUUGGUGCCAGAGUCAAAAGCUAUAUUACUCUCACUUACUCAUGUCUCCCACUUACUCAAUAAUUUUAUGACGAGAGUCAAAAGUUGCAUGCUAACCACAUGCAAUUGUUUGCCACAUGCAUACAUAUGUUCAACACUUUUACCUGAGUAAAUAUAAAUUGGUAAUUGACUUUUACAUAAUUCGUUAAGAUUAUUGGCGAAAAGAUGGUGCCCCAAGUACUACAUAUCAAAAUUGUGGCCAACAAACAGGAGAUCUUACAUAAAAUAUGAUCAAAUGACACGACGUUGAUUCGUACGUAAAUAUGCUUUUGACUUGUUCAUGAUUAAUAUUGAUAAGACACAUUUGACCAACCACGACAACGUUUGAAAAUAACCAAUGCAUAAUGGAUAACAUGUGCUUCCAACCACAACAAAUAGUUAAUCUGGCUUAAAAUCUCAAUCAUAGAGCGUUCAAUCUUCUUUCUUGUAGCAUUCAAAUACAAGGAGAAGACAAUCUGAUAAAUUAAUUGAAGAGGAAAAAUGGGAAUAAGAGAAACGGCAUGUCGCUGUUAACAUCCAUUAGGAAAUGAAAUUCAAUUACGUAUUAGUGUGUUUUCGAGAAGGGAAGCUUAUGUCAUUAGGUGUUUUAUGACAUAUAUGACCACAAAGUUAUAAAAUAAUGUUAAUUUUUUUUUAUUAUUAACUCAGGCAUACAUUAAAAUUCGAACUCAAGGUUUGAGCCUUAGAAAGGCCGUUCCUUACCAUAGGAACUGGCUUCAAUAAUCUUAAAUAAUUUGCAGAAAAGUAUUGAAUAAAAUAAUCAUUCAGAGGUUAUUAUUUUAACCAUUUACCUUCUUUUUUUUCACAGGGGAUAUAUGAAAAGAUAAUGAAUAAUCCCUUAAUAUAACAAUUAAUUGCAAUAUAAUUGCUUAUAUAACAUAUUAUACAAUGAUAUAUAAUCGUUAUGACGUACGUGGAAUUAGCAGAAGUGAGAGGUUGAUGAACUAACAAGACAUAAAUUUCUUACCAAGUACCAACCCAAGCUUAAUUUAUUUAUAUUUUACUAUUUUAGUCAUACCUACCCAAUCUUGAAACCCUCUAUUCUACGCUUCGCCACACCUAUAAAAGCCUCAUAACACAUGAAAUCAAUGCAUAAACACAUUUGAUCCCUUCUCUUUUGAUUGUUAUUACCGCAACACAAUAUAUGUUUCAUCUCUUAUAGCUUUAUUCGGCAAUAGUUCAACCAUGGCAUCCUUCUCUUUCUCAUCCGUUAUGCUACCACUUUUGCUAAUCGCUUUAUCGUCAAUGAGCUUUAACAUUGAUUUGAUCGCUGCUCGCCAUCUUCUAGAGGCAACAGUUCCAGAAAUACCCAAGCCUGAAUUGCCUAAGGUUGAAUUGCCACCGUUACCAAAACCUGAACUACCACAAAUUCCAAAGCCUGAAUUACCUGAGAUUCCAAAGCCUGAGCUACCUAGAAAACCUGAAUUACCAGAGAUUCCAAAGCCUGAGUUGCCAAAAGAACCUGAAUUGCCAGAGAUUCCGAAACCUGAGGUGCCAAAAGAGCCUGAAGUACCUGAACUUCCAAAGCCUGAGUUGCCCAAAGUGCCUGAGGUGCCAAAAGAGCCCGAAGUACCUGAACAUCCGAAGCCUGAGUUGCCCAAAGUGCCUGAGGUGCCAAAAGAGCCUGAAGUACCUGAACAUCCGAAGCCUGAGUUGCCCAAAGUGCCUGAGGUGCCAAAAGAGCCCGAAGUACCUGAACAUCCGAAGCCUGAGUUGCCCAAAGUGCCUGAGCUGCCAAAGGAGCCCGAAGUACCUGAACUUCCAAAGCCUGAGUUGCCCAAAGUGCCUGAGGUGCCGAAAGAGCCCGAAUUGCCUUCUCUGCCUCAUCUACCUGAGCUUCCUAAGCCCACAUUUCCCGCCAUCCCGAGUCUUCCCAAGGAGAUCCCAACUCACUCGACCACCAAUCCUUAAAUUUCAUCUUCUCCAAAUGCUUUCUCGAGCUUCAUCUGGAUGUAUACUAAUAAAUUAUAUUUGUUGGUUCUUGUUUUGAGACUUUCCAAAUUUGUGUGUUUUCACUCUUGAGGAGUUUUUUGUUAUUGUUUUUAAGUCUGGGAUACGACUCGCGAUGAGCUCCGCUCCACAGGAGUACUGUUGUAUUCAUUUUUACAUAAUCUAUUGAGUGAUAUUUAUUGUACUUUUAGGUUUAGCAGUCUGAUUUGAGGUUUCUGAUUUUAUGUGCUCUAUGACAUAUAUUACAUUUUAUCUUCAUUUUGACUUUAGUCGAAAACGUAUAGCAAAAUAAAAGAGACAUUUCAUAUCUCUGCAGGGUUCAAGCUCUACGUUCACUAAACAAACAUCAGCAUCGCAGCAGCAUUGAUAUAUAUAUAUAUAUAUAUACGUAAAAUGAACUAGGGCACUGUCUCCUUGUCUAAGGUUUAAAAUGAUGAUGAUUGCUGUGUCACAUCGAUUAAAUUGGUAUUUAAUUUUUUAUGAGUUUAAAAUGUACAGCAAAAUAAAUUAAAGAGACAUCUUUUUGUUUUGUGUAUUGCCGAACGUUUCAGCAUUCGAAGCUAGAAACACCUAAACAAACUUCAGCACCGCAGCGACAGUGAUAUUUUAGUAAAAUAAACUAGGACGACCCUUUAUCUGAUCAUUAAGGGGAGAAAAAUCAGAUUUAUUUGCUCCCUUUGACCACAUAGUCGGUUAUGAUUUUGUCCAACAACAAACCGUGAAGAGCUACGUGCCCAAAAUAGGAAUGUUUACGCGACUUUUAGACUACAGCUAUCACUAAUGUUUAAUAUGAAACUAAUCCAUCCUGAACUACAUUGACAACUUUUGUAAAUGGUUUUUUGCAGAAUAAAUAUUCUCAUUUGAGACGAAAUAUCCCCAUUACACAAGGUCCAUAAAAAAAAUGAUUAAAUUACAGAGAGAGUUACAAAAAAAAAAGAAUAAAUUAUAGAAAGAGCUUACAUUGAUACCAGAUAAGGACAGAAGUUAGUAACUCAAUUGAUCAAUUCUAACAAGGAACAUGAAAAAAGGAGCAAAAGUGAAUUAUAUAAAACUAGCUAGUAUUAAUAUUAAAAAACAAAGUAAUAAUAAAAUGAAAUUAAUUAUUUUAGGCUCAAGUUCUAGCACUUGACACGUGAUUUUUGUGUCUGAUUUUUUUAAGUACACACAUGUGCAUUUGAUUAUCCUGAUUUGAGCUUUUUGUUGGGAAAAAUCGUGUGGGUGAAGUAGACACGCAAUUAAAAUGAAAUUGAAAAAUAAUGAUCAUAUAGGGACACCAAAAUUUACGUGGUUAAACUUUUAGCCUACGUCUAUGGGCAAGGGCAGAAGGAAAUAUUUUACUAGUGAAAAGGAGUUACAAGUGUUGUAGUGUUUUGUCUCAUAACCCAAAACCCCAAUAUACCCAAACUCUAAAAAAACAAUAGAACUAGAGCUCAAAGCUCUCAACACUCUCAACUUGCGCCUCUUGGCACUCUCACUUGAAUUGGGGAAAAUGGCAUGAUUGGAGGGUAAAUGAAGCCACUAUUUAUAGGUCAGGCAAUGCCCAAAAAUCAACAAUGCUAAUAAUAUAAAAUUUCUCUCAACUUCCACUUUGGUUCGACUUGCGCUUUGUAUUCUUUCAACACUGGAAAUGCAUCUGACUUUUUCUUGAUUCGAUACUCCUAACAUCGCCUGGACUAUUCAUCAAUGAAAGUCACCACGUACUUUGAACCUCCCAAGGACUUAUCCGGCAAUUCCCAAACAUCAGAAUGAACCAAAUCUAGAAUGCAUUUAGUUAUGGUGUCAGAUCUGGUGAACUUUAAUCUAUGUUGCCUACUUGUAACACAAUGCUCACAAAGCGAUAAGUUUACCUAUUUAAGCCCUGAAAGCAACUUCUGCCCAAAGAGAAUCUUCAAACCUUGUUUCGACAUGUAGCCAAGUUUAAGAUGCUACAUCAUCGCCAAUUAUUCUCUCUUUGACGCAACACGAGCAUUAUCUUCUUGCAGUGUUUCCCCUUUAAGCAUGAAUAAAUUAGCACUGAUCUUUCCGCCUUCAGCAAUACAAACGUACUUCCGACAAUCUUCGUGAUCCCAUUUUCCACCUAAGUUUUACAACCAAGACUGUCUAUUUGUCCUAAAGACAAUAGAUUUUUUUUUCAUGCCUUUGAUAUGACAUACCUCCUUAAUAGUGCAAACUAUACCAUCAAACAUUUUUAUUUUGAUAGAACCAACACUAGCAAUCUCCAAGGUAUGAUCAUCACCCAUACAUACAGAUCCUCCUAAGAUAGGAUUAUAUUUGUGGAACUAUUCUCUUUGAGAGGUCAUGUGCCAGUAGCUCUUAAGUCUAUAAGCCAGACGUCAGAUAGUUUUUUUCUGCUUUCUUCAACCAUAAUUGCCUCGUUGUAUAAAAUGUCACCAUUAUCUGAGGUACUUACUACACACCCCUAAGUAUUUGAUGACUCAGGAUCUUUACCCUCUCUUCUCUUCUGUUAACUCCAAUACUCUUUCUUGACAUGUCCUAUUUUGGCACAUUUGUAGCAUCUGAUUUUCUUCUUACUUCUUGACUUUGAUCUACAAUGAUUGUGACUCCUACUAGGACCACGUUCCGCUAAUCUCCCUUUCACCAUCGUUAGUGCUUCUGCUUACAGCGAACUUGCUUACCUGUCGUCAUAGUUCUUGCACCUACUCUCUUAUUAAAAUGGAGAGGCUGCAACAUCAUCAAAAACUAAGCACUCCGUAAAGAUAUUGCUCGUAAAGUUGAUGAUGAGUUGAUCAUACGAGUUAGGUAAACUUUGAAGUAUAAGCUUUGCACGUUCAAUUUCCUUUAUUUUAUGCCCAACGUCGUAAGUUGUGAAAAUAGAGUUUUAAGAGUGUUGAUAUGGUCGGUCAUCGUUGUGGUUUCCGCCAUUCGAAAAGUAUAGAGUCUCCUCUUCAAGAAGAUAUUGUUGUAUAGUAACUUGGUCUCGUACAGUUUUGUUAGAGUAUCCCAAAUACCCUUCACUGUUUUUUCCUCCACCACACUAGAUAACACCCCAUCUGAGUCCCAGGAGUAGAUCAACAAUUGCAUUGCUGUCAAUUCAUUCCAUUUCUCACCAGUGAUUUUUGCAGGUCUUUCCCUAAUUGCUUUUAGGCAAUUAUUUUUCCUCAAGACUAGGUACUCCAUAAGGAUAUUGUUCGUCAAGUUGAUUAUACGAGUCAGGUAAACUUUGAAGUAGAAGCUCUGCAUGUUCAAUUUCUUUUAUUUUAUGCCAAACAUCGUAAGUUGUGAAAAUAGAGUUUUAAGAGUGUUGAUAUGAUCGGUCGCCAUUGUGGUUUCCCCCUUUCGAAGAGUAUAGAGUCUUCUCUUUAAGAAGAUUUUGUUGUGUAGCGACUUAAUCUCGUACAAUUUUGUAAAAGUAUCACAAAUACCUUUCACUGUCUUUUCCUUUGCUACACUAGAUAACACCCCAUCUGAGUGCCAGGUGUAAAUCAACAAUUGCAUUGUUGUCCAUUCAUUCCACUUGUCACCAGUGAUUUUUUCAGGCCUUAAAAUAAUUGUUCUGCUACACUAGAUAACACCCCAUCUGAGUGCCAGGUGUAAAUCAACAAUUGCAUUGUUGUCCAUUCAUUCCACUUGUCACCAGUGAUUUUUUCAGGCCUUAAAAUACUUGCUUUUAAGCAAUUGUUUUUCCUCAAGAUUGCCCGCAUCUUCAUUUUCCAUAACGAGAAAUUGCUCCCGUUGAACUUUUUAAUUUCAAACUUUGUUGUCAUUUUGGUAAUACCGCACACAAGUUAGUGUACCUCCUUGAAUAGUUAUGAGUAAUCACACAUGUGAAAAUGCACAUCAGGAAAGUUCCUAGGAAAGACUAGAGGGGUCACAACGAUCCCACUUAAAAUCUAAACUCCUUAAACUCGUAUUGCCGUUAUGACAGAACUUUCCUAGAUAUGUACAAGACCACACAAUUACUUUCACUCACAUCACUAUUCCCUGCCUUGCACCAUAGAAUUCUUAGAUCGCUCCCAUCGUUUCGUGUGAAUAGUGCCGUAUACGUGAAUAAUAUUGCAUACGUGAAAUCUGACUGCAAAAGAAUGCAACCAAUGGCUCUGAUACAACUUGUUGGGAAAAUUCAACAGGUGAAGCAGACACGUAACUAAAGUAAAAUUAAAAAAAUAAUGAUCAUACAGGAACACCAGAAUUUACGUAGUUCAGCUUUUAGCCUACAUCCACAUGCGAAGACAGAAGGAAAUAUUUUCCUAGUGAAAAGGAGUUACAAGUAUGAUAGUAUUUUUGUCUCACAACCCAAAACCCUCGUACACCCAAACUCUCAAAAACACUAGAACUAGAGCACAAAGUUCUCAACACUCUCAACUUAUACCUCUUGGCACUCUCACUCGAACUAGAGAAAAUGAGAUAAUUCAAGAGGGCAAAUGAUGCCUCUAUUUAUAGGCCAAGCAAUGCCUAAAAAUGUGGGCAUUAAAAUAAUAUAAAAUUUCUCUCAACCUUCUACUUUGAUGCCAAAGUCAAAAGUUAUAUUCCUCUCACUUACUCAUGUCUCCCUCUUACUCAACAAUUUUAUGAGAAGAGUCAAAAGUUGCAUGCUAACCACAUGCAAUUGUUUGCCACAUACAUGCACAUGUUCAACACUUUUACCUGAGUAAAUAUAAAUUGGUAAUUGACUUUUACAUAAUUCGUUAAGAUUAUUGGCGAAAAGACGGUGUCCCAAGUCCUAAUAUUUAAUUGUACAGUUGAUUGCAGUUUAGCUAUAUACUAAAGGAUGUCAUUUGGUCAAGCUUCAUUCAAAAUUGUGGCCAACAAACUGAGAUCUUAUAUAAAAUAUCAUCAAAUGACACGACGUUGAUCUCCAUUUUUUUAACACAAUAUCACAUAACUAAACAAAAGAAUUCGUACGUAAAUAUCCUUUUGACUUGUUUAUGAUUAAUAUUGAUGAAACACAUUUGACCAACCACAACGUUUGAAAAUAUUCAAUGCAUAAUGGAUAACAUAUGCUUCCAACCACAACAACUAGUUAAUCAGGCACUCAAAUACAAGAAGAAGACAAUCUGAUAAAUUAAUUGAAGUGGAAAAGAUGGGAAUAAGAGAAACGGCAUGUCGCUGUUAACAUCCAUUAGGAAAUGAAAUUCAAUUACGUAUUAGUUUGCUUUCGAGAAGGGAAGCUUAUGUCAUUAGGUGUUUUAUGACAUAUAUGACCCCAAAGUUAUAAAAUAAUGUUAAUUUUUUUUUAUUAUUAACUCAGGCAUACAUUAAAAUUCGAACUCAAGGUUUGAGCCUUAGAAAGGCCGUUCCUUACCAUAGGAACUGGCUUCAAUAAUCUUAAAUAAUUUGCAGAAAAGUAUUGAAUAAAUAAUCAUUCAGAGGUUAUUAUUUUAACCAUUUACCUUCUUUUUUUUCACAGGGCAUAUAUGAAAAGAUAAUGAAUAAUCCCUUAAUAUAACAAUUAAUUGCAAUAUAAUUGCUUAUAUAACAUAUUAUACAAUGAUAUAUAAUCGUUAUGACGUACGUGGAAUUAGCAGAAGUGAGAGGUUGAUGAACUAACAAGACAUAAAUUUCUUACCAAGUACCAACCCAAGCUUAAUUUAUUUAUAUUUUACUAUUUUAGUCAUACCUACCCAAUCUUGAAACCCUCUAUUCUACGCUUCGCCACACCUAUAAAAGCCUCAUAACACAUGAAAUCAAUGCAUAAACACAUUUGAUCCCUUCUCUUUUGAUUGUUAUUACCGCAACACAAUAUAUGUUUCAUCUCUUAUAGCCUUAUUCGGCAAUAGUUCAACCAUGGCAUCCUUCUCUUUCUCAUCCGUUGUGCUACCACUUUUGUUAAUCGCUUUAUCGUCAAUGAGCUUUGACAUUGAUUUGAUCGCUGCUCGCCAUCUUCUAGAGGCAACAGUUCCAGAAAUACCCAAGCCUGUUACCAAAACCUGAACUACCACAAAUUCCAAAGCCUGAAUUACUGAUGGUUGUUGAAACCAACAAAAAUAAAUACUUACUCUAAAUAAAUUGUGUAUAGUGAUUGAGUAGGGUCGUGUCCACAGAGAUCGGUAAUUAUUUAAAUCCUUUUAAAAUAUAAAAUGCAAAAUGGGGGAAUUGUUGACAAUAAAAAAAAUAAAAUUAAAAUAACAAGAACACAAAUUCAAAUUGUAAUUCAAAUUGGGGAAAGCUCUGGUUGAAGGAAUUAACUUAGCUUGAUUUGACUACUGAUCCUUGAUUCAAAUAUAAAUUAUUACUACUUAUGAAUAGACCGGUUAUAGCUACUGAGACCCUCUAAUAGUCAAUCUCUCCUUAACUAGUCGAUAACCAAGGUACGACCGUUGGUUAUUUUCCUAAGCAAUAGACAAUACUACUAGAAAAAUAACCUUUACUGACACUUGUCUUGUGAUACUUUAUUAAAAGUAUCAGUAAUUACAUGCAUUUCGGAUAUUUUCCGUGUUUAACAAAUAAAUAUCACAAAUUUGUGAUACUAUAGUGUCUGUAAAUUAAAUAUCAGAGAUCUGUGACAAUAAGGUAUUAGUAAUUAGAAAAAUAAAAUUUUAAUUUUGUGUCCAUUAGGAAUCGAACUAAAGACCUCUAAACUUUAACUUUUUAAUUUUAAACAUUAACCACUGGGCCAUGAGUUGGAUUUUGAUUUUUGGCUUAAUAAGUAAAUAAUAUUAAAAAUUAAAUUAAAUUACCUAGAUACUAUGUCGUUUUAAUGGAAGGUGUACAUGAAAACCUAAAAUCUAAAAUUUUUAAAAAGUGAAAAAAAAUUCCCCACGGCCGCUUCUUGCUAUGAACUGAAGCUCUCUUCCUUCCUUCUCUCUCUCUCUCUCUCUCUCUCUCUCUCUCUCUCUAUAACAAUGAUCUACCUCAGCCGUCGCCAUCAACCUUCAAAUCGCCAUCCUUGACCUAAAAUACCCUUGAACUAGAAAGUGUUGGGAAGAAUUUGAGCAAAGCUAGGGUUUUUUUGAAAGUUCGAAUCCAAAAAUUAGGGCUUUUUUGUAGGGGGUAUUUCAUUGUUUUUAAUGUUGAGUUCGAAGAGAAUGAUUUUGCCGCCGUUACCGCCUAAGCAGUAUGGAGUGACGAAGCCAAUAUCAAUUGCAGGAUCGAUGGAGGGUGAUAUGCAAAGAACCCAUGAGAAAAGGUUUUGUUUUAUCUUUAUUUAUAAUUACUUUUUUCUUUCUGUAUAGAAAACCCUGAUUUCAAUUUCCUUUAGGGUUAAAGUUUUUGGUUGGAGCUGGGUUUUAUGAAAGCAAAGAAGAAGCGGCAAAGGGAGAAGAGGUUUUGUUUCGAAUUAGACAAGCAAGAGUUUUUUUUAAAAAAAUUAAUUAUUGGUGAUUUUGAAACCUGGGAUGACCUUGUUGUAAUAUUUUUGUUAUCAGUUGGUUCAUUCUUCAUUUUUUAAUUGGGUUACGAAUUGAGUUUGUUUGAAUUGUAUUGGUGAUCUUAGAGGUUUUAUUUUAUUAGAGAAUUUAGUGAUGAACCAGAAAUAACUUCAUCGUCUGGCAAAUUCGUCUUUUGCUUUAUUAUUGCGCUCAUUCGUCUGGCAAAUUCAUGUUCUUUAACUCCCAUUUGAAUUUUUUUUUUUUUUGGUUAGUCAAAUUGAUAUUUACUCAUUCAUUUAAGUUCACACAUUAAUUCUCAACCGUCUUAGUUGGUUAAUUGGAUCCUAUUAAUAGUCUCAGGAUAAUUAUAAGUGACUGGGUUGUGACAUUGAGUUGUGACUCAAAUAUUGUACUGUCCGCUUCAUUCUGCUUUAUGAUGCUUAGUUUAAUAUCUUAGACAAUGGAGGAAUCGAAACUGGAGCAUGGAAUGUAUUUAUUUCCAUAGUUGGGAUCUUGGAGAUGUUUCUUUACAUGUUUGUUCAUUGAGCUAAAAAUUUAAUCUCACUUAGCUGUGACUAAAUUUUUUUUUUACUAUUAUCAAUGCAGGUAAUUAAUUGUUUCUGACAAAAUGAAGCAUAAAGAUAAGAAACCGAUUUCUCCAAAUGGUGAUAAAAGUCCCAGGAUUGUUCCUUUGACAGUAUUGUUUGUUGCACUACGUGGGUUUUCGUUUUACCUUGGUGGAAUCUUUUGUUCUGAGAAAAAUAGAGUCGAGAUUAGGGAUGUCCAGAAAGCAGUCCCGUCUCCCAAGGAUCCAGCGGUUGCUCCGCUUCAGAUCAAAUCUGUUAACUUCCCUGAAUGCAGCAGCAACUAUCAAGACUACACUCCAUGCACAGAUCCAAAGGUAUACCUUAAAUGCUUAUUUGAUAAUAGUAACAGCUUCUAGGCAAUGUUACAAAGCUAUAUGAUAUCAAGUGGCCAUAUUGAUGGCAAACAUUCAUUGCUACAGAGGUGGAAAAAGUACGGUGCUCAUCGGCUGACUUUCAUGGAACGCCACUGUCCUCCAGUUUUUGAGAGGAAGGAAUGCUUAAUACCCCCUCCUAAUGGGUAUAAGCCACCUAUCAAGUGGCCAAAAAGCAGGGAUGAAUGUUGGUACAGGUAUUAUGAUCUAUUAAUGAACUGGUUUUAUUGUCCACUGAUGUUGGCCGUAAGUCAAUUUUGUUCUAUUAUUUGGAUCUAGUUUCAGGAAUGUGCCUUAUGAUUGGAUUAACAAGCAGAAGUCAAAUCAGAAUUGGCUGAGAAAACAAGGAGAGAAGUUCCUCUUUCCUGGUGGAGGUACAAUGUUUCCCAAAGGAGUUGGUGCAUAUGUUGAUUUGAUGCGAGAUCUGAUUCCAGAAAUGAAAGAUGGGAUAGUUCGAACUGCUAUUGACACUGGAUGUGGGGUGAGUUUUGUUUUCCAUUUGCCCACUUUUUCAUCUAAUCAUAUACUGGGCUAAUCUAUGUUGCAUUGAUGGUUUAUUCUUAUGGUGCCUCUUGGUCAUCUUAGGAUAAAUUUAACUCACUUACAUUUUUUUUUAUAGGUUGCUAGCUGGGGAGGUGAUUUAUUAGAUCGUGGAAUUUUAACGGUUUCUCUUGCACCAAGAGAUAAUCAUGAAGCUCAAGUUCAAUUUGCAUUGGAACGUGGAAUUCCCGCAAUUCUUGGCAUCAUUUCCACACAGUGCCUACCUUUCCCCUCAAAUUCAUUUGAUAUGGCUCAUUGCUCAAGAUGCCUUAUCCCGUGGACAGAAUUCGGUAAUUAGUCAUAUACUAUGAAGAUAUUUUCUAGAGAAGUAUCAUUAUCAAAUUGAUUGGAUAAUAGCAGUUAAGAUUAUUCAAUUAUAAGAAUAACUUGUCUUGUAAUCAGACGUCUUUGUGUAUUGAAGUAUUUGGAUUGUGUAAUAUAUAUUGAUAAUAUUUAAAUGUUACGAAAGGUUUUGAUAUAUAAAUUGAUUUUUGUUCUUAUUUCUCACAGCCUUUUAAUUCUAUCAACAAAUCAAUGGGCAACAUGUCAUUUUAUAUAAUUAUUUUUUAAAAUAAUAAAUAAAGUAGUGAUACUAUAGUAACAGUAAUCACAAAUACUAAUAUAGUAUUGUAAUAUUUUGAUACCAUGGUGUUAUUAUUUUAGUGAUACUAUAGUAAUAGUAAUCACUGACACCACUUACAAGUGUCACUAUUUUUCUGACUCCCAGAUUGCUGACACAAUUAAUAAGUGUCAGUAAAAGUAAUUUCUGACACUAUUCUAAAGUCAGUAAAGACCAUUUUUCUAGUAGUGCAACCCUAGAUACGAUCAUAGGAUUUAAUCAAUUGACAGCCUGAAAAACCAGAGAGACCCAAAUCCUAAUCAACAAACGCAUACGAUGGUUCAUUUAAAUUAGAUUGUUUAUUCUCAUAACACAACGCACUGCUAUGCUAUUUGUCACAAACAUUAAAGUUUUCAUACGAUGAAUCAUUUAAUUGACAAUAGAUUAAGUUGAUAAUUAAAUAGUGGCCAAUUAUCUAAUUAACAAACAUAAUCAUGACAAUAAUUCAGAGAAUAAAUAAAUACCCAAAAAGUAAUAAAACAAUUAAAGCAUAAGAAAGAUCUCACAAUAAUGAUGAAUCAAAGCUUCAUUAACCUUAAACCAGAAUAAUAAAUUUAGUUCUUCAUAGAAAAUUUUAGAUUUAGGGUUUCUUUUUCUUCAAAAAUCUCCCAUUUUUUCUAGUAGAUUCCUCUCUUAAAUUCUUUCCUCUCUCUUCUCGUCUAGAGUUCUUUUUAAAAUAAAAUACUAAUAUCUAAAAUAUUAUCUAAAUAUUAAAUUCGUAAUUACAAAAAUAACCAAAAAGAUAAAACACAUUAAACUAAAAACUACAGGUCCGUAGUUGACAGCACGUGCCCACGCCUUAUCAACAAAGUUCUUCUGAAGCUAAAUUUUAGCACCAAUCAAUAGAAUUGCACCUACAGAAAUAAAACACAAGUAAAUCACUAUUAUUAAGUGCAAAACAUCAAUAUUAAAGGAAGUAAACAAUGCAAAACUAGUGCAUAAAUUGCACUCUAACAAUUACUUGAGAUUCCAAAGCCUGAGCUACCUAAAAAACCUGAAUUACCAGAGAUUCCAAAGCCAGAACUACCGAAGAAACCUGAAUUACCUGAGAUUCCAAAGCCUGAGUUGCCAAAAGAACCUGAAUUGCCAGAUAUUUUGAAACCUGAGGUGCCAAAAGAGCUUGAGUACCUGAACUUCCAAAGCCUGAGUUGCCCAAAGUGCCUGAGAUGCCAAAAGAGCCCGAAGUACCUGAACUUCCAAAGCCUGAGUUGCCCAAAGUGCCUGAAUUGCCCAAGGUGCAUGAAUUGCCUUCUUUCGCUCAUCUACCUGAGCUUCUUAAGCCCACAUUUCCCGCCAUCCCGAAUAUUCCAAAGGAGAUCCCAACUCACCACUACUAAAAAAAUGACUUUCACUGACACUUUGCUUCUGACACUUUAAAAAAAGUGUCAGUAAUUACUUAACUAUGCACCAUUUUCCGCUUUUAACAAAUAGGUGUCACAAAUUAUUGAUAUUAGUGUGUCAGUAAACUAAACAUCAGAGAUCACUGAUACUAAUGUAUCAGAGAUUAAAAAAAAUAAUUAUAAUUUGUUUUGAUUUCAACUCGAACUUGGAACUUCUAAAACUCUAAAAGUUCUAGAUAUAGCCACAAACCACUUAACCAUGUAGAUUUAAGUUAAAGACAUAAUGUUAUAUAAAAACUUAACAUAUAAAAAACAAAACCCUAAUUCCCCUUCUUUAUUGUGCAAGAGAGCCCGCGUCGCAACUGCCUAAUUUCCCUUCCCUUGCUUGACUUCUUCUUCUCUAUCGUGAAAGACGGAGAAUGACCAUGUUGUCGCUGCUACGAAACGCCCACGCCCUCCCCGUUGCCGCUAUCACUUCCGUUCCAACGUACCGACGCUGCAGCUUCUAGCCGUUCUCCAUUUACUUUGUUUGCUGCCUCUGGUUUCGUUCUCCUUCCAGCUUCGUUUGCUGUCGUCAACCGUACAAGGUAAAAGGUGUAAUUCAAUCUUCUUUUAGGCAUGGGUAAGUGGCAUUAUAGGCACUGAAACUGCUGAGAGAAAAGUUUCAUACUAGUACAUGCACUUUGCUCUCUUCAAUCUUUGGACUUUUCAUUUUUCCUUUGAAUUUCAUUUCUGGUUAUUCAAAAUUUUUGAGUUUCUUUUUUAUUUCCACCCUUUACACAAACUCAUCUCCAAAUUUUUGGCCUUCUCCUUUUGGCCAUUUUGCUUUCGGAUUUUACACCAGUGGCAAUGGCUUCAAGGUUGGAAUAUGGCUCAUUGACAGCAGCAACCUAGCAAAUAAAACAAUUGUAUGGAUUGCUCGACGCGAAGACUCGUGGUCUCAUCCGGUGCUGCUCUGCAGAUCUCUGUAGAUGGCAGCAUAGUCCUACUUCGCAACUCCAAUGGCGAAGUCCAAUUGAUAGCUGAACCUACUCAAAGAGUUGUGGCUGCUGCAAUGCUUGAUUCUGGUAACUUUGUUUUAUUUUUUAUUUUAAAAAAUAAAAAGAAGAUACUUUGAUAUUUAUUUACAUGAAGCAAUAGCAACAAAUUGAAAAAGGCGAGUUUUCUCCUUGUGAAACCCUAACUAGGCUUGAUUCAAGAGAGCCUUCUGACCUUCCACUUGGUAAGAAUUAAGAAACCAAAAGAAAAAAAAACUCAUUUUCAUUCAUUUCAUUCCAAUACCAAAUUGAAUUUUCUUUAAUUUCUGGCUUUUGUUGGUCUUUGUAACGCAAGAAUGUUUAAUAAUAAUACUCAGGACAUGUUGUGAAGGGGAAAAAUAGAGGAGCAAGCUUAUUUGCAACAAGUCCUCGAGCUUCAAAGUAGAAGAUUAGUGGGGCUGCAACUUCUUGAUGUUCAUAAGCAUCAUCCUCACAGGGCUCUUUCUACUGACAGCCCAAUUCCUUCCCCCACUCACUCUCCCAGUAUUUUCUAUCAAACGUUUCUCUUUCCUCUACUUCACAAUAGCAGUACAGAACCUCUACUAGGUACUAAUCUUCAUUUGUUUAAUUUUUAAUCAAACUAAAGAGACUAAGAGUUUCAUUGAUUUUUUUAACAGAGAAUGGUUAAAGUCCUUGACCACACAAAUGCAUGUUUUACUUCUUAGUAGGAUGUUUAAAUUUGAUUUGACAAGUGUUAUUGCGCAUGAAUGCAUUUACAAAUUUGCUAGAAUUUGUGUUGAAAUAAGAUUAGAAAAAAACUUAGGAAUGUAAGGUCUGAUAGUUGAAUUCCUGGAAAGCUGAUUAUUAGGAUCAAUAAAUGUUGUCAUACUGUCAAGGAGUUUGCAUUGUUUCUUAACAAGCUCUUAUUUCCACUAUACAUCAAAUUUUUAAUAUCAUCUUGUAACUAUCUGGCUCUUAUUGUAUGUGUUUUCUUACUGGCCUUUACAUGGGUAGGCUACUAUGUAUUAAGCAUGUAUGUGGUUGUUUUCUAUAUAUAUUAUGUUCAUAUAAAAAUAAAUAUUAGCCAUGAUAACAGAAGUAGAAAGAAGGCAGUGGGGCUUACUGUUGAAAGUUUUAUGAAUUUGUCUCCACCUCAGGCUUCCGAAAUUGGGUUGUUAAGUGAAAAUAAUAAGGUUAAUUGGUCUUUCUUUUAUUUAGUUAUUUAUUUCUAUCUUUUUCAUGUUGAAUCAUUUAUUUUGUGCAAAUGUAAAAAUCAUAAUAAAAUUAUUAAGUUUUUGUGUUGAUUUUGGGAAUUGGUAUGCAGGGAUUGAAUGGAGAAAAAAGAAAGAGAAAUGAUGAUAGAGUGGUGGAGAAGUCAAGAGAAGUGAUUCAUGUGAGAACAAAAAAGGCAGAGUAAUGGCCAGUCUAUAUGUGGGAAUCUCUAAAUUGGAAGCCUGGAUGGUAUGAAAAGGAUAAGAGGCUUCUAAUAAUUUUUCUUAAUUUUCAAGUGUUUCUACUAAUUUUUAUUAUAAUACUUUUCACAGGAUGUUCUAGAAAGCACUUGUCAUAUAUCUUUAAUUCUUGUGACAGAUUAUAUUUCUAGAGACAAUUUGCAAUGAGGGAAACAUAAUUGAAAGAAAUAUGCAUCUUAAAAUUUAGCAAAGCCCCUACCAUGCUAAAGCAUAUGGCUACUUUCUAGAACUGCCAAUGUCCUGUUUAAAUUUAAUUUUAUUUAUUUAUUACGUAAUAUGGUGCACCAAUUGCUGGUGUCGUGCAUGCCUAAUUUUAAAGCUGGAUUACAAUAUAGUAUAUUUAUUUAUUUAUAAAGCUUGAAAGAAUUUCCUCAUUGACUUUAAUCUAGGCUAUUACUUUAGCUUACUUUAUAUACUUUAUUUAUUUAUUUAAAAGAGGGAUUGACAAAAUAGUGGAUGAAACUAUAACAUUCAUCUUUGUUUAAUUAUCUUUAAGCUAAAGUUGUAAAAUAUGGAAAGAAUCCCUAAAAACAUGCGCAUGAUAGAUACAUAUUAAUUUGAUAUAGCGAGUUAAUAAAUAUGGAUUGUCUUUAUAUACAGUUUUGAAUUUACCUUUUUUUUUUAAAGAUUGCACAGUUUCUUAUAAAUAUUUCUCUAAUUUAUAGGAGGACUAUCAGUUGCUGAUCAAUUAGAAGACAUUCCAGCGAUUUAGGAUUGAUCAAGAUUAAUUGUGAGUGGAAUGUUUGCAAAUUAAUACAUACGUUAUUAUUAAUUUAUAAGUUUUUCAUAUAAGAACAAAAUACUGAGUUUACAUGUAUUAUAUUUAUUUCUUGCAUAAAUUUGAAUAAAAUAUUUGCUAGAGUAGUUCUAUGAAAUUGUGAUACUCGUCAAACUGAAUUCAUGAUUAAUAAUUUAGUCUUGGCAUGCCAUAGACGACCAAAUCCAUUGAAUUAGAUAAACAGACCUGGCUUAAAAUAUUAAAAUAAGCUUAAAUUACCACUACAUUGACAAUGUGAAAGCGUUCGAAAUAAUUAGCGUUUGGUCGCUAGACUAUUAAAUUGGAAGAGUAAUAAUGCAGUUUCUAAUAUUUUAUUUCAAUAUUGGUUGUAGAUGCAUAUAAUCCAUUUUAGUUUUUAGAAAUAUAAUUGUUGAGUCCAAUAUAUUUUGUGUUGACUAUUCAUGGCCUCUAGUAGUUUUUAUAGCUAUGGUUAAUAUUGUUAAAUAUAAGUGUACUGGAAAAAUUAUUUCACUUUAUAGGAAUCCAUUGAUUUAUAGGACUUGUUGAUUACAGGAGACGUAAGUGAUUUUUCCAGAAUUAUGAAUUUAUUAUUGGAGCUAUAAUUAUAAUAAUUGAUAUUUUGGUGUACUAAUUGAUUUUAUGUACUUGCAGAUGAGGAAAAAAUGAAGCCGCAGAUUAAUAUUGAGUGACCUUGAGCUUUUUUUUUUUUUGUUGGAUAAUGUUUAUUGAAACUAAUUUAAUAAUUUGUUGUCAAAAACUUAGUUUGGUACUUAUUAUUUUUUUUCUCCAAACAAUGUAAUUGAAUUAUGUUAAUUUAAGUGAUGAGUUUGAUAUAUUUAUUAUGUGAAUUGUUUUGCGAGAUUUGGUAUACGUAAUAGGUUUUGAGUUUUUUUAAUUGUAAAACAAAUAAGAAAAUAUAAUUAAAACAAAAAUAUCCUAUUAACCAAAACUAGCAUAACAACACUUGAUUCUGAAGUACUGUAGUCACAUAAAUAAUUGACAUGUAAAUUGUAUCAUUAAAUAGUAACACUAUAGUGUUACUGUUUUGGCGAUACUAUAGUGACACAAAUUAUUGACAUGUAAAAUAAUAUUAUCAAAUAUUAAUACUAUAGUGUCAUUAUUUUUGUGAUACUAUAAUGACACGAAUUACUGACACCAAAAUCACUGACAUUAAAAAUUAGUGUCAGUGUGUUCUGGCUUGAGCAUUAUUGACACAAUUAAUAAGUGUCAGUAAAAGUGAUUACUGACACUAAGUUGGUGUUAGUAAAACUCAUUUUUGUAGUAGUGCACUCAACCACCAAUCCUUAAAUUUUAUCGUCAUCAAAUGCUUUCAGGAGCUUCAUCUGGUUGUCUGUAGAAGUAUAUUAAUAAAUUAUAUUCGUGGGUUCUUGUUUUGAUACUAUCUGUGUUUUUCCCAUUGGAGGAUUUUUUAUUAUUAUUAUUUUUAACUUUAGGAUACGACUCGUGAUGAGCGUGGCUCCGUAGGAGUACUGCUAUGAUCAUUUUUAUGUAUCAUAUGGAGUUUAAUAUAUUACAUUUUAUGUUUCGUAAUUUGAUUUGAGGUUGUUGAUUUUAUAUGUGGCUUGUACAUAUUUUGCUUUAUCACAUAUAUUACAGUUAAUCUUCAGUUUCAUGACAGUUGAAAAUACAUAGCAAAAUAAAGAGAGGCAUUCCAUAGCUCUGCAUGGUUCAACGUUCCACCAUAUUGAAGAUAGAAAGCCCUAAACAAACAUCAGCGCCGCAGCGACAUUGACAAGUAUGCAUAAAAUGAACUAUAACCCUGUCAACUUGUCUAAAGUUUUAAAAUGAUUAUGAUGAUGAUAAAUAAUAAAUAAACAAAAUCUAAUCCACUGAUUUUAGUUAAACCAUGCAGUCUAUUUUAAUAAUUUCCUAUGAUUGAAAGGCCAACUUGGGAAUGCUAUUAGAAUGGUCAGUAGUAAUUUUCAGAGGUUAUAUAACAGAGUCAUAUAUUUGAAAACGAUAUUUCCUCAUUAUUAUGCUCAGUUUAGUCAUAAUUAUUACAACAUGUUAACAAAAAAAAUUACCAAAUGUAAUAAACUACAUUUAUAACUCACCACACUUUUGAAAACUACUGUUGAUGCCAAAAUCCAAUUGAGUCGGUUAGCGACUUAACACAGACAUCUGCACCAGUAUUAAAUUUAUUUGUUGGGGAAGUGGCUUACAAUCACUAGCAGAUAACUCGCAAACACCUGAAAUCACAAAGAACGGUAAGAGGUGCUGGAAGUUUUUCCGGCGUGAACCCUCUGACGCUUAAGUCAGUAAUUGGACCUUUUUGAGAAAAAAAAUAAAAUAAAUAAAUGAAUUCUAAUAUUUUUUAAUAAAGAAAUAAUUCAUAUAAAUAUAAUAAACGAAUCAAAAUUGUUUAGGAGAGUCCACCAUUCUCUAAACUUUUCAGCACUUUUAUAAGUAUUCGGGAUUAUCAUACCAUCUUCAAUGCGUUGUCGUUGCUGGGUAUAAUGUGCCCCUUUAAUUAUGAGUUAAUGCGCCCGUUACAGAGUAGUUAUUAAGCUGCAAUUAUAGCAGCUGGGUGUGCGUAGACGUUAUAGUUGAAUUUCUGGGAGGAGCUUGACAGUUUGUGGUUGGUUGAGGUUUUUGGAACAAUCGACCUGGUUCUAGUCUGCUCAUGGUAUUCUGGUUGAGGUAUCUGCUCAUAGCCUAAAACAUUACCACCUGGUGCUCAUAGCCUCAAGGAUUACCACCUGGUCGAGGUGUUCUACUCAUAGUCAUCAAGAUUACCACUUGGUCAAGGUGGUCUGCACCUGGUCAUCAAAAUUACCACUUGGUUGAGAUGGUCUGCUCAAGGUCACCAAAAUUUUCUCCUAGUAGCCUAUCAACCAUUUGUUUAUUUUUUAUCUCGAGAAGAUCAUGAUAACCUUAUUUUAUUUCCCAAACAACUACCUUUGAAAUUCAUGUAACAUUCUAGUUGAAUAGCAUUAUUUACGAAAUACUUAGUAAUUUUUUCUCUGACUUAUUCUUUCAUCACCGCGACAAAAAUAGAUUUAGAGACUACAAUCUCAAACUAUUCCGAAGGGGGAUAAGUAGAGAAGCACACUUGCAUAUAUUGUCAUUCAUUAAGAAAUAAAAAUCAAUUACUAUAACUAAAACUACAAGUUUUUCUAGAAAAGGAGCGAUUUUGACAGAAGAUUGAAUCUUAAAACAAAGGAGUAAAAUUAACGAAAUAAUGCUUCUUCAUCAUUAUGCUGAUUUAAGUAAUAUUCAUUAUUCCAAUAUUUUAACUAUAAAAUUUAACAAAUGAUUUCCAAGGAGUCUAGUCAAAUAAUUUUCAAACAAUUUUAUUUAGAUAACCACUUGAGUUCGAAUCUUAGGCGGGGUAAAAUAUUAUUUUUAAACUUUAAUCCCCUUUCCCUACCUUCUAAAAGUACAACAAAGUAAAAAAGAUAUAAAACAAAUAUUAGUGAAACUUUAAGUCAACUAGACCUCAUAUGACACAUGUGAACAGAAAAUUGUUUAUAUUAAAUUUUUUAAACAUUCAAAAAAUACUGAAUAAAAUCAUUUGGAGACCUUUGUUUGAGGUGCUAUUUAGCCACUCGCCUUAACUUUGAAUUAUGCGAAAACAUAAUUCAUCAUUCCUUGAUAAUUCAUUACAAUACAAAUGUUUAUAAUUUAUUAGACUAGAACGACCGUUUGUCUAAUCAUAAAGGGGGCAAAAAAAAUCUUAUUUAUUUGUUUGCUUUGACCGCACAAUCGGUUAUAAUUUUAUUCGACAACAAACCGCGAGGAGCCACGUGCCCAAAAUAAAAAUGUUACUUGAUUUUUGGACUGAAGCUGUUAAUAAUAUUUAAUGGUAAAAAUGACCCACACCGUAUGAUUUGGUAAAAUUGUUAUGAAGAGUCCUAAAAUUUUAACAAGGGAUACUAAAAUCCUCUUUUGGUUAUAAUAACUUUUGGUCUAGUAACUCAAAAAAUUUAACUCUAAUGUUUUAUAAUAAUUAGAAAUAUAAUAGUAAAAUAGAUGUAACAAUAUAUACAUUUUAAAUAACUUCGAUAUUUAGCAAAUGGGUUCGUAACCCAUUAUCAGCCAUUCUUGAGCGCUUGGGUUUGAGUUCCAGUAAUGAUUAGGACUCAACUUCCCUUCUAGUAGGAGUUUACUUGUCUCUCCAAUUUUGGGAAAGAAUAAAUCUCCGUCCAAUAUUAAGUGAGGGUUGACCUUCGGACUCUGCCAUAAUAGAAUUAUUAAAGAGAGUCCCGAUUGAUUUCUAAUUGUAAAUAUUAGUAGAGCUUUAAUUAUAAUAUAUCAGUAUAUAAAAAAAAUAACUUCAAUAUUUAAUAAAAUAUUUUAAUACUUUACAAUAUUAUAUUAUAUUAAACUAAAUUUUUUAAUAAAUAGAAACAUAAUAUUAAAAUAAAUAUACAAAAAUAUAAAUUAUCUUCAAUAUUAUGUAAAAUAAUUUUAAUAUUAUUAAUACAUAAGAUAUAUUUUAUUCAUUGUAAAAUCUAUUUAACCCGUAGACUUAUUUAAAAUUUUUAUUAAUAAAUAUAAAUAUAUUAUUGAAAUAAAUAUAAUAAUUUACAUUUUAAAAAUUAUAUAUUAGAAAUAUUCUAAUACUAUUAGUCUAUAGAUAAAUUAAAUAAUUUAAAUUAUAUUUUCAUUUUUAAAAAUUAAAGUUAAUUUUUUAGUCACUAUCUACAAAGAGUAUUAUAGUAAAAAAGGGUCUUGAUUUUCCUUAUUGAAAACUUAGGAGUUUAAAUGAUCAUUUCCCCAAACCUUAUGAGGGUAGGUAUCAAUUCCCUUUUUAAUAUGACACUAAUCGACCAACAAAGAUGAAAAUGAAUUAUAUAAACUAGCUAUAGUAUAAAUAUUUUAAAACAACAUAAUAAUAUAAAAUUAAUGUUUUGUAUGUGAAAAUACAUAAAGACUGGACUGGCCACAAAUAAUCCCGCUAUCUUGAGAGGAAAAGUAGAAAACUAGAAAAUCAAUUCGAUUAAUAUAAUUUGCAUAAAUUAACCGUAUCUUUUACUAGCAUAUAAUACGUGUAUAAAUAUCUAUAAAACCUUUAUGGUGCGUUUACUUCAAGGAAUAGGAAUGGGGUGGAAUGAGAAUGAGCUGGAAUGUAAAUGAGAUUUCAAUGUUUACUUGACAAAAAUAAAUGGGAAUGGGAAUGUGGAAUGCAAUUGAUGUGUUUAAUUAGCAAAAUAAAUGGGAAUAAGGAAUGGGAAUGAGAAUCAAUUUACCAAAAUACCCAUAGUAUUAAUAAUUAAUAAAAAUAAUUAAUUUAUCAUUAUUAACAAAAUUAUCAUUAUUGUUGUUGUUAUUAUUAUUUUUAUUAAUAUUAUCAUUAUUAGCAUUUAUUAUUAUUAUUAUUAUAUUUUAAUAACUUUAUUAUUUUAGUUAUUAUUAAUUACUGUUAAUAUUAUUUUUAUUAAUAUUAUCAUUAUUAACAUUUUUAUUAUUAUUAUUAUUAUUAUUAUUAUUAUUAUUAUUAAAUUCUAUUAACUUUAUUAUUUUAGUUACUAUUAAUUAUUGUUAUUUUUAUUAAUAUUAUCAUUAUUAACAUUUAUUAUUUUUAUUUUUAUUAAUAUCAUUUUUAUAAUAAUAUUUAUACAUGUAUCUAGAUAAUGAAUAUUAUUAUUAUUAUUAUUAAAUUUAUUAUUUUAGUUACUAUUAAUUAUUGUUAUUAUUAUUUUUAUUAAUAUUAUCAUUAUUAACAUUAUUAUUAUUAUUAUUAUUAAAUUUUAUUAACUUUAUUAUUUUAGUUAUUAUUAAUUAUUUUUAUUAUUAUUUUUAUUAAUAAUAAUAAUAAUAAUAACAACAACAACAAUAAUGAUAAUAUUGUUAAUAAUGAUAAAUUAAUUAUUUUUAUUAAUUAUUAUUUUUAUUGUUAAUAAUGAUAAUAUUAAUAAAAAUAAUUAAUAAUAACUAAAAUAAUAAAAUUUAUUUAUUAUCAUUAUUAAAUUAUUAUUAUUAUUAUUAUUAUUAUUAUUAAUGACAUUUAAAAUAAUAAAAUUAAUUGUGAUUUGAAUGAGGGUAAUUUGGGAAAUAUUAAAAAAUUAGAAGGAUACAAAAGUAAACAUAUAUUAUAUUCUCAUUCCCUCAUUUUCAUUCCCAACCCCCCAUGGGAAUGAAAUUCUCAUUCCUUAUUCCCAAAUUAUGUGGGACCCACACAUUUUAUUUUUAUUCUCAAAUUACAUUUUACCAAGUAAACAUGGGUUUAAUUCUCAUUCCCCAUUUCAUGAAGUAAACACACCAUUAAUUCUUAGUCACCUUGCCAAUGUGGGAUUUACCAAUUUUCCCUUCAUUUUUUCUUUCAAAUCAAUGGAUUUAAGAUCUAAUUUCUCAUUAACCGAAAUAACAAUUUGAGCUUUUUAUGAUUCAUUACAAAGAGCUAACGGGAAAGAUUCCAAAUCAUUUAUGUAAGUAUAUUUUUUCAAUAUUCAUAUUGCCUAAAGCUGGACACAAAAUAGCCAUUUUAUGCCAUUUUUUUCUAACAAUUAAUUGUUUUAGGCUACCAUCAUUGCUGGGCAUUGUAUGUGUCUAUAUAUGUUGCAAUAUAAAGUCGUAAGUUACAAGUUCCAACACUUGACAUGUAACAUAUUUUUAUCAGAUAUUUUUAGGUAGAUACAUAUACAUUUGAUUAUCCUGAUCUAAGCUUUUACCUGGACAGUGAAUGACAUUUCCUGAUUCGUUAAGAUUAUUGGUGAAAAGACGGUGUCCAAAAGUUAUAAUAUUUAAUUGUGUAGUUGAUUGUAGUUUCGCUUCGCUUUCGCUGUAUGGUAAAGGAUGUUGUUUGGUCAACCUUCAGUCAAAAUUGUGGCCAACGAAAGAGAUCUUAUAUAAAAUGUGAUCAAAUGACACGAUAAAGAUCUGUUUUUUUUAGCACAAUAUCGUAUAACUAACCUAAAGGAUUUGUACUUAAAUAUCCUUUUGACAUGUUUGUGGUUUAUAUUGAUGAAACACAUUUAACCAACCACAACAACUUUGGAAAAUUUUGAAUGCAUCUUGUUUAAAAUCAAUCAAGAAAAAAAUGAAGGAAAAAAGAAAAUGAAAGACUUUUAAGACCGAGAUAGGAGGAUAGCAGCCAUUCGUUGGUCCACGCAAAUUAUCGUCCUACGUCCAUAGAAUAAGUAUGAAUGAAUCAUAACUCUAUCUCAAGAUUAAGUGUUGAGAAGUCAAUAAAGUGGCUUCCAAAUUCAAAAUUUAAAGCUGUAGAUUAUUUGGCAUUUGACAAUCCUGCACCAAAUGAAGAAAAAUGAAAAAGUUAGCAAAACUUAUUAAAUUGACAGAGAUGAAGAUUGACAAAUUGCAGAGGGAUUAGGUAGAAUAGUGCAAGCUUGAAGCUUAUAAAUUGAAGUCAUUUGUUCAUUCGAAAGCAUCCCUAAAUUUGUUAAGCUUAUAAGUUUCUAAGCUUUUGUGAGUUUUGAAGAGUGUGAGCAAUUGGAGAGUGUGUGUGAGAGUACUGAGUGUAUUUGGGUUCUGGCAAAGUGAGGUUUCUUUACUCAAAUUUGUACUCAAAUAAUUGUUAAUAAUACAAUUAUUUUUCUCUUGCUCCUGUGGACGUAGGCAUAUUGCUGAACCACGUAAUUCUUGUGUCCUUUUUUUCUGUAAUUAUUUGGUGCGCUUGAUUCCGUAUUCCGCGCACAACAAGUGGUAUCAGAGCUGACGGUUCGUACUUGGGGGAUACGAUACUAUUCUUGUAUACGGUAUUGUUCUCGUAUACGGUACUGUUCACGAAUACGGUGGAGAGGCCAUUUGUACUUGGGAGAUAGUCUAUUGUAAGUAGUGUGUAUUUUUGCAUGUUUAUGAAAGUUUUGUCAACAAGGCGAUAAGAGUCUAAGGAUUUUGGUUUUUAAUUGGGAUCGAGUUCCUGCCCAAUCUCCUGGAAACUUUUCUGGUGCAUUUAUUCACGCGAAAUUAACAUCAUAGAGGCUGUUUUUCAAGUGGAAAUAGUUCGUUGAGAAAAUGGUAGAAGGUGAAACUUCCAUAAUUGGGGAGAGAUCUACCAAGACUAUUUCAGAAGACACUUCAAGUGAGAGGCGAGAUUUGUCAAAUCACUAUUCAGCACCUGUUAUAGGAGGCCAGAAAAUCGAUGUUGAAAAGUUUGAUGGAAAAUCAACUUUGGCAUAUGGAGGCGCAAAGUUAUGGAUGCCCUUAUUCAAAUCGAUCUCGAUGUUGUUCUGAAAAAUAAAAGACACUUGUAUAAUGAAGAAAUUUGGGAUCGUAUGAACGAGAAAGCUUGUGGUCAGAUUAGAUCUUGUUUAACCAAGGAGGUGAAAUACUUGGUGAAAGAUGAGGAGUGUGUGAUGACUUUGUGGCGUUCAUUGGGGAAGAAGUACCUGCUAAAAAGUCUUGAAAAUCGUCUUCAUGCAAUGAACCAAGUAUAUGACUUUCGAAUGAAGCCUGGGGUGUCAAUGCACGAUCAUGUCUCAAGAUUUGAAAACUUACUUGCUGAUUUAAAGAAUCUUGAUGAAGAUAUUAAGGAUAAAGUCAAGGCUAUGAUUUUGUUACACUCACUAACAGAGGAAUAUAGCCAUUUUAUGACUACCUUGAUAUAUGGGAAGAGUGUGUUCGUCUUCAAAGAUGUUUGCACAGCAUUGACUAACUUGGAGAUUCAGAAUAAUGAUAAAAAUUCUGAACGAGCAUCGUCUAAAGCUUUGGUGAGCAGAGAUUGGGCGAUGAAGAAAAAGAAAAAGCGUGGUGGAAAGAAUUCUCAAUCCAAAUCGAGAAGCAGAAAUAUAGCUCGAGACGAGUGUGCCUUUUGUCAUGAAAAGGGUCAUUGCAGCAAACAUGACACUAAAAGAUGAGACUCUGAUUAUUCACGAAGUAUUACUCCUAUAGUAUACGUGGCUAGUUCGAGCGAGUGGAUACUUGAUACUAGAGCAACCUACCAUUUGUGUCCUAUUAAGGAAUGGUUUAAGAAUUUUUGUAAUCUGAAAUCCGGUGCAGUUGUGAUAGGGAAUGAUCAACCUUGUUGUACAAUGGGGAUAGGAAGAAUUUGGCUCAAAAUAUUUGAUGGAAUGAUCAGAGAACUCAAAAAGGUUAGAUUUGUUCCAGCUUUAAAGAAAAAUCUAAUUUCUGUGGGUGUUUUGGAAGCUAAAGGCUACAAGGUUACCAUUGAAGAUGGCACAAUGAAGUUUACACAUGGUGCUAUUGUGAUUCUGCAAGGGGUUCGGCAUCACAAUCUGUACUAUUUGAAGGAAUGUACAACUGAUAAAGAAAAUGUUGCUGAGGCGCACAAUGACACCACCAAGUUAUGGCAUGUACAAUUGGGACAUGCUGGAGAGAAGUCUUUGCAAACUCUGAUGAAGCACGGACUCUUAAAAGGUACUAAAACCUGUAAAUUAAAUUUCUGUGAGCAUUGUGUAAUAAACAAGAAAACAAUGGUCAAAUUUGGUAUAGCUAAUCACGAUACUCGUGAGAUCCUUGAAUAUGUUCACAGUGAUGUAUGGGGACCAACCAAGACUGCAUCAAUUGGUGGAAGCCAUUAUUUUGUUACAUUUAUUGAUGAUUUCUCUAGACGUGUGUGGGUGUACACCAUGCGAGCAAAGGAUGAGGUUCUAGAGAUUUUCGUGAAAUGGAAGAAAUUGGUGGAGACUCAAACUGACAGAAAGAUUACAGUAUUACGAUAUGAUAAUGAAGGUGAAUAUACUUCUGAUCCAUUCUUGCAAGUAUGCCAGAACGAGGGUAUUAAAAGACAUUUCACGGUGAGACAUACUCUGCAACAGAACGGUGUGACUGAGCGUAUGAAUAGUACUUUGCUGGAGAAAGUACGGUGCAUGUUAUCUAAUACUGGUUUAGAUAAAAAGUUUUGGGCUAAAGCUGUGGCUAUACAAGUCACUUGAUCAACCAGUUGCCUUCUGCUGCAAUUGGAGGUAAAACUCCUAUGGAAAUGUGGUCUGGAAAGCAUGCACAAGACUAUAAUUCCCUUCGUAUAUUCGGGUGUCCAGCUUAUUAUCAUGUCAAAGAUGGUAAAUUGGAUCAUCGUGCUAGAAAAGCUAUCUUUGUGGGAUUCAAAGGUGGAGUAAAGGGCUUCAAACUUUGGGAUCUCGAAGACAAAAAAUUUGUGUGUAGCAGAGAUGUCACGUUUGAUGAAGCUUCAAGUUCUCAACAAGUAGAGAACAAGACCACAGAGGUAUUGCAGCGGGUGGAGUUUGAUGCAACUCCAUAUGUAACAGUUAGUUCUACAUCAGAGAAGGGUUCAACUAUGGAGGUGACACCUAGAGUUGAAGAGGUUGUUUCUUCUGAUGUCCCACAAAAUAAAGAAACAAUUGAUGAUGUAGAUAAUGAUAAUUUAUAGCAAUAAUGAGGCCAAGAAGAGAGAUAAAGAAACCCGGAUGGCUUACUAAAGACAUGGUGGUAGCCUAUUGUUGGUUAUUUUAUAAUCAAAUGUUAUUGAUGUCAAUGUGCAAGUGUACACAGCAAGUAAUAAAGUGAUGAAUAUUCAAGAUCGUCUCCACAGGGAUUGAUGUCACUUGAAAUGCUAUAGCAAUCACAAUAAUGCAACUAAAUUCAAUCCAAAGUUAAUAAAUGUAGAGUGGGUUCUAUUGUAAUUGAUGAUUGUGAGAGAAUAAAGUAAACAGUACUGUAAUGAAUUACACCAAAUAAAAUGUGUCUAAGAUUCAAUUUAGAUUAUGGUAGUUGAAUGAUCAAACUCUCCUUAUGGACUGACUGUUUUUCAUCAAGUUGACUCCAAUUGUUACGGCAAGUGUUGCAGCACUGGGCAGAAUUAAUCUGCAUCCUCAGUUGUCGCAAAUUGGAACUCUCAUACCCUUAAAUACACUAGUCAAUAAAGUGGCUUCCAAAUUCAAAAUUGCAAGCUAUAGAAUAUUUGGCAUUUGACAAUCCUGCACCAAAUGAAGAAAAAUGGAAAAGUUAGCAAAACUUGUCAAAUUGACAGAGAUGAAGAUUGACAAAUUGCAAAGGGAUUAGGUGGAAUAGUGCAAGCUUGAAGCCUAUAAAUUGAAGCCAUUUCUUCAUUCGAAAUCAUCCCUAAAUUUGUUAAGCUUAUAAGUUUUUAAGUUUUUGAGAGUUUUGAAGAGUGUGAGCAAUUGGAGAGUGUGUGAGAGUACUAGAUGUAUUUGGGUUCUAGAAAAAUGAGGUUUCUUUACUCAAAUUUGUACUCAAAUAAUUAUUAAUAAUACAAUUAUUUUUCUCUUGCUCCCGUGGACGUAGGCAUAUUGCUGAACCACGUAAUUCUUGUGUCCUUUAUUUUUCUGUAAUUAUUUGGUGCGUUUGAUUCCGUAUUCCGCGCACAACAUUAAGUAGUUGGUGUAGAAGACUGACUAACGAUGGAAACAUGCCUCGCGUCCUUGUUAAUGAAGGGGUUGGUUCACGUUUUAUGCCCACAAUUUGCUCCAUAAUAUCAUCAUAUUAAUUAUAAUUCAUAAUGACAAGAAAUAAAGUUUUUUUUUUAUUUCCCUUCAUUAUUGAACUUAAGAAUCUCUUAACCAUUAAUUGAAUCAAUGAAUCACACUUUCAUAGCUAAAUUAUACCUUCUGCAGUUCAAUUAGUAUAUUAAGUGUAUACGAUAUUACUUAAUAAUAAUUGUAGAUCCAUAAACACUUGUGCAAAUAAUUUUGUAGACCAUAUCAUAUUUUUAAAUUCAAAUAAUUAUAAUAUUUCACUUAAAUUUGUACAACAAAAAUUAUAGAACAUAGCUCAGUUGGUCGUGAAUACACUUUGAGCCUAUUGUUACCUAAGUUAAAAAAAAAAUUAACGAGCAAUGAUUUAUGUUUAGUGUGUCAGAUUUAUUAUUUUCUUGCAAACCCUUGGAACACACACACACAUAUAAAUAUAUGUUGUUUGUACAAAAAUGUUUGUUGCUAUAUAUACUUCCUCGUUCAUCACAUAUUCACAUUCGGUUCAGCUAAAAUUUUGCAAACACCAAACAGCAAUGCCACGAGGUCAAUCAACCCAAGCCCAGCGCGGAAAAAGCAGAGUAAUGUUUGGCCCAUAAAGGUGGGUCUGGUUGAUUUUCUGACCCAGAUCAAAGUUCGUACUCCCUUUAGUAAAAUGACCAAUUUCAAGAAAAUGGCUUUCAAAUAAUUAUGUUUAGAAAAAUGAUCAAUUAGCAUGGUACUUUGGAUGCUUAAUUAAUGAGAUGAUUAUCUCUGCUUUCUCCUUCCCAAACAUACAUCCUGUUGAUGCAGGAUUCCGGUUCUUCUCGUUCUACGACCAGGAUCUCUGCUCGAUCAACUUCGUCACGACCAGGAGGUCUCCUCGCAAGACUUUUUCUCCAGAGGUUCCUGCGCACACAGACAAGUCAGAGUACGCCGGUUGUUUUCCCGGCGCAAACCCUCCGACGCUCAAGUCAGAUAUGAAGGUUCGGGGAACGCUUGCCACAGAUCUUAUGGCUUUUUCGUGGUUUUCUCUUCUUUUUAAUUCCUUUUCUAAUGAGAAAAAUGCCAACCCUUUUACCUCGUCGGCUACCUUUUUAUAGGCUUCCUCUGAAUCCCAGUUUUCCGCUCUUUUCGAGACGGUAUGGGACUCUGACUGCUGCGUUAUGGGCAAACGUGGGAUCUUGCGUGUUACGCCACCGUUCUGGGGAAAGCGUGGCUGUCGUGGUUCUGUGAGAUCUUGCGUGUUACGCCAUGGUUCUGGGAAAAGCGCGGCAGUCGUGGUUCUGUGAGAUCUUGCGUGUUACGCCACGGUUCUGGGGAAAGCGUGGCUGUCGUGCCUAGGUUCUCGGGCUGGAGAGCAUGUCUCGUCAACUACCGUCGACCGGGUCUCCUCACCUCUCGACCUCUAGCCGGAAUGACCUUAUGCCUCUUACAGGAAAUUGGCCUCGCGGAUGACGUGCUCGUGGACGAGCAGGAUAUUUCUGCUCCUGUUCCCCCGCGUACCAGGCUUUUACGGGACACACCGGUUCGCAGAACUCUGCCAUCAGAUAUCUGCUCACCGUGCCUGGUCUCGUCGACGUAUUUCUCCCAAACACCGGUCCCCCAGUUUCUGGUGUUGGGUAAUGUAGUGGACCAGCAGUAGAAACUCGUUAGUACUCGCCCGCGUGGGAUUGGAAAAGGCUGCCAAGAGUCAUGUCGCAUUUAAUUGCGGACGAGGUGACGUGGCAGAAAUCCCCCCCUCCAUUUGAAUUUCAAACCGACGGUUAUGAGAUCCUCGGGAUUCAGCGCCGUUAAAUGCUGGCAACCCAAGAGUCCGUCCUCAUUAGGAAAACCAAAUCCUCUCGAACGGCAUAUUCAUCAUUCACUCCGUCUCCGUCUCUGUCUCCCCGGCAAAGAGGUUCCGGCAUAAAAGGCCUCCAUCUCUGAUUUUCACCGACUGAACCAUUACUUCAGGUAUUUCUUCUAUCUCCUUGGUCUCGGAUAGUUGUAGAUAAUUUCUUUUCUCUUCUGUUGGGUAGUAGUUGGUGGUGUUGUGGUUAGAGCUUAGGGAAUGUCGAAAGGCAAAGAGAAGGUUAUUGAGGUUGGUGACGACGAGUUGGACUUCCUGCCUAGUCUGCUCGCCGAUCCUGCUUUUGACCCCGGGAUCCCCUUAGAGCCCAUUAGGUCUAGUGUCGGGACUAGUGCUAGGAGGAUGUCUCCCCAAACAACCUCUACGAGCGGAAGUAAUGGUGAGGAGAGAUCUUCUGGCUCCGAGGAUACUUUGAGUGAGAAUGGCGAAGGUGACUCUGGUGAGGUGUCUCCAUCUGGAACAUCACGACCAGAAGAACGGGGUACAGUAGGAGGCAGAGCCUUGUCGCGCGAUUAUGCCAUUGAUUACAUGACGUGCACGACCUCGUUUGACGAGCUCAAUGACCUCCGGCUUAGGUAUAGCAUUCCUGGUGAGAUACCUCUCAAGGUCCCAGGAAAGAAGGAUGCUCCCAGCCGGCCUCCUAGGGGAUAUGUUACCCUGUAUCUGGACAGCUUUAAGUAUGGGCUGAGGUGUCCCUUGCAACCUUACUUUGCCCGGAUACUUAACGGGCUAAAUCUAGCUCCUGGUCAGCUGAAUCCCAAUGGGUGGAGAAUGCUCUCUGGUCUGUUCAUAUUGUGGGACAGAUGUUGCCAAAGCGAGCCCACGGUUGAUGAGGUGAAGCACCUGUACCAGCUAAAGAGCAGCCCCAAAGAUGCCGGCUGGUACUACUUCCAAUCUAGCACCAAGAGCAGGAAACCUAUAACCGACCUCCCUACUGGUGGUGGUGGGAAUUGGAAGAGAAAGUUCUUUUUUGCUGGGGGUCCUUGGGGUCAGAUUGCACAAAUGGACGGGAAGGAUUAUCGGGUCCCACCCCGUUUCACGGUCCCAGGUUGCCUGCUCGCUUUAGAUGUCUUGUAUCCACAAUUGUUCUUGCUUUAUUGGCUUGUCUCUAACCAAGUGUCUGUUUGCGUUGUAGUUUCUUGGGGUGUUCACUUCCCGCUCCCACCUGACCAGCUCAAACGGGUCGAGGCUGUGCUCGCCAAUUCCUGCUCGAGCCGAGAACUGCUAACUACAUACAACUUGCUCGAGUCUCGCUUGAUACUUCCUGGCCAUAGGAUGGAGGACGCCGUGAUUGGGGCUCUGACCCGAAAACGUUCUCGACCUCCAACCACGAAGAGGGACCAGGGUAAGGAUGCCCCUGCUGCAAAGCGGGCCAGCAUCGUGCAGCAGGUCCCACCCUUGGAGAUUUUACCUCCUGCUCCUGAAAAAGUCGGGGAAGCUAGUGGAGCAGCCACAGAUCCUGCUUCCUCUUCUGUUCCUGUCGGGCCUCGAUCUCGCUUACCUGACAGCCGAGCAGAACACCUGGUCCCCUACCUCAAUGAGUUGUCUAAACUCGUGAGCAAGAAGGACCUGGAGGACUUCGACGGCUGCACCUUGGGUGAGCUGGUGGGGGCCAUGCAGCAUAGCGCUUUCCACCUCAGCUGCAUGACCACCUAUUACAAGGCUAAGGUUGGUCGAUACGAUCGGAAAAUGAAGGGGGAUAUUCAAUCGGCGACGACCAGAGCUGACAUUGCCGAGAAGAAAGCAGGGGAGCUGAACCUCGAGAAUCUGAAGCUGAUAGAGCAAGAAUCACUUGCUCAAGCAAAGACCAUUACCCUCGAGGAGGAGCUUACCAAGGUCAAGGAGGAUCUGCAAAGGCAGAAGGCUAUGUAUGAGGCCCAGCUCGAAUCUCUCCGGGACUCCAACCGAGCUCAGGUCGAGAACUUGGAGAGGGAGGCCGAGAAUCAGUACGACCAGGGACUUCGGCAUUCCUAUCGUUGCAUCAUGGCCGUCCUCGGGAAGCAACACCCUGAUCUGAAGAUGGAUGACCUUGCAGCUGGUGUUGCCCAACAUAUGGACGAGGAGGUGGCCAAGGAAGAUGCUGAAGGGGUAGAGCCGAUCGUGAUCGAGGAGGAAAGCUCUCCUCCUCGUGUAGUCCCUGCUGAUGUUGGCGAGGCGAGCACCCCUCCGGACGCAACUGGCGAUACCCCUCCCGCACCUGAGGAGGUCCAGUCAACCGAUGCUGCUCGACUCACUGAUCUACCAUCUUUUUGAUAUAUUUCCUUUUGUAUUGUAAUGAACAACGUUUAUGAAAUUUAUCCCCUCUGUUACCCAUUAACACAUUAAUAAAGAUGUUUUUUGAUUACUUUCUCGUCUUGUAAUCAUUACUUAUUUUCCGUUUGGGAAUCUGCUCGUCUCGUCUGGUCGAGCAGGUUCUGGUUUGGCAUAUGGUUUUGCAACAUGCCUUAGAAAUUUUUUUUUUUUUUUUUUUUUUUUUGGGGAUUCUGCUUGCCUUCGUGUGGUCGAGCAGGUCCUGGCAUGCUUGGCUUCAGUCUCGCCAUAAAAAGGCUUUGAGACUUGGUGAGGCCUUUGCAUGCCUUCGAAAACUUUUUCGAUGUUUGGGGAUUCUGCUCGACUUCGCUCGGUCGAGCAGACCCUAGCAUGCUUGGCUUCCGUCUCGCCAUAAGCAGGCUUUGAGACUUAGUGAGCCUUUGCAUGCCUUAGGUGGCUUCUUCAAAUCUUGGGAUUCUGCUGCCUUCUCGUGGCCGAGCAGAUCCGGGCAUGCUUGGCUUCUGUCUCGCCAUAAGACAGGCUUUGAGACUUGACGAGCCUUUGCAAGCCUUAGAUGGCUUCUUCAAAUCUUGGGAUUCUGCUGCCUUCUCGUGGCCGAGCAGAUCCGGGCAUGCUUGGCUUCUGUCUCGCCAUAAGACAGGCUUUGAGACUUGACGAGCCUUUGCAUGCCUUAGAUGGCUUCUUCAAAGCUUGGGAUUCUGCUGCCUUCUCGUGGCCGAGCAGAUCCGGGCAUGCUUGGCUUCUGUCUCGCCAUAAGACAGGCUUUGAGACUUGACGAGCCUUUGCAUGCCUUAGAUGGCUUCUUCAAAGCUUGGGAUUCUGCUGCCUUCUCGUGGCCGAGCAGAUCCGGGCAUGCUUGGCUUCUGUCUCGCCAUAAGACAGGCUUUGAGACUUGACGAGCCUUUGCAUGCCUUAGAUGGCUUCUUCAAAGCUUGGGAUUCUGCUGCCUUCUCGUGGCCGAGCAGAUCCGGGCAUGCUUGGCUUCUGUCUCGCCAUAAGACAGGCUUUGAGACUUGACGAGCCUUUGCAUGCCUUAGAAAUUUUCUUGGUUUCAAGCGAAAGGAAUUCCUCGACGUUCCAUUAAUGGCAGGAUUCGACUUACAUGAACUUGUUUGGACAUAAAGCGUGAAAGAUAAACGAUAAUGAACAUGAGCAAAAAUAGCUUUCAGAUGUGAACAAAUCUUACUGGAAGUAUUUUCGGAGGUGUGCUGCGUUCUAUGGGCGUUUCAGCUCGUGGUCGUCCGUGCGAACCAGCUUGUAAGCUCCGGGUCCCGCUACCUGCUUGACUCUAUAUGGCCCUUCCCAAUUCGGUCCCAGCACUCCUUGAGUCGAAUCUUUGGUGCUCUGAUUCACUCUUCUCAGUACCCAGUCUCCGACCUUGAAUUGCCGUAUGUUCACCUUCUGGUUAUAAUACCGAGCAACCCUUGUUGGUAAAGGGCUGAUCGCUCGGCUGCUUGCUCCCUCCUUUCCGUUAGCAGAUCAAGAUUCAAACAUAUCUGCUCGUCGUUCUCCUGCUCGUUGAAAUGACCUGUCCGGUGUGUGGUCGUUCCUAUCUCAGCCGGCACGACCGCUUCAUGUCCGAAAGCCAAAGCGAACGGUGUCUCCCCAGUUGCGGUUUUGUGGGUUGUUCUGUAUGCCCAUAGCACACCUGACAGCUCGUCAACCCACGCACCCUUUUUUGCUCCAAGCCUGGUUUUCAAAAGCCUCUUGAUGGUCUUGUUGGCUGCUUCUACUUGUCCAUUCGAUUGAGGGUGAGCAGGCGAGCAAUACUUCAGCUCUAUCCCGAGGUUCUGGCAGAAAUCCCUGAAGCUGUGAUUAUCGAACUGCCUGCCAUUAUCCGUUACCAAGGCAUAAGGGAUCCCGUAUCGACAGACCAGGUUUCUCCACACGAAGUCUGUUGUUUUCUUCUCUGUGAUCCUGCUAAGGGCUUCUACCUCUAUCCAUUUCGUGAAGUAAUCUAUAGCAACUAUUGCAUGUGUUGCUGCUCCUCGUGCCUUUGGCAAUGGGCCGAUCAGAUCAAUUCCCCAUUGAGCAAAUGGCCAAGGGGAGGCCAUGGAGGUGAGCUUCUCUGGGGGUUGGUUAGAGAAAUUUGCAAAACUCUGGCAGCUUACACAACUCCUGGUCUUCUCUUGCGCAUCCUGGUGCAUUGUCGGCCAGAAAUAUCCUUGCCUAAAAACCUUGUGGGCCAGGGACCUCCCGCCAGAAUGAUUUCCGCAAAUUCCUUCAUGUACUUCUCUCAGUACGUAAUCCGCGUCGUCCUCAUCCAAACACCGAAGGAACGGUAGUGUAUAUCCUCGCCGAUACAGCACCCCAUCAAUCAUCGUGUAUCUCGAGGCCUGGGCUCUAAUCUUGCGAGCUCGCAGCUUAUCUGGUGGUAAUACUCCGUCUCUAAGGUAUGAAACUAUCGGGUCCCUCCACGAGCAUUUUUGUUCUAUCCGCAACACCCCUGAAUUCUGAUCGAUACUUGGGCUGGACUUCACCUCCAGAGGGAUCGACUUUGGCAUUUUUGGGUCGGCUACUGCUGCCAUCUUCGCCAAAAUGUCUGCUCGACUAUUCUGCUCCCUGGGGAUCUGUACCACCUCCACUGCUUCGAACUUCCCCAUCAUCUGCCUGACUAUCUUCAGGUACUGCUCCAUCUUCUCCUCUCUUGGUUGGAAUCUUUCACUGACGUGAUUCGCAACCAGCUGGGAAUCAGUUCUGAUCUUAACUCUGUCAGCUUUCACGGCCUUAGCCAAUUCCAGACCUGCUAUCAAGGCUUCAUACUCUGCCUGGUUAUUUGUGGCUGCAAAUUCCAACUUUACAGCAUAAGAGAUCUCCUCCCCCUCAGGGCCUUCCAGGACAAUCGCUGCUCCUGAACCCCGCUCCCCUGAUGACCCGUCCACAGACAUCUGCCAUACUUGAUUUUCGUCAUUGCCUAUAACUGCAUCCUGUUGAUCUGAGCAUUCUUCGGGCUCUGUGAAUUCAGCUACGAAAUCGGCCAUUGCCUGGGCUUUUAUCGCUGCGCGGGGUUUAUAGUCUAUGUCGAACUCGCUCAGCUCUACAGCCCACUUGACGAGCCGACCAGAGGCAUUUGGCUUGUGCAGAGUUUGACGCAAUGGCUGGUUUGUUAUUACCGAGACCGGGAAUGCUUGAAAAUAUGGCCUCAACUUCCGAGCAGCAACCACAAGGGCAAGUGCCCAUUUCUCCAACGGUGGGUAUCUAGUCUCAGCGUCGAGCAGGGCCUUGCUGGUGUAGUAUAUCGGAUACUGAACUCCUUCUUCCUCUCUCACCAGAACAGAACUGGCGGCCCGAUCCGACACCGCCAAAUACAGAUACAACUUGUCCCCAUCCCUUGGUGUGGACAGCAGCGGAGCUUGCUGCAAGUAUUGCUUCAAGUUCCGGAAGGCUUCCUCGCACUCUGGGGUCCAUUCUGUUUUCUUUCCCCUCCUUAUCACUUGAAAGAAUGGCUGACACUUAUCUGUAGCCUUGGAGAUGAAUCUGCUCAACGCCGCCAACCUCCCUGUGAGGCUCUGCAUCUCCUUCAGGUUACGAGGAGACGUCAUUUGCACAAUCGCCUGGAUUUUCUCGGGAUUUGCUUCAACCCCCCUAUGGCUCACCAUGAAUCCAAGGAAUUUCCCUGACUCGACCCCAAAAGCACACUUUUCCGGGUUGAGCUUCAUCUUAUACUUCCUCAAAAGCUCGAAUGUCUCCUCGAGGUGUCUGACAUGUUCCUUCGGGAUUUUGGACUUGGUGAUCAUGUCGUCCACGUACACCUCCAUGGUUUUCCCAAUCAACGGCUUAAAGACUUUGUUCACCAGCCUUUGAUAGGUGGCCCCAGCAUUUUUGAGACCGAACGGCAUUACCCUGUAACAGAACAAACCUUGGUUAGUGACGAAAGCCGUGCUCUCCUCAUCCUGCUCGUACAUGGGGAUCUGGUUGUAUCCCGAGAACGCGUCCAUGAAGCUGAGCAGACCAUGUCCAGCCGUUGAAUCUACUAGCUGAUCGAUCUUUGGUAGAGGGAAGCUGUCUUUUGGGCACGCCUUAUUGAGGUCUGUGAAAUCCACACACAUCCUCCACUUGCCGUUUGCCUUCUUUACCAACACCACAUUCGAUAUCCACUCAGGGUAACUGACUUCCCGAAUGAACCCUGCUCUCAAGAGCUUCUCCACCUCGCUAUUUAUUGCCUCAUACCUCUCCUGGUUGAAGCACCUGCUCUUCUGCCUUACUGCCCGAGCACCUUUCUUUAUUGCCAGCUUAUGACAUGCUACCUCAGGGUCAAUCCCUGGCAUGUCUUCAUGUGUCCAAGCAAACACAUCAGAAUGAGCCUGUAAGCAUUUCACCAACUCCUGCUUUUGCUCUCCCUCAAGCCUCGACCCGAUUCUGAUCGUCUUUCCCGGAUUCUCUGGUCCCAGGCUUACUGUUUCCAGAUCUUCUACAGGUUCUUGUCUGCCCUUCUUGUUUUCCACUCGGGUAUCGAGGGAUGUUAUCUGCAUUGCUUCCCUUGGUGCCGAGGAGUAGCAGCUUCUUGCGAUCCUCUGGUCUCCUCGUACCACUCCUACUACCCCAUUCACCCGGUACUUCAGAGCGAGAUAGUGGUUGGACAACACCGCUUUGCUCAUCCUUAAAAAUGGCCGACCUAGGAUCAUCUGGUAAGGACCUUGCUCGUCCACUACGACAAAGUCCAGUAUCAUUGUUCUUUCUGUCGGGGAGCUCCCAAUUGUGAUAGGCAGCUCGACCACGCCCAGAGGGACCAGCUUCCCUCCUCCGAACCCCUUCAAGGAGGUAUUGGUGUAUUCCAACUUCCGGUCGGCUAUUCCCAUCUCUUCCAGGGUUGACUUAAAUAACACAUCAACUGAGCUCCCUGUAUCAAUCAGUAUCCGGUCAAACUUCUUGCUAGCGACAGUAGCCUUGAUGACUAAAGCAUCCUCGUGGGGGUAUAGAAUCCCUUCCUCAUCCUCAUCCGUCCACAUGAUUGGCACUUGCCUGACCCUUGCUCGUUUGGCUGCUGGGGUGUUGAAGAGUACCUCUUUACUGGUCAUGGCGUACCUAGCAUAAUUUUUUCUCGAUCUGUUGGAAUCUCCGGCCAAUGUUGGGCCCCCAGCUAUCACCCUUACUGCGGGCUGCUCGCGCCUCAAGUUUCUACCACUCUGCUCCCCUUCACCUGUUGUGGCCACCAUCGGGAAAGUCCCAUCCAUAAACUCGUCCAGGUACCGAUUUCUCACCAAAUCUUCGACCUGGAUCUUGAGAUCUCUACACUCUGCCGUGGUAUGGCCAUGGGUGCCAUGGAACUUACAAUAACGUCCUCUAUCCCUCCUGUUGGGUAGCUUUGUUAUUGGUGUAGGGAGGUGCAGCAGACCUCGAUCCUUUAUGGCCUCGUACACCUCAUCCAGGGACAUCUUCAAGGAAGUGUACCGCCCAUAGUCCGGGUCCUGGUCGAUCAGGUGCACUGCUCUUUCUCUGUUUGCCCCGCUUUGAGUUGGGGGCGGUGGAAGUAAUUCUGGUCUGCUCGCUCUGCUACCAUGUUGGUGAGGACCACCAGAUGCCGACUCAUGCCUUCUCCAAGGCUCCCUAGCUGGGGAACGAGGAGGUUGCGCCCCGCUGCGCUGAUACUGUGGUGGCCUCUGAUGAGGCUGGUAAGCAGUUACCCGACCUCCUGCUCUACUACCGGAGGCCUGGUGGUCUCUCCUCCUGAUCGGCCCAUUCCCCGGUAAUGCUUUCUUCUCUUUCCUCCCCAACCCUUCCAACUGGUCUGUCUUAAUUCGUGCAGCCUUCUCCUCUUCAAUCUCGAUGUCUCUCUUAGCCUGUUCGUAUGCGGCUGCAUACGUUUGAAUAGCUGGGCUUCUCAAAUUGUACCACAGCCUUCCUAUCUUCACCCAUUCUUUCAAUCCCCUUAACGCCUGAGGGUGGUUGAAGGCUCCCAAGUCGAGGACAGCCCGAUGAAACCUCUUGAUGAAUUCCCGAAGGGUUUCUUGCUCCCCCUGUUUCAUGCUUUUCAGCUCCAUCAUGUCGUCUUCCGGUGCCAUUGCCCCACUAAAUUGCUCCGCGAAUUCCUGGCACAUCUGCUCGAAGGUUUUAAUGCUGCCCCGAGGAAGUUUCCUGUACCAUUCUCGUGCACGUCCCUCAAGGGAUAGUGGGAACACCCUGCACCUUUGGGAUUGAGAUAAUCCUUGUACCCCAGUUAUGUCGUUGAAGCGCUCUAUAUGCACCAGCGGAUCAGUUCUUCCCGAGUAUCUGAGGUCUGGGAGGCAGAAAUCUCUCGGAAUAACUGCCCUCAUGAUUUCUGCUGCGAGCGGCGAUUCUCCGUCCAGCAUUAUCCUCCAACCAGGGGCUCUGUUCCUUCCUUGCAUGUCGUCAAUUAUCUGCGCUAGUCUGCGCACUUCCCCCUCCAGCUGCAACGCACGACCAGGGUCACGUGCUGCAACUUGAUCCCACUCUUGCUCUACAUCAUGCAAGUGUUGCCUCAACUCUGUUUCCUCUGCAUUCACCACCCCGUCGCCCUCGUCACCAGUCUGUCUUGCUGGGGACUGCUCUCUUUCUCUAUGAAAUUCUCCCUGCAGAGGUACGUUACCUCUCUCACCACCAAAUCUCCCGGGGGUUUGACUUCUCCCCGCACUAUCGGGACCUGGUGUACCUCCACUGCCUCUCACCCUUCCCUCUUGGGUUACCCUUCGCUCGCUCCGCAGCUCAUGCAGGAUGGUUGUCAAGGUCUCCAUCUGCUUUUCCAUCCGUUCCAUCCGGUCGAACAUGACUUUUUCCCGUGCUUCGCUGACUAUCUCCCUCAGCGUCACGGAAUCGUUAAGCCUCCUAUCACCCCCUUGUGCACUACUUCCUCCUGUCUCCAUUGCUUUUCGCUUGCUUCACCCCUCUUCUUGCUAUCAACAGAAGCUUUUUGCUCUGGUCCCCACAGACGGCGCCAAAAUGUUGAUGCAGGAUUCCGGUUCUUCUCGUUCUACGACCAGGAUCUCUGCUCGAUCAACUUCGUCAUGACCAGGAGGUCUCCUCGCAAGACUUUUUCUCCAGAGGUUCCUGCGCACACAGACAAGUCAGAGUACGCCGGUUGUUUUCCCGGCGCAAACCCUCCGACGCUCAAGUCAGAUAUGAAGGUUCGGGGAACGCUUGCCACAGAUCUUAUGGCUUUUUCGUGGUUUUCUCUUCUUUUUAAUUCCUUUUCUAAUGAGAAAAAUGCCAACCCUUUUACCUCGUCGGCUACCUUUUUAUAGGCUUCCUCUGAAUCCCAGUUUUCCGCUCUUUUCGAGACGGUAUUGGACUCUGACUGCUGCGUUAUGGGCAAACGUGGGAUCUUGCGUGUUACGCCACCGUUCUGGGGAAAGCGUGGCUGUCGUGGUUCUGUGAGAUCUUGCGUGUUACGCCAUGGUUCUGGGAAAAGCGCGGCAGUCGUGGUUCUGUGAGAUCUUGCGUGUUACGCCACGGUUCUGGGGAAAGCGUGGCUGUCGUGCCUAGGUUCUCGGGCUGGAGAGCAUGUCUCGUCAACUGCCGUCGACCGGGUCUCCUCGCCUCUCGACCUCUAGCCGGAAUGACCUUAUGCCUCUUACAGGAAAUUGGCCUCGCGGAUGACGUGCUCGUGGACGAGCAGGAUAUUUCUGCUCCUGUUCCCCCGCGUACCAGGCUUUUACGGGACACACCGGUUCGCAGAACUCUGCCAUCAGAUAUCUGCUCACCGUGCCUGGUCUCGUCGACGUAUUUCUCCCAAACACAUCCUUGUUCCGCAUGGAUAUUCUUGAGAUUUCUUUGACAAAACCAUCAAAAAGCGUGGAGACCGAGUAUUAAUCUGACUAAUCAUUUGAUUUUACUAAGAAAAUCGGACUUUAUUAUCUUUAUAUCUGGGAGAAAUAAUGAUAAUUGAAAAAAAAAAUUAAAAAGGUAGUUACCGUUCGCAUACAACAAUAGAUUGUCUGUAUGAAUGGAAUAUACAAGUUCUGCAUCCAACCACAAGCUAAUUAAUCAGGCACAAAAUCUUCAUCAUGAAGCGUGCAAUCUUCUUUCCUGUAGAAUUCAAAUACAAUGAGAAGACAAUCUGAUAAAUUAAUUGGACAGGAAAAGAUGGGAAUAAGAGAGAUGACAAUUGGGUAUUAACAUCCACAAGGAAAUGGAAGUCAAUUACGUAUAAGUCUGUUUUUGGAAAGGGAAGCUACAAAUGCUAAAAGAUUGACUGUUAAAUUAAAAUAGAGAUAUAUAUUUCCCUAUAUUAAUUAACAAGAUCUAAUUUAGUGAAACUUAUGCCAAUUAGAUGUCUUUUGACAUAUGGCCAGAAAGUUAUUUAUUAAUAUUAAUUUUUUUUCUUUUCUUAUUAUAGAUUCACGCACACUUGAAAGUUUGAACCCAAGAUUUGAGCUUUAGAAAGACUACUCCUUACCACAUGAACUUUAUUAAUAGUAAUUUUUUUUUUUGGAAAAGUAUUGAACAAAAAAAUUAUUUAGAGAUUAUUGUUUUAGCCAUUUGCCCUUUUUCUGAAUACAUAAAAAGAUAAAGAAUCAUUCCUCCAUAUAACGAUUUCACUACAAUAUAAUUGCUUACAUAACAUAUUAUACAAUGAUAUAUAAUCGUACAUUAUGAUGUAUGUGGAGUUACAUCAUGAUGUAUGUGGAGUUAGCAGAAGUGAGAGGUUGAUGAACUAAGAAGACAUAAAUUUCUUACCGAGUACUAACCCAAGCAUAAUUUAUUUAUGUUAUACUAUUUUAGUCAUACCUACCCAAUAUUUAAACCCUUUAUUCAACACUUCCCCACACCUAUAAAAGCCUCGUAACACAUGAAAAUCAAUGCACAAACACACUUGAUCCCUUUUCUUUUGAUUCUUAUUAUUACAACACAAUAUAUCUUUCAUCUCUUAAAGUCUUAUUCGCCAAUAGUUCAACCAUGGCGUCUUUCUCUCUCCCAUCCGUUAUGAUACCACUUUUGCUAAUCACUUUAUCGUCAAUGAGCUAUAACAUCGAUUUGGUCGAUGCUCGCCAUCUUUUGGAGGCAGCAGUUCCAGAAAUACCCAAGCCUGGAUUGCCUAAGUUUGAACUACCACCGUUACCAAAACUUGAACUACCACAAAUUCCAAAGCCUGAAUUGCCUGAGCUACCAAAAAAACCUAAAGCACCUGAGAUUUUAAAGCCCGAGCUACCAAAAAAUCCUGAAUUGCCGGAGAUUCCGAAACUUGAGGUGCCAAAAGGACUUGAAGUGCCUGAAUUGCCUUCUUUCCCUCAUCUACCUGAGCUUCCUAAGCCCACAUUUCCCGCCAUCCCGAGUCUUCCCAAGGAGAUCCCAACUCACUCAACCUCCAAUCCAUAAAUUUCACGUCUUCAAAUGCUUUCAUGAGCUUCAUCUGGCUCUCUGUAGAAGUAUAUUAAUAACUUAUAUUUGUGGGUUCUUCUUUUGAGACCUUCCUAUUUGUCUGGUUUCCUUUUAAUUUGAGGAUUUUUCAUUAUUACUUUUAAGUCUGGGAUACGACUCGUGAUGAGCUGGGCUCCGUAGGAGUACUGUACUACUGUUGUAUUCAUGUAUGGAUUGAUAUAUACUAUAUUUUAUGUUUAAUUAUUAAUUUGAUUUGAGGCUUUUGAUUUUAUAUAUAUUUAUGCUUCAUCACGUACGUACAUUACAUUUAAUCUUCAUUUUGAUGUCAGUUGAAAAUAUAUAGCAAAAUAAAAGAUACAUUUCAUAUCUUUGCAUGUUCAACGUUCCACCAUAUUGAAGAUUGAAAGCCGUAAACAAACAUCAGCAGCACAGAAACAUUGAUAUAUAUACGUAAAAUGAACUAUUACCCUGUCACCUUUUUAAAUUUUAAAAUGAUGAUGAUGAUGAUGAUAAAUAAUAAAUAAACAAAAUCUAGUCCACUGAUUUUAGUUAAACCAUCACUACAAAAAAAAAAAGUAUAUUGCCGACCAUUUAUUUCCGAGGGACCUCAAAAUCCAUAGGUGAAUAGCCUGUUUCCGAGGGAUUUUAAGGUUCCUUCGGUAAUUAGAGAAAAAUGCACAUGUGAUUACCUACAGUAGCAUUUUCCUUGGAAAAAAUAACAAAAAUCCCUAGGUGGAGUGAAUUGUUUUUGGUGGGUAUUUCAGUGCCAAAAUUUGGAGCGACGGCAUCGUUGAGCCCUAGGAAAUAGGAAUUUUUUUUAAACAAUUUUUUUUUUGUUUUAAUAUCAGGCGACGGUACCCAUAUCAUGUUUUUAGCUCACCACUUUGUGAUUUUUUUUCUCCUCAUCCAUAAAUAAACAUUUUGCAAUUUUUUGAGGAAAUCGUCUCCAAAUUGAGUCAAAGAAAGCGAAUAUUAGAAAUGAAAUUCUUAACCUCUAUCAAAAUCCUUACUUUGCUCCGAUGAGAAGACACGUGCAUAUAUUGACGUUCAUCAGGAAAUAAAAAUCAAUGAUAAUCACUAAAUUACAAGUUGCUCUAGAAAGAGAAGAUGUUCAUAGAAGAUUGAAUCAUAAAAUAAAGGAGUAAUAAUUAACAAAAUUUAAUGUAUAUUUGGAACCAAUGCUCCUUCAUCAUUAUGCUGAUAUAAGUAGUAUUCAUUAUUACAAUAUUUUAACUAUAAAAUUUAGCAAACCAAGGGCUAAUCAAAUGGUUUCAAGCAAUAGCUGGCCACUUGAGUUUGAAUCUUAGGUGAGAUAAGGGGUUAAAAAGUAUUUUUAAGUUUUAAUCUCUUCCCCUAUGUUUUAAAAAUACAAAAAAAAAAAUUAUAAAAAAUUAGUGAAACUUUAAGUCAACUAGAUCUCAAGUGACAUAUAUGAACAGAAAGUUGUUUAUAUUAAAUUUUUUAGACAUUAGAAAAAUACUGAAUAAAAUCAUUUGGAGACCUUUGUCUAGGUGCAUGUUUAGCCAUAUGCCUUAAUCUUUAUUUAUAUGAAAAGAAAAUCCAUCGUUCCUCGAUAAUUCAUUACAAUACAAGUGCUUAUAAUAUAUUUGAUUAUACAUAACAAUAAUCGUUAUGAUGUACUUGGAAUUAACACAGUGAGAGGCUGAUGAACUAACAAGAAAUUUAUUUCUUACCAAAUACCAACUCAAUCUUUAAUUUAUUAAUUUAUUUAUAUUUUGGUCAUAGCUUCCCAAGCUUGAAACUCUCUAUUCUACACUUCCACAUCUAUGAGAUACUUAUAACAAAUGAAAAUCAAUGCACAAGCGCACUUGGAUUGCUUUUGACUUUUGAGAGUUUUAAAAGUAAUUUUAAAAAGUUAAAAGUUAAUUUUAGUAUUUGAUUAAGUUUUUUAAAAAUCACAUUUGUUAAAAUUAUUGCAUCUUACAGUAGAUUUUGAAAAAUAAGGGAGGAGUAACUUUUCAAAAUUUAAUUUUAAGAUCACUUUUAUACUUAGUAUGAUUUCAUGUAUAUCCUCAUAUAUAUAAUAAAAAUAUAAAAUUAUCUUUAUUAAUUAGGAAAUAAAAUCAUUUACUUUAAGAGAUUAUUAUCAUCAAACAAAAUAAAAUUAAUAAUAUAAUAUAUUUAUUCUAGUUAUCAAUUAUUAUAUAUACACAACUAAAAAAAUUUUAUAUACGUGUUUAUAAAUGUGUAAAAAAAAAAUUACUCAACAUUAUUUCUAAUUUAGUUAUUUAUAUUGUUAUAACAAUUUAGUAAUAAGAAUUAUUAAAUAUAAAUGAUUGCUUUUAGAACUCAUAGCAUUUUCAAAAAGGACCAGGAUCCGGUGCUCAACUGAGCUUGUGUUGAGUAUUGGAUCAACGGUCAGCAAUUUCUUGGAGUUUACAUAGAGCAAUUGCUGACCAUUGCUGAGCACCGGAUCUGUUUUCUUUUAAAAAUAAAUUUUACCAAAUGUUUAACUAAUUUUUUUCAUAGUUGUUUAUUUAUACAACAUAACUUGCAGUAAUUAUUUUAAAACUUAUAGCAUUAUCCUUUUCUGUUCAUUGUUAUUACAACUAAAUAUAUCCUUCGUCUCUCUUAAAGCCUUAUUUUUCCAACAGUUAUUAACCAUGACAUCUCUUUCUUUUGCAUCCAUGUCUCUUUGGUAUCAGAAAAAGGGGGGAGGCAGGUCAAAUUAUCUGAGUUUAUUUGAAAAAUAUUUAAUUUUAUCUACGCGUCAUUCCGGUUAUGAUCCCGGCAUAUUAAACCGAUUAUGGCGGGUGAGACCGUUGGUCAGUAACAGAGUAGGAAGGAAUUUUUUUUUUUAAAAAAAAGGUAUUCUAAUAAUGAACUCUUUAUUUAUAUCAGUGUCUACCUUCAAUUCUUGUACUAGAGAUGGAAUCAAGAACGAAGGAGAAAUUAACUUCUAAGUAGAAAAUGACAAAAAUUGUGACAGUACUUUGGCUUUAAGCAAUUGGGGUACAUGGUGAAUUCUAAAAAUUUCAACAAACAAAAUUGACAAAGAUUGUAGAUUAAAUUUCUUAAAAACUGAUAAUAUUAUCAAAACUAAAGAAAGAACUGUUGGAAUAAAAAAAUGAAUUUCAAACAGGAAAAAUUCUUUAUUUUGAAACAAUUAAAAAAUACAAAAAAGAUUAAUUACCUUCAUAUUGAAUUGGUCCAAGUUGGAUUUAAACCAUUGAGUUGUGAAGGCUUAGAUACUCCUUUAUUUGCAUGUCUAAGAGAUUGUAGGUUUCUAGAUUUUAGAGAUUCACUCUUAGGAACAAUUGAAACAACUCUUUGCAACGGACCAAUUUAUUUUGGUUGUUAUCCAAAUUUUACAUUACAGUUUUAUUAAAAUGACAAAAAUAUUGGAUGUCUUAACUUUGAAUAAUAAAAACAUACAAUUACAAGAUCAAACCGGGAACACUUCCUGUAGCUUUAAUGCAUAAAAUUCUUUAGAAACCAAUGUUCUCUGCUUUUAGCACAAAAGCUUUAAAACACAACAAAAAGGAGAAACUUUAUUAAAUGGGAUCAAAUUACAAUUUGUGAGAAUGGACAAUGGAAAAGUUACACAAUUUUAAAAAGUACAAAACACAAAACUAAAAGAAAUAGAAACAAAUAUUGAUAGAAGUGUAUUAAUAUCAUUUGCUUGGCAAAGAGCAUUACAAUUUGAAAACUUGAGCUUAGGAUCCUCUGAUCUCAAAUUUGGAUCAUCCUCAAGAGAGCCAGCUAGAGCCUAUUUUUCUUCAAUUUCUAGACCUCCAAAAAGAUCAGAUCUCUGUUAAAAUAUCUAGUGAUGAUGAUGAUGCAGAGCAUGAUAAGCUCGGUGGUUCAGUCAUCAGCUUAGUGUAGCUUAAUAUCUAGUGAUGAUGAUGAUGAUGAUGUAGAGCAUGAUAAGGUCGGUGGUUCAGUCAGCAGCUUAGUAAAUUCGUUAUGCUGACUUGGCAAGUUAGUUACAAAUAGAUGUGUAAAGUGCGUGUGUGUGAGUGAAGUUUCUAGAUGGAUUUAGUAACCGAUUCAUGUAUGUUAUCGUGUAUAUAAAUAUCAGUGGUUAGAAUCAUUUUUGUAAGUUUUCAGUUAAUGAAUAAGAGCUGAUUUGAUUUUCUAUCUCUUCCCUCAUUUUCUGGUUCAUUUUCUUAGUAACCAAACAAAGCUUUACUUCAUUUUAAACAAUCUCCGAUGAGUAGAUAAUUCUUCAAACAGAUCAAAACCAUAUUAUUCUAUCAACGAACCUGAACCUGUCCAAAAUAAAAGUACAGAAACUGAGUCCCCAGGAAUGUCACUACAUAUUCAUCCAUAACUGAUCAUAAUGAAUUAGAUGCUUUAGAAAAAAAAAAUGGAAUCAAUAAAGAAUUUUUGAGAAAAGAUUUUUAAUCAAAAACAAAUGAAAAAAUAUAAAAUUUGUUUCUUGACAAGGAAAAGAAAAGCUAGAAAUUCAAAAACAAUAUUAUGAAUUCAUGAACAAGAAUAAAGCUCAAGUAAUAUUUUUCCAAUGCUUUGGAUAUUAUGCAAAUAUUUACAAUAAUAAAUAUCGAUUUCCCAAACAAUAAAUAUGGCAAGUGAGGUAAAAAUUUGGCAAACUUCUACUGGGGAUACUACUGAAUCAACACAUUUAAAAUUUAGUAUAAAAACACUUAAAUUGUAGCCUCACCUUUCAAAUAAAAAACGACAAAAAAGAACGAUAAAGAUAUAAAAAAAAAUUCUUGACCAAAAACAAAUAUAUAGUCAAUAUUUGGAAACCAUAAAAACUCACUCCACAAAUUUUAAAUAAAAACUUGGAAAGAGCAUAUGUGAAAUCCUUAUUCAAACCCCAUGAAAUUCCAAGAAGUAUUAAAAAAAGAAUUAGCUAAAAAAGAAUUUAUAGAAGAAAUCGAUAAAACACUUGUCAUUCUAAAAUCACAACUCAAACCUGAUACACCAAUAUUACUUCUACAUCAAAAAGACUUUCUACAUCAAAAGAAGUCAAUGCUUUAAACCAUUCAAGUGAUAGCCAAUCUAAAAGUUAUAGUGACAAUGAUUCUGAAAUUUUAAAAUUUAUACUUAAUAAGAUCAGUUGUGAUGAAAUGGAAAGGUUUAAAGUUGAAUGAUAGAAGAAACAUAGGUUUUUAAAUAAUGAAGUUUGUUGAAUAAGUUUGGAUUAACAAAAUUAGAGUUUUGUCCCUUUUAUAUAGUAACUCUAAAUAUUACAAAUUUACCAAAAUAGACAAAUGUGAAAUAUUAUUUUAUAAUAAAAUUUUCCUCAUCUAAAUAAGAAAAGCAAAACAAACUGCAUCCAAAUUCGAUAUCUAAAAAAAUCUUAAAAGAAAUAGGAAAAAUAAGAAAAUAUCUUAAAAUUAAAAAACGACUAGGAAAGAAGUGAAAUUUCCAACUUGACCAUGGGCAGAAAAGUAUAAACAAUUAUGGGUCUGGUUUCUCUCGUCACAAGUUUUGAAACAAUAUAAUGCCCAAAACGGACACUUGUAGCCCAAGUUAUGACCUUUGGAAGUAACCCCACCGUUCCACGCAUCCAACCUACAUCAAUCUCCCUCACUUGGAGAAAGACUUCUCCUCGAGUUUGGUUCAUACAACUCCUCAUCAUCUGGAUAAUAUUCAAAUAGAUCAGCUACACUGAAAGUAUGAGAGAUGUUCUAGUUUUUUGGCAGCUGAAGUACGUAAACAUUAUCAUUAAUCUUCCUUGACAAUAAAAAAGGGCCAUAUUUUUGCUUCUCACCACUGUUGAGCCAUCACCAAAUGACCUUCCUGAAAUAUUUUCUUCUAUUGGUGCUUGUUUGCAUCAACUUUAUACCUAGCAUUGAUAGCCCCCAAGUGAGCUCACUCCAUAGCAUGAAUCUACAACUCCUUUUUUGCCACAUUUGUUGCUUUACUUCCUUCCCCAACUACUAGUGGGAUAAAUACUAAAUCACAAACAUGGCGUGGAGGGCAAGUGUAGACAAUCUCAAAAGGGUCUUGCAAUGGAUCGAUUCACCAUACUGUUGUAAGCAAAUUCAACCUGAGGCAUUGUAGCUUCCCAGUUUCAUUGCUUGUCAUCACAAACACAGUGCAACAUGUUGCCUAAAGUGCCAUUAAUCAUAUCUAUUUGUCCAUUUGUCUAUGGAUAAAAAAUACUACUAAACUACAAUUGUAUGCUAAACUUAUCCUAGAGAUGAUGCCAAAACUUGGUAACGAGCUUUCAAAUCCUUGUCAGAAGUUAUAGUUUUUAAAACACCAUGCAAACAUACUACCUCCCAAAAGAACAAAUGCAACUAAGGCAGCAUUUUUAGUCUUUGUACAAGCUUCCCAGUUCCAUUGCGUGUCACCAUAAACAUAGUGCAACAUGUUGCCCAAAAUGUGAUUAAUCACCUCUAUUUGUCCAUUUGUCCAUUUGUCUAUGGAUAAAAAAGAACACUACUAAACUACAACUGUCUGCCAAACUUAUCCUAGAGAUGAUGCUAAAUCUUGUUAAUGAGCUUCACAUCCUUGACAGAAGUUAUAGUUUUUAGAACACCAUGCAAAUAUACUACCUCCCAAAAGAACAAAUGUGACUAGGGUAGCAUCUUCAGUCUUUUCACAAGCAAUAGAAUGAGCCAUCUCCGAAAAUAUAUUGAUCACAACCAGUAUAGAAUCUUAAACAGUCUUUAUAUGAGGCAAGCCCAACAUGAAAUCCAUGUAUAACCCCAUGUUCUACGCAUGUCCUUUGCCUUUUUGGCAAAUUCGACAUCUCUGCACAAUAUUGUGGACAUUCUAUUUAAUUACGGCCAAUGAUAUCGCUUAUCCACAAGUGCCGUGGUUUUAUCUCGACCAAUAUAGCCGCCCAGUUCUCCUUAUACAACAUGCAGAUAAUUUGCUCCUAAGUAACUUUAAGGCACAAAUAUUUUAUUAGCCUAGAAUAUAUAUAUCCAUCUUGAACGAGAAAAUCUUCUGCGUUUUAAUGAUUAACGCAUCAAUUCCAAAUAUUCUCAAAGUCUUCAUCCUCAGUGUACAACUACUUCAAGCAUUCAAAACUAGUAACUUCAUUAACUAGAGUUACAAGAAAAGUUGCUCGUCUGCUAAGUGCGUCUGUUACUUUAUUCUGAUACCCAGAUUUAUGUUUCACAGCGAAAGUGAACUUCUACUUAUAACUCACCCAUCUCGCAUAUAUCUUGCUCAUAUUAUGCUAGCUGUUAAAGUACUUCAAGGCUUGAUAGUCAAUGUAAAACAUGAACUCUUUCAUAAUCAAGCAAUGAUCAUAUGACUUCAAAGUCCUAAGAAUGGCAUAAAACUAUUAGUCGUAAGUAGAUCACUUCUAUUAUGCUUCAGUUAACUUCUCACUUAUAUAUUCAGUUGAUUGUCCUUCUUGAGAAAAAAAUAGCCUCAAUUCAUUUGUUAAAACAUCAUACUUGACCUUAAAUAACUUGUUGAAGUUUGGCAAGGCCAAUAUAAGAGCAGUACACAACUUUUACUUUAGUAAAACAAAACUCGCUUCUUACUCUUCUUCUUACUCGAACUUUCUUUUCUUUAAGCAUUCUAUAAUAGGUGCAGCUAUAGUGCUAAAACCACAAAUGAAUCUCUUAUAAAAUAUUGCCAGCCCAUGAAAGCUUCUAACUUCACCCACUUCCUUGGGCAUAGGCCAUUCUUUCAAUGGCUUAUAUCUUUGACUCAAUAGCUUGAAUCUCAUCUGCACUAAUUAUAAAUCCCAAAACUCCACAUUAUUAUAUAGAAAACUAAACUUCCUCACAUUAAUGUUAAGCUUAUUUCGAUGCAACACCUCCAUAUAUAACCAUUCUCAAAUUCUUUAAUGGGCCACCACAUUAAUAGAAUAAACCAGGAUAUUUUCAAAAUACACCACAAUAAAUUUGUAGUAAAAUGGUUUAAGAACCUAGUCCAUUAAGUACAUAAAAAUAAUAAAGCAUUUGACAACACGAAUGGCAUCAAAAACUACUAAUGGAACCUUUCUUUUAUGUUAAACACUUUUUUUCCACUUAUCUCUAGGCCUAAUUCUAAUUUGAUGGUAGCCACAACAUAAAUCUAUCUUCAAGAAAACCCAAGCAUCAUCCAAUUGAUCUAACAAAUCUCGAAAGGUUAGAAUGGGAAAUCGAUACUUCAAUGUAAUAUAUUUAAUUCGCCUGUUGUCUACACAUAUAUGCAAACUCUUAUCCUUUUUUGGCACCAACGAAGCUGGUAUAGUACAUGGACUCAUGCUCUUCCGAAUGAACCCUUUCUGCAAUAACUAAUUAACCUGCCCUUUGUACGAUCGCAUGCUCAUGAGGACUCAUAUAAUAGUGGGGCAAGUUAGGCAAACUCAAACUAAGAACUAAGUCUAUAUGAUGUUGUAUAUCUUGUAAAGACGGAAGCCCAUUUGGCAUCUCUGAUGGUAUAACAUCAGCGAACUCAGCUAACAAUGACUUCACUUUUUUAGUAACAGUCUUCACCUCAAAUUCUUCUUCCUUAUUCAGCUUCUUGCAACCAUCACAAUCAUCUUCUAAGUGACCCUUGACAAUAGUCAGAAAGUUCUUUCCUUUAGUCUUAGAAUUCUUGUUUUUGUUUGUUAAAGGCACCAAAUGAACCUUUUUUCUAUUCCAUCAAAACUCAUACACAUUGUCCUUUCCUCUAUGAACUAAUCAACAUCAAACUGCUAAGGUCUGCCCAACAACAAAUGGCACGCAUCCAUAUCCACCACGCUACACACCACAUCACUUUUAUAAAUCUUCCCAAUAGAGAAAGGAACACAACAUACUUCUGUUAUAUUUAUGUCCUUUACUUUAUCUACCUUAUCCUGUAAGAUGCUAAAUGUUUUUUUUGUUGAAAAUCCCAUCAUGUCAACUAGCGCCUUCAAAAUUAUAUUCUCGCUACUACCACUAUCAAUUAUCAUAUUAUACACCUUAUUGUUGAUAGUGCCACAUGUUCUAAAAAUCUUAUUGCUCUGAUUAUCCUCUUUAAGGCUAAUAAAAUUUUCUGCACAAUGCAAUUUGACAUCUCUCCUUCAUCUGCCUCUAACUCUAAAGCUUCUUCAUCAUCACCAUCCUUAACACCAUUAACCUCUGUCUCACUAACUUUAGCCUCUACUAAAUUCAAUUUUUUAGGACAAUAAUCAAUUGAUCGAUAGCAAGGCUCCCCACACUUCAAACACUUAUUCAGCAUAGGCUUUGCUCCUUUGCUAAUGUGGUCGUAUAACGAUGAUAAGUGAACUUGCUCUGAUACCAACUGCCAAAACUAAAACAUUUAAAGUUGAAUGAUAGAAGAAACACAAGUUUCUGAAUAAUAAAGUUUUUUGAAUAUGUCUGAAUUAACAAAACUAUGGUUUUGGCCCCUUUAUAUAAUAACCCUAAUUAUAGUGAAUUUACCAAAAUAGGCAAAUAUGAAAUAUUAUUUUAUAAUAAAAUUAUCCUAAUCUAAAUAAGAAAAGAAAAACAAAUGGAGCCCAAAUUCGAUAUCUUAAAAAAAUAUAUAAACACCUAAAAGGAACAUGAAAAUUAGAGAAAUAUCUUAAAACUACAAAAUGAUCAAGAAAGAAGUAGAAUUUCUACCUUGAUCAUGGGAAAAAAUAAUACAGCGUCUUGGUUUGGUUCAUUACGUCACAAUCUUCAAAAUGAUAUAUUAUAUACCUAAAACGAACACUUGUAGUCCAAGUUAUGAUCCCUCGAAAGUACCCUGCUCAUUCCAGGCAAUCAAUCUACAUCAAAUUGGAAGCCACACAAAAACUUUAUUUCCAAGAGCUUUAGCUCUAGAUAUAACAAUAGAAGCAAAAACUUUAUUUCCAAGAGCUUCAGCUCUAGAUAUAAUAAUAGAAGCAAAGCCUCAAGUUUUCUAAAAUAAAUAUGGUACAAAUUCAAUUUAUUAGUGGAAAUGUAGAAUAUUCUCAAUGUGUUACAAUAAAUGGCAAUGGUUAACAAUGUUUUCAAAACAAAACUUGGUUAAUCUAAUCAUGCCAUUACUCAGUUAUUAGUAGUUGGGUUUAAUGGCUAAUUAAAAGGUUGGUAGGAUUAUACCUUAACUCAAAAUGAUAAACAUAAAAUUUUAUAGUCAAUUAAGAAAGAUUCAACUGAUACAACAACAAAAGAUUACUAUAAUAAAGAAAUUCAAGAUGCUCUUAAUUCUUUAAUUUUCUCAGUAAUCAGAUUUAAUUUUAGAAAUCCCUUCUACAACUAAAGACAAAAAUGAUGAGCAAUUAACAAAUUUAAGAUGUAAAACCCUUCAAGAUUUUAGGUGGUAUAAAGACACAUUACUUGUAGGAGCAAUUUCAAGAUCUAACAAUAAUCAUCCAACAAUAAUCAUCCAAUUUGGAAACAAAAAUUUAUAGUUAGGUGGCGUUUGUUUUUUUAUCUGAAAUCUGAAUAAACCUGAAUUAAUCUGAAUUAUGAAUAGAUUUGAAUAUCUGAAUCUGAAUAUUAUGUUUAUUUUUUUGUCUGAAUCUCAGAAAAUAAGUAUUAAGUUGUUUGUUUUUUUCAACUUAAAAAGCUGAAAAUAUGUACUUUUACAUUUGUAUCCUUAUUAAAUUUGAAUGUCAAAUAAAUAAUAAAUUAAAUACCACAAUAUUUUAACAUUUAUAAGUAAAACUAUAUUCAAGUGAAUAUAUAAAAUACCAUAAAUUUUAAAUUUUAUCGUAUAUAAUAUAAGAAAGAAAAAAUAGGGAAAUUUUUAUGUGGGGUAAAUGUCUAUGGGUGAGUUUUGGGAUAGAUAUGAAAAAUAAAUUAUAAAGCAGGGAUAUUUUUUAGAUUAGCAAGUAAUUGACUUAAUUCAGAUUUCUCCAUUAAGUAAAAAGCCAAAAAAAUUAGCUUAUUUUAUUAAGUCAAAAUUAUCUAAAAAGUCUCAUUAAGUUAUAAAAACAAACACCUCUAAUUAACUUAAAUAAUUAAGUUAAGUCACUUUAAGUCAUUAAGUUAAAAAACAAACGCCACCUUAGACUACCUGGACUUCAAGCUGAUAAAGUUAGAGACAAAUUUAAAAAAUAUAUGGAGGAGAAAUUUCAUACAAAAAACUUACGUAUGGAGAAUUAAAUAGAUUUAUUCAAAAAGAAGGAAUGAAAAUUCAUAAAGCUAUGAAAUUACAGAAACAAAUAAAAAGGGAACAAUUACAUUCUCAGUAUUGUAAACUUAUAUUAACAAAAAAGAAAAAGAAAAAUUAUCACAGAUGUGAUGGAAAUUGUGCUAGGAAAUCAUAUCCUAGAAGACGAAAAUUUUACAAAAAAAAAAAAUCAAAUUUUCACAGCAGACCCAAGAAAACCAAAUAUAUCAAAAGAGAUAAAAAGUCCAAAGAAAAUACUAUGAAAAAUGGAACAAAAAAUUAUACUAGUUUUAAAUGCAGAAAACUUAGACACAUAGCAAAAUAUUGUCCAAUAAAAAGAAGAUAAACCAAUUAAAAUUUGAUCAAGAAAUUAUUUUUAAAAAAUUGAACUUCUGUUAACUGAAACCUCUUCUGAAUUUGAAGCACAAUAUGAUAGUUUUGUGAAGGAACUACAAAUAGAUGAAAUUGCUAAAACUCAGAUAGCAAGAAAGAAAUUAAUGUCUUAACAAGAGAUCAAUAUUACUGUAUGUAACAUAUAAUGUAACAUAACAUGACUGUAGAUUAGCUAAUUUGUACUGUAUUCUACACUGCCAUACCAGCGUUUGGCACCAUCAUUUGGGUGUAUUAGGCUGGUCAAUUGUUCAGCCCAGUACACCCAAAUCAGACCCGCCCUCCUCUCAGGUCUGGGCUGGUCUGCUCACUUUUUUUUAAAAAAAAAAAAAAUUGAUUUAUUAAUUAAACUUAACAUUUAAAUUUAUUUGAAUUAAUAUUAAAAUAUCACCAACCACCUUUCACCACCGCUGGCUACCAUGUUUGGCCACUGUUUGCCGCCACCUUCACUGUUUUUCGGUGGCCAUUUACAUCAUAUUGAUACUAUUGGAAUUGUUAUCAGCUCUACGUAAUGGUACAAGUACAACUGGAAACCAAGCUAACGUUUAUCGUAUAUUUACAAACAAAGUUUUAAAUUUAAAACUUUGACUGUAAGUUUACGACAAAAAGAAGCUUAGUUUCCAUUGAUAUUUAUACUGUUACGUAGAGCUCAAGACAAAAAUUCAAUGAUAACAAAUAUGCUGUGAACGGAUAAAAAUUGCUAAUUUUUGGUGGCGGCCAAUGAUGGCUUUUGAUAUUUUUAUAUAAAUCAAAUAAUUUGAAUAUAAAUAAUAAUAAAAAUAUAAUAUCGAUUUAAUAUAAAUAUUUAUAUAAAAAUAUUAUAAAAUGCAAUAUAGUCCAUACUACAAUGAACAUUGUACUAUAUUAAAUUAAUACAACUUAGUAUAAUACAUCACAAUCCAACACAAUCUAGUCUAAUCUAUUGCGGCGUACCAAAUGCACCAAAAGCCACCAUUUGUAGUAAAUAAUUAAAAAAAUAUAAACAAAAUGGCCUGCUUCAUGACUUGGAUCCCGAACUUUAAAAAAAGUUUAGGAUCCUAAACCAGAAGCUUACUCUUGUUGGUUAACUACAUAAUUGAUAGGAUAAAAUUUAAAUACUAGUAACGACAUCAAACAAGUAUGAAAGGAAAAAUAUAUCCUUAUGAAAAUGAAAUUCUCUUUUUUCAAAGUCAAAAUCCAUUCAUUUUCAUUUUUUUUUUUGCUAUAUUGUUUCAUUGUAUUAAGAAUUGUAAACUAUCGAAUAACUGCUAGAAAUAUUAAUGUAAUCUAUCUUUUACUAUAUAUCUUUAUAAAACCUGGCAUUUUAUUAUAUUGUUAUUAAUAAUGUUAGUCGAUCAGUUAAUUGAUAACAAAUAGGGAUGGGAUAAAUCCCCAUUGGGAUGGGGACCCUCAGGGAUUUUCCCCAUUCGGGGAGGGUAUGGGGACAAUUUUUUACUCAGUUUCUUAUUUGGGGAAGGGAAGGGGACAAUUUUCUUUCCCAAUUUCUUAUUCGGGAAAGGAAAGAGGACAAUAUUUUAUCCAGUUUUUUAUUUGGGGAAGGGACGGGGAUGAGGCGGAAUCCCCAUCCUCUCCUUAUUUCCCCAUUUUAAUUUAAUUUAAUUUAAUUUUUAAAAAUAUUAUUAGUAAAUAAAUAAUAAAAGGUAAAUUAUAAAAUAUUGAAUAUUAGUAUAAAUAACAAAUAUCAAAAUAAUAAUUAUUAAACUUUUGUGCCUAAUUGACUAGAUUAAUAUUUGGAUAAGAAACUUAUGCCGCAUAUGAAAUAUUUUAAUAUUUUGAGUUCGUGGAAAACAAAUGCUCAUAGGUAUCCUAUAUUGGCGCGAAUUGCUAAAAAUAUUUUGACAAUUCCAAUUACAACUAUUGUUUCCGAAUUAACUUUUAGUACCAGUAGUAAAGUACCAUAACAGGUUUCAUCCAAACACAUUAGAGGCUUUAAUGUGUUGUCAAAGUUAAAUAUGAGCUUACAAUGGUAGUAUGAGUUUAUUUUACAUUAUAAUUAUAUAAUAUAAUUAUUAAUAUUUUCACUUAGAAGUUACGUUACUUAUACUAUUUUUAUCAUUUUAGAUUUAAAACAUGAGGCUAUCUCUCAAUUUGACACAUUCUUCGAGGAAUAACAAGAGAAGUAGGAGGCACAAGAGGUAAAUACUUUUAUUAGAAAUGUUGAUUAAAUAUCUAUAUAUCCAUUUCAUUUAUCUCAAUGUUGAUAUAAAAGUAAUUUCUUUCUUUUUUUUAUUGUAGGAUUAUGAAGAUUGACAAAAAUAAUUAUCAUGGUGAUUUGUAUUUUGUAAUGUGACUUUUGUAAUGGAUUAAUGUUAAUGUAAGAUAUAUCGUCAAACUUUAUUUUUAUUUUAAUAUAAUUAAAUUAAAUCAAAAACUAAAAACAUAUUAGCUAUUUGAGGAUCGGGGACUCUCGAGAAUCCCCUAUUAUUAUUGGGGGAUGGGAUGGGGAUUUCCUAAAGCAAUUUUGUCGAGAACGGGGAGGGGACGAAGACAUAUGUAGAAUAUCAGGGAUGGGUACAGGGAGGUCGGUCUCCUCCCCUCCCCUCCCCAUUGCCAUCCCUAAUAACAAAAUAUCAAUUUUACCCUUUAAUGAAUUUUUUUAUUACAAGAAAAAAAUAACAUACAAUGGAUUAUAAUAUUACAAAUUUGGAAAAGGACACCUACACUCUUAAAGUUUGAGAAAAUGAUUAUGUAGACCCCAAACUUUUAAUGAGGGACAUCACGACCUCCUUUUAACUAUAAUACUAUUUGCAGAUAGUAACAAAAAAAUUAACUUUAAAUUUUUUUAACAAAAAAAAAUACAAUCUAUAUAGUUUAAUGUGUAUAGUAGACUAAUAAUACUAAAAUAUUUUUUAAUAUAUAAAAUAAUUUUUAAAAUGUAAAUUAUUAUAUUUACUUGAAUAAUAUAUUUUAUUUAUUAUAAAAAUUUUAAAUAAAUCUUUGGGUUAAAUAGGUUUUACGAUUAACAAAAUAUAUGCCAUGCGUUAAUAAUACUAAAAUUAUUUUAUAUAAUAUUGAAAAUAGUUUAAAGUUUUUUACAUAUUUAUUUUAAUAUUAUGCUUCUAUUUAUUAUAAAAUUUAGUUCAAUAUAAUAUAAGCUUGUAAAGUGUUAAAAUAUUUUUAAAUAUUAUAUUUUUAUUUAUUAUAAAACAAUAGAAUCAAUUUUUUUGAGUUAAUAAACCCAAAUGGGUAUUAUCGUCAAGAGGUAUAUUGGUGUCCCCUAUAGAAAAUAUGGAGUUUAUAUGACCAUUUCUCUAAACCUUGGGGGGUGUAGGUGGUGUCCUUUCUCCGAAGUUCAAAUAUAAACUAGCUAAAAAUAAUAUCAAUAAGACUAAAUUUAAAAUUUAAUACCUCUACUUUUAUACUCUUCUUUUAAAGGUAAAAUUAGCAUUUUAUUAAUUGAGUAACUAGUCAACUAACUGGUGGAAAUAAAAAUAUAGUAGAAUCAAAGAUUUUAUAAAGAUAUAUUAAUAAAAUGGUAAACAUUAAUCUUAAUAUUUCUUGCACUCUUUCCAUAUUUUAUAAUUUUUGAAACUGGGAAACGAUAACAACCUUUUUCCCUCAAAAUUCUAAAAUACCGUGUAACUUUGUACUAAAACGAUUGACACCGGUCUUUGUUCAAUAAAUUAUUGAUCCAUCAAUAUUCAAUCACAUUAAAAUAUUUUCCACCUUUCUCCUGCGUCAAAUCCAGGUCAAACUUUAUUUAAGAUAAUCUUGACACAAAUUCUCUCAAAUUUAAUUUAAACGUUAAGGGAUUUUCCGAAAAGCAAUCAGACUUUUGAAAAGAAUGGAAUUUAAAUUUUACCCUUUCGGAGCUUCAUGCAAAGCCCAACCAGACAAAUUUGCUGCCCCUGUAAGAGCUGCCCUCCAUUUCUUCGCCUUUUCCAACUGAACCGAGCUUCAUGCUUAACAAAAGCCUCUGCAAAGUUUUCAUUCUGAUUCCUGACAUCUGAUGGGCUGAUAUAAAAAAACACGGGCAAAACUGUCUGUCUAACAUUAUUAUGUUUCUUGCAAUUCCCAGUCUUUACAAUCUCACCGAAGCACCGUCUGGAAUCGGCAUAGUUCUUAGAGAAUAUUAUUGAAUUGCUUCAAGCAACUCUGAGUAAAUGUCUUCACCUCUUCGGAGUUCAAUGUCAUCUUCGAAAGUGUGAAUUCCUGGAUGAACCAGAGCUUGGGAGAGAUGAUUAGUGAAGCUGUUGCGUGUAUCUUCUCCUCGGAAGCUCAAGAAAACUUGGUGUACAACUUUGGUAAAGGUGGAAGCCAUGAAUAAGUAAUGCAAUGUCUUCAUGUGAGGGAUCAAGACACUAGCUAGUUGUUCUUUACUACUAGUUAACUUCAAGCUCAAACAAUUUUAUAGGACUAGGAGUCGAUGGUCCUACGACAAAAUAUUUUUAAAGCAUUGUAACAAAAUAUACAUGACAGAUAAGCUACCUUGUCAUAGCCGGAUUUUCACUAGAUCCAAUUCGAACUAUUAAGUGGUUGUUCUCAUCAAAUCUAGGUCAAAUCUGAUUAAAAUAAAUAAAAUUUAUAUUUUAGGAGGAGAUUAGGCUAGGUUUGGGUUAAAGUGUAUUUUCUUAUGUUUGGGGGUAGGAGGUAUAUUGAGGUGAUCUGAGGGGUGAGCUGCAGUGAUUAAGAGGUUAGCUGCGGUGAUUUGGGAGGUAAGCUAUGAUGUUAUGAGUUUGGAAUAUUAGGGCAAGCCCAUGGAGCUCAUGCGAGUUAAUUUAGAGAAUUGACAGGGAGCUCAAGAGAGCUUCGAGGAUAGCUCGUGCGAGUUAAUCUGAAUAACUCCGUAGAGCUUAUAGAAUAACUCAUGUGAAUUCAUAUAUAAAAUAUGAUUUGGGGCAUCCAAACUAUCAUAAUCAGCAGAAAAUAAGCAAACAAAAUAAAAACAUAGAUUUUACAUGGUUCGGCCCUUUGAUGUACAUCCAUAGGAGUAGUUCAUUUCCAAUGCACUAUAUAAAUGAAGUAUUAUGUGAUUUGCUUUAGAAUAUCAACAAAAUCUUUGUGUUGGAUUAUCAGGUCAUGUCAAAUUUUUUCAGUUCUACUCUCUAAGCUAUACUCAACUCUUGCAAUGAUUACCGAGCUGCACCCCACUAGCUUUGGCAAUUUCAAAGCUUGAGCUAUGUUAAAUUCUAACGAUGAUAGUUGAGCCACACUCAUCUACUUUGAUGAUUUCGAUACUAAGCUAUACUUAGCCCUGACUAUUUCAAUACUGAGUUAUACUCAACUCUGGUUAUAAUAGUUGAGUUGCACACAACUAGCUCUAGCGAUUUACUUAGGAGCUUUCUUAACUCUUUAAUUGUGGCACUAAGACAUGGAGAUAAACCAUGGCAAUAAGUCCUAGUGAAAUACAUAGAUUUUAGGAGAGACGAGUUCUCAAUCCCCUAGGUAGGUAGCCUUACUAAGGUACCUCUAUAUUCGUGAUUUGUUCAUGUUCACAGCUCUUGAGUAGUUAUCAAUAUAAGUCAGCUGAAACAAGAUUAGCUCUUGUAUCUAGAGCUACAGUCUAAGAGUUUAAACAAAGUAAGCCAUAAAUGAAGAUAAAUUACAAUUAACAAAUCAUAAUAAAAAAAGGAGUUAACCAUUCAUUCUCAACCACAUGGCAAUAAAGAUCAAUCAUUCAUCCAAAUAAACAUAUCUAAGAACUUGUUCACUCACAUGAUACAUAGCAAGAGUAAAUCAUUCAAUUACUUUCGUUAAGAAACAAUUAAGAAUGAAAGGAAUUUAUAUAUAUUGCAAAUAAAUGUAGACAAUUAAAACCCUAAAAUUAAUAGCUUAAUUACUGUUCACAAAUAUUGUUCAUCCACAUAAAAAAUAUUAAUUUUCCAAAAACACAAUAAAUUCCAGAAAAUAAAUGACAUGGAGAUUUUUACAUGGUUCGGAUUAAUCAAUCUUACAUCCACGAGGCCACGUCUAGAUGAAAAACAAUUCACUAAAUUGAGAUGUUACAACCUAUGGAUUUAUUAAACUUAAGACUCUCACUUACACUUUAUCACCAUUUAGUUCAGUCAACCUUAGACUGAAUCUGCUUCUCUUAAAUAAUUGCUCUUGAUCCACGAUCCUCAAGGCACUUCGCAAAGUGAUCAAUAACAAUUCUUCAAAUCUUCAAUAUCUAGUGAUCUAAAAUCCACAUACACUCUCCACAGAGAUGAAAAGAAGAUAAGAAAAAAAAUCAAUACAACAUUAUGUGCCAAAUCCGGAUUCUCUAGGGAGAAGGCCGAAUUUUGUUUUUAUAUUUUAUGCUUUGUGUUGUGUGCCUUCAAUUGUGAAAUACCUCUCUUUAUACAGGCACUAGGGUUUCACAAAAAAUAGCAAGUCUUAAAAGACUUAGAUUCUUUCCAAAUAAGAGUUUUUUUCCUCUUAUAAUUCCUAUGAAUCUGAAUAUGAAUAAAUAUGAUCUUCUUAUCUUACUUGUCUCCCAAGAAAUAUCUAGAGCAUUUAAUGAACUUUCUGUUUGAACCAACUUCUUGCUCUAAAUAGAUCUCAUAUGUCAAUUAUAGAAUCUCAUCAUUAAUUGACUUGCUAAAUUAGAUAUCUAAUUAAAUUAGGAAACAAAUAUUCCUAAUAAAUUGGAAUCUUACUAAAUUAGGGAAUUAAUGAAUUAAUCCCUACUACAAGAUAUGCAAUAAAUAAAAUUCCAAUUUAACUAGACUUGCCAUAAGAUGCCAACUCUAUAAAUAAUGGACUUAACAAAGAAGAUUAGACAUACGAUCAUGAGUAUUUUAGAAUAAACAAGUAGCAUUCAUUUAUAAGAUCUACUUAGAUGAAAGUAGCUUAAAUCAUAAUUAUUGCAUUACUAGCACGUGUUAUGCUAAGAAUAGAUCUUAAAAUCUCUUUGCUAUCAUGUAGACAUCAAGGAGUUUCUUUAAAAUAAAUCAAGUCAUGGAAGUGAACAAAUAAGGUUCUAUCAGACCUACCACAAACAUAUAUGAGCAAAUAUGUAGUAGAGAAUUCAAAAAUAGAGAUAAAUAAGGAAGAGCUUAGAGCAUAAUACUAAUAAUUUUCCUGAGUGUUGAAGCAUUCAAGAGGUGUUUCACUCUACUCUAGCGCUUAGAGAAGAACUGAAGUAGCUUCAAAACUGCUACACUAAUUUGCAAUUUUCCUUUAAAGAUCGCUCUUGGUGUUUUGGAGAAAUCCUUAAUGGUGUUUUCUUGAUCAGGUAUCCUCCUUAACAUUUUUCUUGAGCAUUUCAUAGAGGAUUUCUCUCUGGCUUUUUUCCAAGGAUUUCUUUUUGGUGUUUUUCUGAGGGUUCCUUAAUACAAUUUCUUAUGGAGCUUCUCUAUUUGGUGAUUUAAAUCCAAGAGUACAUCCCUUGCCAACUCAAUCUAAACUAACCAUUACUACUAAAACCUUUUGUGUAACCCUCCCAUUAGACGGUGCCAGUUGGUUUAGCUCGAUUUUUACUAAGAUUCGAUUCGAACCAUUAAAUGGUUGUUCUAAUUGGAUUUGGGUCAAAUCUGAUUAAAAUAAAAAAAAUUUAUAUUUUAGGGGAAGAUUAGAUUAAGUUUGGGUCUAGGUGUAUUUUCUAAUGUUUAGGGUAAGAGGUAUAGCUGAGGUGAUUUGGGAGGCAAGCUGAGGUGAUUAUAUCUAGAAAAAUACUCAAAGUUCGGUAAAGCAAAAAGAGAGAGAGAGGGUCAGAGAUGGAGAGAGCCCCCUCAAGAUUGAAUGUGUAGAGCUUAUAUAAAAGUGUUCCUGACGGUAUUUUGGUAAUUUUAGACACGUAGUGCUCAUUUAAUGGCUAGCCUCCCUUAGGUGAGGCUAUUUGAGUAAUUUGCCUUGUGGUCCCUUGAUGGUGACAUCCAUGAGCUUGAGAGGCAAGAAACCCUUCGGCCACCUUUUGCCUUCAUGGCCAGACAUAUGACAGCCUCCUAACUUUAUGGUCUUGUGGCUUUUCUAUCAGUAUCAAAAGGCUAGGUAAUGUGGUCUUUUCUCAAUACUUGGCUAGAGAAUCUCAAUUCUUAUUGGCUCCUUAUCUUUAACCAAAAUAAGAUAUUUUUGUUCUCUCUCAUGAUGUCAUGUUCUGUCUAUGUGUUGGCCUGAACCACCAAAAUCUAGUUUCCAAUAAUACCCUCUGAUAUUGUGUGUUUUUACCAAAAUUGUCUUUCUUUUUCAGGGAACUUACCCCCUAUCUCUUUGUGAGUUAUCCUAACGUCCAAUUAAACUAAUUGACUUCCCUUGAUUGACUUUCUUGGCAUGUGUCUUUUAGUUGUGGGCCACAUUAGCACUCGAAUUUCCCCAUAUGUAUUAUUUGCAUAGCCCUUCAUUCGGUUUACUUCUAAUUUGAAAAGUUCGGUAUAUUUGACUUUAAGCAUUGAAAUUGACCACCAAAGAUGAUAUAAUAAAUGUUACUUAGUUGUUUCUCUUUCUCACUACGUAUUUUAAAUGUGGCAUAGCCUUCAAAUUAUCUUUUUCAUUGGAAAUCACCAAAAUAAAAAUCUCUUGACUUACGGAAUGGUUCUUUUUAAUAACUCACUAAUACAACAUAGUGAAAUAAAAAUAACUUCUCAAAAAGAAUCAAUUAAGCAUAUCAAUAAACAAAAAAUAUUCACACCAAAUGAACAAGAAAAACUCCAAAAAUGGAUUUACAAUUUUAGGUUAAUUUUGGAUUAUCCUCUUGUGAAGUGACAGUCUUCAAAUUGUUCCACUUAACUUUUGGAAAUAUCAUAUUGCCCCCUAAAAAUAGUUAACUUUAACAAUUGAUCAUUGGUGAUUUGUUAAAGUACGAAAAUAUCCUUUUUUACUAAGUUUCGUUGAUUAACAAUUUUAAUACUUAAAAAUAUACUUUUUGAAUUAAUAAAAUAAUGAAAUAAAAAUGACGAAGUCAUUAAAGUUAAAAACAAAAUAUCUCUUUCCAAUUUAAUCUCCACCAAAUCAGAGUCACACUAAAUCCUAAUUAGGAUACCCAUAGUUUAUCAUAUCAUUCCAAUUGGUUGGCAUGGCUGUGCAUGGCCCAAGGAUUUGGCUACCUUGGCCAUGCAUGACCAUGGAUCAUACGGCCAUGCGUUCAUGCAGGCAUGGGUUUGGGUGCCUUGGCCACGAGCGACUAGGGGUUUGGUUGCCUUGGUCACCUGUUGCCAUGGUUUGGUUUCCAUGGCCAGUGAGGGUUUGGUUGCCUUGGCUGUAUAUGGCCAUGGAUUUGGUUGCCAUGGUUAUGUGCGGCCACGAGUUUGGUAUCUAUUGGGUAUAAACGAAAAUAUUUAAAGUAUUUAGGUCCAUACUAUAAAUAUUUAAAAUAUUUAUGUGUGUUUCGAAACACUAAAAAAGAUUUAGGCCCAUGAAAAUUAGCCUACAUAGAUGUUUGAUUUUUUUUCUAUUAAUUGACUGUAAGAGAAUGUACAAAUACUAUUUCAUCCUUUCAGUCGUUAAAAAUAAUAGCAAGAUAAUGACUUUUGGGAGAUAACUUGUUAUUUUAAAAGUAAAGGAUUUAAUUUGAAGAUUAUCACUUCAUGAGAGAGUAAUUUAAAAUUAAUCCCAAAAUUUUCAAAAUUGCCUUCAAUGAACCUAGAAAAUUGGUGAAAAUGCAUUAAUCUAAUCCUUAUAAACAUGCUUAAUAAUACUAAACCCACCAACAAUACCCAGCAGUCAAACAAUAACAAAGAAAAAUGAAUCUUGAUCUCAAAUUUAUUUCAUACGACUUUUUGAUUCAAUUUUAAAAAGACUUUUAAGACAUGUUCAUAUAUUCAUUCGUGUCAUUCUUUUUUAAUUGUGCAGCUGCCCUUGUAUUCUUUGCACCCUGCUUCAGUUUUUUUGUUGUUUGUUUGAUGACCAGUGGUUCUUUUUUUUUAUACUCUCUCAUCAUAGAGGAAUUGUACAUCUAAAUAAUGAGUUAAUUUGGUAGAUUUUCUUGGCGAAGGCUUUGAAGUAACUUCAAAAUCUAGUUUGUUUGGAGUUUGUUGAGGAGUUGGUUGGGAAAUUUUAAUAAUAGUGCUCUUUGAAUUCAUUAUACUCUUCACAGAUUUUUGAGUAAACUCACCCGAUGGGAAACUGGCCUAUGAAAUAAUUAAAAUAUACAUGCGUACAAUUAGUAGUAAUACAUGCAUAUACAAAUAGAAAUAAAUGAAAAUAAAAUAAUGACAUUUAAUAUUCCCUCUACUAACCUUUCUUUUUCCAAGAGCUUUAGGAGAUUGUUGAUCAAUCUCAAAUUGAACACCGGCGGAAGGUUUGUGUUAUAACCCUAUUAACGUAUUGAAUCUAGAAAGAACUAAUCAAAGCAAGCUAAUCAAGAAAGAAACAUGAAAGAACUUUAACAGAGCACAGUUCCAAGCACUCAACUUGUAGAAGGAAAAACUGCACUUUUAUUGAUCACUAUGAAUCGAAUUACAAGCUAAUUCUAUAGAGGAGUUUACAAAGAUCACAAAGAACCAAUUAGCUCACUAAAUGAUCAAGAAAUGAGAAAGAUUACAACCACAUAUUAGAGGCUAAAACACACGUAUAUAUACUCUGGUAUUUCUGGGAAAUCAUAACGAACUCAUAACGAAUUCUUGCCACAUCAGCUUUAAUAUUUCAAUUAGACCCCUCCAGCUGAAGUCGAUCUGCACAAUGCCCCCAGACUUCUUCAAAUCUUCCAUUUAAACCCAACAACCAUUAGUUGACCAGUAGCUUAUUUCCUCACACUCUCCACCUUGCAUACUCGAUUCAGCUGAUCAUCUCAAUUAAGUAACAUAAAAAACCUUCAAAGACACAUGUUUCAGGAACUAGAGCUGCUGCCAACACCAAUGAAGUUUACACAAAACUUAAAUUUUGUUGUUGGUAGCACUUUGGUUAGCAUAUCAGCAGGGUUGAUGUCUGUAUGUAUCUUGAUCACUGCAACUGACCCCUUUGCAACCUCAUCUCUGAUAAAGUGCAACUUCACAUCAAUGUGCUUUGUUCUCUCAUGAUAAACUUGGUUCUUGAUGAGCUGAAUGGCACUCUGAUUAUCACAAAAAAUUUCUACUGUUUUUUGUUUCAACCAUAGUUCAUUUAGCAGCCCUCUCAACCACAUUGAUUCUUUCACUGCCUCUGUUGCAACAACAAAUUCUGCCUCAGUAGAUGACAAAGCUACUAUGUGCUGUAGAGUAGCUUUCCAACUUAUGAGGCAACUAUCCAACAUAAACAGAUAACCUGAGAUGGAUUUUCUUCUGUCCAAGUCACCUGUAAAAUCAGAGUCAACGUAUCCUCUGACUUCACAGACCUCAUGCUUGGAUUUACCAUACAUCAAACUAUGAUCUAAGGUUCCCUUUAGGUACCUCAUGACCCAUUUUACAGCAUCCCAGUGAAGCUUACCAGGAUUACUCAUAAAUCGACUCACCACACUUACUGCAUAAGCUAUGUCUGCUCUGGUGCAAACCAUUGCAUACAUCAAGCUUCCCACAGAGGUGUCAGUACUGGUUUUGAGUCCAUCAUCUGAAAUCUUUCCAGUACUUUGCUGAUAUACCUUGACUGGCUUAGAAAUAAGGUACCAGCUAUUCUAUCUCUAACAAUAUCUAUCCCAAGAAUCCUCUUGGCACUGCCAAGAUCUUUCAUUUCAAAUUCCCCCUUCAGCAAAUUCUUGAGCUCUUUAAUAUCACUGAGAUCUUUACCAGCAAUGAGUAUAUCAUCAACAUAUAGUAGAAGAUAUACUGCUCCACCUGAGUUUAUAAUCCUAUGAUAGACACAACUAUCAUAUUUGCUCCUGGAAUAGCCAUUGGAGAUCAUAAACUGAUCAAAUCUUCUAUACCAUUGCCUAGGGGAUUGUUUCAAGCCAUAUAGAGACCUUUUAAGAAGGCACACAUACUCCUCAUGUCCCUGUUCUUCAAAGCCUUCAGGUUGAGACAUCAAUAUCUUUUCUUCAAGAUUGCCAUGUAGGAAGGCAGUCUUUACAUCCAUUUGUUCAAGCUCUAGAUCAAACAAAGCCACCAUAGCAAGCAAGAUUCUGAUUGAACUGUGUUUUACCACUGGUGAGAAGAUUUCAUUAAAAUCAAUCCCCUCCUUCUGUGUGAACCCUCUUGCCACCAGUCUUGCCUUAUAUCUUGAAUCUUCAACACCUGGAAUGCCCUCCUUUUUCUUGAAUAUCCACUUGCAGCUGACAAUCUUCCUAUUCCCUGGAUUUGGGACCAGAAUCCAAGUCUGAUUUCUUACUAGAGAAUCUAUUUCCUCCCUCAUAGCUUUAAUCCAGUUUCUGCUAUUCUUGCUACUCAUUGCUUCUCUAUAGCUGUUAGGCUCUUCAAUUGCAACAUCUUCUGCACUCAUCAAGGCACAUGCAACCAUAUCUGCAUAUGCAUAUCUUGCUGGAGGUCUGGUAUGUCUUCUUUCUCUAUCUCUAGCUAACUGAUAUUGUUGUAAAUCAGUUACUUGUGGUACUUCACCUUCUGUUACUUCUGCAUCUUGAGUCUCAGCUUCAACAGCCUCUGGUUGUAUUUGAUCUUCAUAGUCUUUAGACAACUCCACUUCAAUCUUUUCACCUUGCUCAGUUUCUGUGGUGGCUUGUGUGUCACUUGUAUUGAUGUCAUUAACAGAAGUGGCUUGGUCAGAGUUAUUGAUCAUGGCCACUUCAUUGAACUGGACAUCUCUACUGAUCAGACACUUGUUAGCCUCUUUACACCAGACCCUGUAGCCUUUAACCCUAUCUGGAUAGCCAACAAAAACUCCUUUUAUGGCUCUUGCAUCAAGCUUCCCUUGUCUGACAUGGACAUAAGCAGGGCAUCCAAAUACCCUCAGGUGUUCAUAUUUUCCAGGUCUUCCAGACCAGAGUUCUUCAGGUGUCUUGAAGCCAAUUGCUGAAGAUGGACUUUUAUUUACCAGGUAACUAGCUGUAGAAACAGCUUCUGCCCAAAGGCUCCUAGGAAGUUUAGAGUUUAUCAACAAGCAUCUUGUUUUGUCAAUAAGUGUUCUGUUCAUCCUCUCAGCUAAACCAUUUUGCUGAGGGGUGAAUCUUACUGUUUUGUGCCUCCUAACUCCCCAUUCCUGGCAGCAUUGCUCAAACUCUUUAUUACAGAAUUCAAGUCCAUUGUCUGUUCUUAAUCAUUUCACCUUGAAACCAGAUUGAGUCUCCACCAAAGUCUUCCAAAUCUUGAACUUCUCUAGGGCUUGGUCUUUGGUCUUCAGUAUGUGGAUCCAUACUUUCCUGGAGUAGUCAUCUAUGACUGACAUAAAAUACCUUCCCCCACUCAAGGAUGGUACUUGUGCAGGCCCCCAUAAAUCAGCAUGUACAUAAUCUAAUGGUUGUUUAGAUACAUGUAUGCCCUUUGUGAAUUUGGACCUGUGUGCCUUGCCAAAGAUGUAGUUUUCACAGAAGUCUAGCUCAUCUAUAUUAUCACCACACAGCAGCCCUUGCUUACUCAAUUCUUGCAUUCCUCUAAUACUCAUAUGGCCUAGUCUAAGGUGCCAUAACAUGGUUCUAUUAACAUCAGAAACAGCAGGCAUUGCAGCUGAUCCAGGCACUGAUGACCCUUCUAACACAUAAAGGCCAUUCUUCUUAACUCCUUUCAUUACCAUCUCAGUCCCCUUCAUAAUCUUCAAACCACUAUUUUCAGAUUUGAAGCUAUAUCCCAUACCAUCUAGCAUGCCUAAAGAGAUCAAGUUUCUCUUUAGCCUAGGUGCAUGCCUUACAUCACUUAGAGUUUGAACAGACCCAUCAAACAUCUCUAUUUUGACAGACCCCAUACCAACAAUCUUACACACAUUGUUGUUACCCAUCAACACUCUACCACCAUCCACAGAUUUAUAUGUAUGGAAAAGGCUUUUAUCAGGACACAAAUGAAAUGAACAGCCUGAAUCAAGAACCCACUGACCUUUGAUAUUGCUGUUUGAAGCCACCAACAAAUCAGCACUAUGGUAUCCAUCAUCAGAGGAGUCUUCUGAGGCUACUGCUGCAUCACCUGUUCUCUCUUUUUCAUCCCUCUUUUUCUCAGCACAGUCCCUGAUGUAGUGAUCUUGUUUCUUGCAAUAGAAGCACUUUCUUUUCUUCAUUUUUUCUUUUACAGAUACAUCAUCCUUUUUAGCUUGACUCUGGUUCUUCUUCUUCUGAUUUUUCUUUUCUGUUCUGGCAAAUAAGCCUUCAGCAUUACUAACUUCAUGCCCAUUAUUCUUCUGGAUCUCCUUAGAACUCAAAGAAGCUUUUACAUCCUCUAAAGUGAGUGUAGUUCUUCCAUACAGCAUGGUGUCUACAAAUCCUUCAUAGAUUUUUGGCAGUGAGCUCAGUAGAAAGAAGGCUUUAUCCUCAUCAGUUAUUUUCACAUUUUCAACUCCUUCAAGAUCAAGAAUGAUCUUGUUGAAGUUGUCAAUGUGUUCUUGAAUCAAGACUCAUUCUCUCAUAGAAAAGGUAUAUAGCCUUUUCUUCAAGAACAAUCUGUGUGCCAGGGACUUUUUCAUACACAAGGCCUCCACCUUGUUCCAGAUACCAAGGGCAGUCUUCUCUUCAGAAAUCUCCCUUAGAAUUGAGUCACUGAGACUCAAGAUCAAGGUACUGUGAGCCUUGUUCUGUAUCUGUCUUUUCUUCUCAUCAGAGACUGAACUUGAAGCAUCCCCAAGAUCAUCUUCUUCCAGCGCUGAUUCGAGACCUUGAUGAACAAAGAGAGCCCUCAUCUUCAUCCUCCAAAGUGAAAAGUCACCACCAAUGGUGAACCUUUCAAUAUCAGGUUUUGGAAGAGACAUGUUUUUGAACCACCACUGGCUCUGAUACCAAUUGUUAUAACCCUAUUAAUGUAUUGAAUCUAGAAAGAACUAAUCAAAGCAAGCUAAUCAAGAAAGAAACAGGAAAGAACUUUAACAGAGCACAGUUCCAAGCACUCAACUUGUAGAAGGAAAAACUGCUCUUUUAUUGAUCACUAUGAAUCGAAUUACAAGCUGAUUCUAUAGAGGAGUUUACAAAGAUCACAAAGAACCAAUUAGCUCACUAAAUGAUCAAGAAAUGAGAAAGAUUACAACCACAUAUCAGAGGCUAAAACACACGUAUAUAUACUCUGGUAUUUCUAGGAAAUCAUAACGAACUCAUAACGAAUUUUUGCUACAUCAGCUUUAAUAUUUCAACUAGACCCCUCCAGCUGAAGUCGAUCCGCACAAUGCCCCCAGACUUCUUCAAAUCUUCCAUUUAAACCCAACGACCAUUAGUUGACCAGUAGCUUAUUUCCUCACAGUUUGGGUUUAGGAUAGUUAGAACUACCAACUUCAAUAUUGUUGUAGGCAUUCAACCUUGCAUUCAUGUGUUCCAAUUGAGCUGACAUAAAUUGAAAACUCUCUUGAUACAUCUUUCUUUAUCUUGUCAACUAUGUAGUAUUAGGAACAUGAAAGUACAUAGAUGUGGUGAUGAAUUGUCCUACUCCUUGCACCCUGCUUCCAUUUGGCUGUUUUUGAAAAGCUUCGCUUAGAUGUCAUUUGACCCAUGUGAUUGAAAUUUUCCUUGUUCAACUUGACUCUUCAGCUCAUUCUACCUACAAAAAAAAAAUUAUAAAUCUACAAGUUCAACUUGACUCUUGAUACAUCUUUCUUUAUCUUGUCAACUAUGUAGUAUUAGGAACAUGAAAGUACAUAGAUGUGGUAAUGAAUUGUCCUACUCCUUGCACCCUGCUUCCAUUUGGCUGUUUUUGAAAAGCUUCGCUUAGAUGUCAUUUGACCCAUGUGAUUGAAAUUUUCCUUGUUCAACUUGACUCUUCAGCUCAUUCUACCUACAAAAAAAAAAAUUAUAAAUCUACAAGUUGAAUUAAGGAAUUAAAGAAUCACCACUAACAACUUAUCAGAACCUCAAAAUUCAAAACAGAAGUAAACUUAAUUAUACCAUAUAAGAAUGGAAUAUAUAAGAAUUAAAUAUACAAGUGACUUACUAUUUUCUCAGCUAUUGGCAUCACUUCAGAAGCAUAUUUGCCAUCUCAGUCUACUCGUGCCAUUAACCAAGCUUUACUGCGGUCAAUCUCUCGCUCAGAAACUCCAUUCUUUUUUUUCUGUUAUAGGUUGACAGAAAACAAAAAGUAUUGAUUCUAUUAUAUUAUAUGCAUUGGUUGGGUUUUAUUGCACAACUAUAUUAUAUUGUACAUACUUUUCUAUACAACACACCACUAUAUCUUGUGCUACCCAAGUGAUGCUUAUAUAUAUUUUUUGCUCUUGUUUCUUUUGCUUUUGUACUUUUUUCCUGAACAAAUAAUAUAAUAAAGAAGAAAAGGGUUACAAUUAAUUAUUAGUAACCAAUAAGAAAUAAAUCAAGUAAUAUUAACAAACAGCACACCUGAAAAUCUUGAGACAACUUUGCCAACAAAAAGUUUCUAAUCUUCUUUUUUAAUACUCGGAUAUUCAAUAUGGGGCAACCUUAGUGACUUUAUAUCAUCCUUAUAUGGUAGUAUGAAUUCUUUUGCCAGCUCACUUCUAAAGUUUCUUGAUGCAACCCCCAUCCAUUUUAACACUUGGCUUUUGCAUUUCAAGCUCAAUUUGAAUUUUUUCUAUAAAGCAAUGACAAAGAUUAAAACCGAGUUUAAAUAAAUCCGGAAGUUAUUUAAAAUCAUUAAAUAUAUUACUAAAUAAUUAAAAAAACCUAAAAAAUGAAUCCAUAGAGUUUCCUUCAUUUCUAGUAGCACACGCCUCCAAUCAUCAAGUAAGAUUGAUAUUGUUUCACGUACGAUGACGCCAAUAUAACUCCUCAGAUCGUUUCUUCCCUUUCCAACUGGAACACCAUAAGAAUUGUACUCAACUAGAGCUUUACUAAAUUCUUCUUUUUGCAAGCCUUUUUUUUUCUUCUCCUUGGUCUUCCUUCGAGCUCUGGAUAAGUGAACACAUCGUUUUGAGCCAUAUCUCCUAUAAUGCUGAAAAUGACUAAAAUGAAUAAGUACAUCAAUUAAAUUAAAAAGCCAAUACAAUAGUAAUGGAAUAUAAUAAAAUAAAUAAAUCACUCACUGGAAACUAGCAAUAAGAAUGCAUUUAGUGAUUUUCUAAAUCAAUAUCUAUUGGAAUAACAUCACAAUCUUUUCUGUCAUAAAUUCCUUCGUCAUCAUUCUCAUCCAACUCACAUACUAGAAGUCUGUUGGAUAAUGGUGAAAAUACAUCAAUGUCCUCACAUGUUUCCCCAUUUGACUUAUAAGCUUUUUCAGUCACUGAACAAACUAUUGAUUUACUCUUAUCUACCUGGUCUUUUAUGUAAAACACUUGUUUUGUAUGACAAGCUAGAAUAAAGCAAUCAGAUUUAUAACCAAUUCGAUUUAAAUCAACUACAGUGAAACCCAAAUCAUCAACACUAACCCCCUUAUCAUCUACCCAAUCACACUUGAAAUUUCUUUUUUAACUAUCAGAUAAUCAAGCUGCUACAUCUCAUCAAUGACUCCAUAAAAGUCAUGUCUCCAAAAUGAGGACUUUUAUCUUUAGAACUUGAAAUUUAUAAAGUGUUAGCGAUAACUCUAACACCACUAUUUUGGGUUACACGAUUAUUGUCCUGGUCCCUUGUUGCUAAAUUAAAGCCAUUAAUUUGGUAGCCAGGGUCUGUCACCGCACUUGAGUGCGGUUUGUUUGCCAACGACCACACUAUUUCCUCGACUAGCACAUUAUUUGCUCUAUCAUGUGCUACUUAUAAUUUAAAUUAAAAAGUAUAAUAAUUACUUACAUGAAAAAAAAUCUUAUUAAAGUUAAAGUUUGUAACUUAUUGUAUUUAGUUAAGCAUUAAUUCUAACCUUUUUUUUGUAACCAAGCAGAAAAUGUACGAGUGUGUUCAUUUUGCAACCAUAGACAUUUUUUUUUUUUGCCUUAUAGGGGUGUGUUAAUGCCAAAUAAUAUAUAUGUUCCCUACAGUAAGACAACAUUAACACUUAAAACUAUAAUAGUAAUAUUAUAAUUCAAUCUUAAUAUGUAUUGAAAAAAAUUAAAGAAUAGCUUACUCAAUGUAUGUUUGGAUUUCAAUGGUGUUCAUUAGAACGCACCGGUGUACUUGUGCCAAUAAAGUAUCAUCAACCACCUUAAUGUUUGCACCUCUCAAAGGCCUUUUGAUUGAAAAAUCAAUUAGACAACCAAUAGGUAGUCCAACAAUAUCACAAUUUGAGAGGUACUCAGCACAAAAUUCAAGUGCUUCUUCAGCAAUAUAACUUUCUGCAAUACAACCCUCGGGGCGAUAGCGAUUACAAACGUAAUCCUUAAGAGUUUUCAUCUCUCUCUCAAAAGGAUACAUCCAUUGAAGAUAAACUGGCCCACAUAACCUAACUUGUUCAAUUAGAUGGAUUGUUAAAUGGAUCGUUAUGUCAAAAAAGCUAGGUAGAAAGUACUGUUGUAAUAAGCAGAAAGUGAUUACAAGUUCCUUUUACAAGUGGUCAAGAGUACUAGGUUCUACUACCUUACAGAACAAUGAAUUAAAAAAGAAGCACAUCAUGAUUAUGACAUUUCUAACAUCUAUAGGUAAACAAUUUCAAAGGGCUAAUGGUAGCAAUUGUUGCAUCAAAAUAUGACGAUCAUGGGACUUAAGACCUUGAAGCUGACAAUCAUCCCUUAAAACAAGUUUUUGGGCAUUGGAAGAAUAACCAUUAGGAACUUUUACACUUUCCAAGGUUUCAAAAAAUUAUUUUUUGCUUCUUUACUCAAAGUGUAUGAAGCUGGAGGUAAGACUUUGUUAUUUUUGUUUAUUUCAUCAGGAACUAGUUUCUCCCUUAUCUGAAAAUGCUCAAGGUAUUUUCUAGCAUUAAUCUCAUCAUUUGUCUUGCCCAUUUGAUGAAGUAGUGUGUCAUAGAUGUUUUCACACACAUUUUUAAAAAUGUGCAUCACAUCUAGUUGAUGAUGAACUAAUAAAUGCUUCCAAUAUUCUACGUUAAAAAAGAUUGAUCUCUUUUUGUACAAUUUUUCAGUUAUGUUCUCAUCAUGUUUCCAUUUUUUCCCUUCUUUUUUCCAAACUUAGUGUCAAUAUCUUUCACCAUCGUAAAGAUUUCCUCACCAGACAAACUUUUAGGAGGCUCAUCCCACUCUUGCUUCCCAUUAAAAACCUUUUUGAGUUUUCGAAAUGGGUGAGUAAGUGGUUAAAAUUGACAAUGGCCCAUAUAUGACAUUUUUUACUAUGUGGGAGCUAACAGGCACAAGUGUCUAUCCACAAAUUGGGCAAGCAUAAUAGCCUUUAAUAGUACACCCGAAGAGGUUUCAAUAUGUUGGGAAGUCAUUGAUUGUCCACAUCAACACGGCCCGUAAAUUGAAGGUUUCUUUUCUAUAUGCAUCAUAAACAUCAACACCUACAUCCCAUAGAAUUUUCAAGUCCUCAAUCAAAGGUGCUAGGUAUACAUUUAGAUCAUUUCCAAGUUGUUUAGGGCUAGAUAUCAAAAGAGACAACUUCAUAAAUUUUCUCUUCAUACAAAAGCAUGGAGGAAGAUUAUAUGUUAUUAAUGUAACGGGCCAACAACUAUAAGUAGUGCUAAGUGUACUAUAUGGCUUAACACCAUCAGUGAGGAGAGCUAAAUGAAAAUUUCUAGGUUCUUGUGCAAAUUCUAGCCACUUGUUGUCAAUUAGUUGCCAGAUUGGGGAGUCUGAUGGGUGGCAAAGCUUGCCAUCUCUAAUUCUCUUAUUAACAUGCCAUGUUAGGUUUUGAGCUGUUUGUGGUGAUUGAAACAAUCUUUUGAACCCAAGAAUAAGAGGAAAAUACCAUAGCACCUUCUCUGGAACCCUUUUCCUAAAUUCUUUUGAGUUAUCUUUUUUCUUUGCCACCCAGACGCUCCACAAUUUAGGCAUUGAGUAAGAUCAUCAAAUUCAUUCCUAUACAAAAUGCAAUCAUUUGGACAUGCAUGUAUUUUUUCAUACUCUAAGCCUAGCACUUUCAUUGUCUUCUUGGCCUCAUACAUUGACUUAGGUAGAUUAUUAUUAUUUGGUAAAAUAUCAUCAAGGACUUCUAACAAAGCAGAAAACCCUUUAUCAGACCACCCAUAGUUUCCUUUCACAUUAUAAAGUCUCAUUAAACCAAAUAGCUUUGAAUGUUUUGUACUCGGAUACAAAGGUUUUUCAGCAUCUUCAAGUAUAUCCUUAAAAGAAUUAGGGCCUUUAUCACAAUGCUCGUAAGCAUUUUCAACCAUGUCAUUUAUAUCAUUGUAAACAUGACAUCUAAAUCUUUGACUAUGUGGAUGGUCUUGACACUUUGUAAAUGUAGAAAUGAGAUCAGUUUCACCAUGCCAAGUACAAACUCUAUAUUUUGCGAGAAAACCUUUUUCAAAUAAAUGAUCAUUUACUUGUUCAGGAGUGUGAAACUCCAUAUUACAAAAAAAAAAGUGCAAGGACAUCUAAUUGACAUUCAGUUUUCAGCAUUCAAAAUGGAAAAAUCUAAGAAAUCAGCAACUCCAGUCUGAUACUCUAUGGAUAAUCGAUUACAAGUCAUCGAAGUUCUAUCCAUUUCAAAUAUUUUUACCUGUUCAUAUAUUAUAUAGUAUCAGUUUAAUUUAAUAAAAUUGCAUGUUAAUUUCAAAUGUUUAAAGUUAUUAUCAUUAUAGCUUUAAUAAUAAAUUCAUAAUUUAGGAAAAUUAUUUAUAGCUCCUAUAAAUUAAUGCAUUACCAUCAAGUACAAUAUUUUUUCCUAUACACUUAUAUUAAUUUGAAAACAUUAAUAACAACAUAUUUUUGCUUGUGAAAAUUUCAUGGCAUGCUUAUCUAAUGAAAAACUUAUAAAUUAACAAUAACCCAUGUUUUUAAUUUGAAAACAUUUCACUUACAUGUAAUCCUAAUCACAUCCUAAAUCGCUGGAAUGUCCUCUAGUUGAUCAACAAUUGAUGCUCCACCUAUAAAUUGGAGAGACAUUUAUAAAAAAACUGAUACUCCAUAUACAUUUAUGGAUGAGUCAUAGUGUCAUACCUACCAUUGAUGGUGGCAAUUUGAUUAUACAUAUACAUAUAUAUGUAUAUGUGUGUGUGUGUGUGUGUAUACCUAUUUUCAAGUCCUAAUUCUCUCAAAAUUUAAAUUGGAUAACGAAUUAACAAGAUAAAUAAAAGUUUUUAAAUACCACUCUUUUAGAUUGCAUACGGCCAAUCCACUUAAUUAAAAUUUAUUAAAAGUUAAAAAAAAUUGUUGUCUCACGUACCAUCUAGGAAUUAGUCAUCUCUUAAAGAAAGAUAAUAUUGCAAUACAUAUCUUGGAACAAAUUAACACCCAUUAGAUACAAUUUCUAAAGCUGUAAUAGCUUCUAAUAAAUAAUUAAUAUUUCACAAUUGGUAUGAUAAUUAUAAUGUCAAUGCCUUAUAAGCAACAACCAUCCAUGCCAAAAAUAAAUUAUUCUGAAAUUCCAAGAACGAUAAAUUAAAGCAAAUAAAUAAGACCACAAGCCUGGGACAGCCGAGCAAAAAUGGACAAUGUUGCAAGCAAUGUCACAUGCUAAGUUAUUGAUUAUUAAAACUCCAUAUAAUUGGAUAAAAUGUAGGUCCAUUUUUUGCGAUGCUUUUAUAUCAUAUUUCAAUUAUUUCCCUUUGUCUUUUAGUGCAUUUUGAUAUAAAAUAAUUAUUUAAUUAUUAUCAACGUGUAUGGAGAGCAACUGUGAUGAUCUAAAUACUUGAAAAAGGGCACACAACAUAUUAGGGAUGGCAAAAAUCCCCACGGGGACGGGUAUUUUCGGGGAUUUUUCCCAUUCGGGGAGGGUAUGAGGAUAAUUUCAUAUCCAGUUUUAUAUUCGGGGAAGGGACGGGGAAAUUUUUUUACCCAAUUUCUUAUUCGGGGAGGGGACGGGGAUGGGGUGGAAUCCCCAUCCCCUACCCAUUUCCCCAUUUUAAUUUUUAAUUUUAUUUUUAUUUUUUAAAAUUACUAGUAAAUAAAUAAUAAAAUUUGAAUUAUAAAAUUAUAAAUAUUGGUAAAAAUAACAAAUAUCAAAAUAUUUAUAUUAUUAAACUUUUAGGCCUAAUUAACUAAUUAAAGUCCUAAAUUUUUAUUUAGGACAUUAAAAAAACCGGGUAAAUUCUAUUAGCCCAAAAAUUUUGUUUUAAUUUUAAUAUUCAUUAAAUGUUUUAAACUUAAAUCUAUUUUUUAUUUAUUUUUAGAUGUUAUAAUUGCCCACAGCGAAUCACAAUUUUAAUAUCUAAUUUAAUCUAAUCUAAUCUAAUUUAAUCUAAUAUUUACUCUUGAUUUGCUCCGACUUAACUAUUGUGCUGUAAAUGGAAUAAUCCACAUUUAUAAAGUGUCAUGCCACCAUUGAAAAAGUUAAUUUUGAAUCUAAAUUUGAUUUUAUUUGUAAUAAUUUUGUAUUAGACUAUUAAUUCAUUCACGAUAGUUUGUAAAAGAAGUUUGUAUCCCUUACAUGCUGCGUUACUUACUAAUUUAAUGUAUGUGACUUUUGUAAUAGAUAUUAAUGUAAGAUAUAUUUCAAACUUUACUUUUAUUUGAAAUUUUUUUUAUUUUAAUAUGAUUAACUCAAAAUCGAAAACAAAAAAUGUAUUAGUUAUUCAGGGAUCGGGGAUCCUUGGGGAUCCCUUGUUAUUAUUUGGAGAGGGGAUGGGGAUUCUCUCAAGUAAUUCUGACGGGGACGGGGACAUACGCAAAAUAUCGGGGAUGGAUACGGGGAGAUUGGUCCCCUCCCCUCCCCUCCCCAUUGCCAUCCCUACAACAUAUCCAGAAUUGGCUGCAAUUUUUUCAUUAUUAUUGCCUAGUUUAUUGUCAUUAGUCUGUGGCUUAAUCCACUCUUGUCAAUUAUAAGAGGUCCUACAACAAAAAUUGCAAGAAAACAAUCAAUGCGUUAUUUUUUAUUUUGUAGUUGUUGUUAGUUUACAUAGGAAGAGGGAUGAUAUUAUCUGCAACGAUAUGUUUGUUAUCAUUUUAUUGAUGGGGUUGUAGGGCGACAACAAAAAUCUUUCAACGCAAAAUUGAUACACAUUUUUUGCACACUAUAACAAGUGUGACAACACACAUCUAAUCAAAAUCUUAUAUAAGAAUUAAAAUUUUAUUUUCUAAUUAGUAGGAAAAUUAUAUGAUCACGCUCUUGGGACAACUACAUAAAACUAAUAAGCAUGAAUGUUCUUAAGUUUUUAAAAAAUAAAAAAAUUACAAAAAAAUUAGAAAUACUAAAUCAAUUGUACAUAUCAUAUUCCUAUGGAGGAGAAUAAUUGGUUAAUUAAUUAAUUAACACUACAUUAAUAAUUAGUUAAUUAAUUAAGGGAAAAUAUCCACCGUCCACCUGUUUUUUACAACUUUUUAAAAAAUACACAAUUCCUUCUUUUUUUGGCUGGAAUCCACCUAAAGUUACAUUUUGUUUCACUUUUCCACUUCCGUUUGGAAUCCGUUAAGAAAACUAACGGAAACUUAAAAAAUGACCAUUUUACCCUCAAAACGAAAAUUACAAUUUCACCCUAAAAAUGCCAAAAAUAAUCAGAUUCAAUGAUGAAUAUCAUUAUUGGUACGUUAAUGAAGUACAAAAAAAUCUUAACUACUAGAGAUUAUAACUCAAUGAAUAAUAAAACUAUACUUAUCUUAAAUUCAAUUGAUGAUUUGCGAGAUUGGGCUAUUUUUAAUACUACUGUUAUAAUUUAGCAUUCUAAUUACAGACAUAUUAAAAAAAAACUUGCAUUUGAUGGUUGUGGAAUUAAUUUCUUUAUUGACCGAUGGGGAAAAUAAUUAGAUUUAAUCGAAUUAUUUUUGGCAAUUUUUAAGGUAAAAUUGUAAUUUUUGUUUUGAGGGGUAAAAUGGUCAUUUUUUUUAGUUUCCGUUAAUUUUCUUAACGGAUUCCAAACGGAAUUGGAAAAGUGAAACAAAAUGUAACUUUAGGUGGAUUCCAACAAAAAAAAAAAAGAAUUGUGUAUUUUUGAAAAAGUUAGAAAAAAUGGAUGGACGGUGGAUAUUUUCUCAUUAAUUAAUUAACACUACAUUAGAGUAAUCAAUAAUAAAUCUUACACACACACAUAUACAUAUAUAUGUGGGCUAUUGUUUUUUUUUUUUUUUAGCAUUCUUCCAAGGAAUACUAAAGCUUAUCAUUUUGGGAUAUGUGGGCUAUUGUUUUUGUUUUCAGCCCCACUCUAACAUCAUCAUAGGCAAAAGAUUGUUUGUAUCAAAAUCUAUAAUUUUUAAUUCCCUAGGUGAUUGCUACAUGUGAGUCUUUAUGGUCAUCAUUUACAAAUCCCAAUAGUCAAAGCACAUAAAAUGAAAAAAAAAACAAAGAUAGUCCAGCUUUUGUUUUAGGUGAGGUCAGCACAAUUUAAAAACAAUAAUAAAAGUUGCAACAAAAGAAUAAAAAAAUAGAUUAUGGAAGGCAAUUAAAGGACAUCAUAGGGGCCAUUACCGUGAAGAAGAGUAGAUAAGCUAUCGGUGACAGUGGAGAUGACAACAAAAGAGUCCAGAUCUUGGUGAAGGGAGAUGAUGAUAGUGGCUAGUCGAAAAUAGUGACAACAUUGAUGGGAGAAGUUUUGGGAAUGUCGGCAGUGUGUUGGAUCUAGGGAUUUUGUAAGUUAUGUUUGCUAUGUUUUAAUUCACAAUAUUAUGAAUGAAGGGAAAGAGAUGUGAGAUGGUAUUUAUGUCUUUUGUUUUUUAAUUGUUAACAUAAUAUUUGUGUCUCAGUGGCGAAAAAAAUAUUGCAACGAAAUUUAUAUAUAUAAUGGUAGUUAUUAGUAUUUUCGUUUAAUAAUUUUGUUGGGUUGUAUAAACUAUGUACUUAUUCAACCUGAUUGCAAAUCCAAUCAAAUGAGACCCCCAAUUGAUGACCAAAUAUGUUAUCAAUCACAAACUCACACAAUUUUUUUUAAAAGAAAGGAAAAUUAUUAACCAUUCCAAAAAGAGUUGGACUAUUGGCACCCCUUCAUUGAUCUUAUAAAACCCCUGUGAUAUUAUAAUUACAUUUAAAGACAAAUAUAAAUAGAAUUAAUCCCAUUUAUAUUUUCUUUCUCUCUUCAAUUUCAUUUUGCUUGCACAAUAUACAUUUUUGUAAUCAUUAAAAUAAUCUGAAUUUAAGAAGCAAUCUAUAAAUGUUUUUAAUCAUUAAAAUAAUCUAAAUUUAAGAAGCAAAUUUUUAAGCCAAAAUAAUACUCUUGUAAUAUAUGUAGCAACAAAAUUAGGAUACAACAUUGUGAGAAAAUAUAUUAAAUAAAAUUUUAUCUCACUACAAAUAAUUUUUUAAGGAUUCUCAAACUAAUUGUAGCACCCAAAUUUAUAUGUACGAUAAAAAUUGUAUUGGACCCAUAAAAUAUUCAAUAUUUUAUAAGGUUUUUUUUACUUUUUCUUUUAGAUCUUUUUUUAGAAUUUAAAUAAUAAAGAAAGUUUGAAGAGAGGAAUGCAAUUAUUAAGAUUGAAAGAGUGAGAAAAUUAUUAGAAAUUGUAAGACUUAUAAAUGAAAAUAGUGUUUAUUUUUAAAAAGGGUACUUUUGGCAUUAAAUGGAAUAUAAUUGAAAAAGGGGUUUCAAAAGAAUUUUGGAAGGGUGCUAAUAGUCCGACUUUUCCAAAAAUUACACUGAUAUAAAAAAUACUAUAAAAUUUUGAAUUUAUUCAAUUUUACACCCUUGCUUAUAAUGCAUGUCAACCUCCACUAAAGAGACAACAUUGUAUUCACAAAAUGAUAAAAUAGAAUCAAACACAAAUUAUAAUGGUAAUUUUAUUAGGUUAAUUUUAACUUUUUGGUAAACGAUUGUUACACAUUGUAAAGAUUAAGUACAAAAUUGAACGAGUAUGAAUUUUUGUUAUAUUUUUUAUAACAAGGUAAUCUUUGGGUGAAUAACUGAUAAUUUUUAAACAGAAAAAAAUCACAAACUAACAUAAAAUUUAAAAAACAAAAAUUAAAAAUGAAAUAAUAGAAUUGAAAAUAAAAACAUAAUUAUUCUAGUUUACCUUGAGUAGCCUACUUUCUCAUGAAAGACAUGCUAGAACAAUUUCAAAAUAAAUGAUAUCUUAUUGUAACGACAUGUUCGAUUAACGGUGCCUUAUAGAAGAGAUAUCAUUUCAUUUCAAAGUGCAUCCUUUCACGGUGACAUUUCAUUUGAAAUGGUAAUAAUUCAAUUUGGACCAUUGAUUAAAGUCAAAUCUUGAUCUAGUGGCCAUGAGGGAAGGGAUAUCAUAAAAGAUGACAAUCCAAAUGGAAGGGUACAAUUAUAUCUACAAACAAGUCUUGUUUAGUCCAUAAAAUAAUGAUCAUAACAGUCUUUUCUUAGCCAUCUUUCUUAAAACAAAUUUCAUCAUAUAAUACUUAUUUUAUGCAUCAAAUAUCCAAUAUAAUCCUUACUGCAGGAACAAUAUAUUGACUUUUGGCAGGUUGUGACAUUCAAAAGUGUUUAGGUUUGCUUUCAUUAAUUGUAUCCUAGAGGCGUAUUUUCUUAAUCUAUGUGCAUCGCUUAAUUGGGGGAACAAAUAACGUAUUAACACUACAAGAAAAAUGACCUACCAUGACAGUCCUCUGUGUGACAGUUUUUGGUCUGCAGAGCUACUACGAUAGAUGGAUGAUAAAUUUUUUUUCUAUCAUUCAUUUAUGACAUACUUGUGAUAGAAAUUUCAUCUAUCAAGCACUUAUGAUAGACUGAUGAUAAAUUAUUUGGUUAUCAAGAAGUAAUGACAAGUUUGUGAUAUAAUUUAGAUCAUCAAGUAGCUUUUUUAUUUUGACUUUAUUUCACAAGGUUGACUGAAAAUUUUAAAAUGAAUGAAAAAAAUAAAUAAAGAAUAAACGGUACCGUUUGGAUUAAAAGUUUCUCUUUGGACAAGAAACGACACCGUUUAGAUUGAAGCUAAAUAAAAACAAAACCCUCUUCAGUUUUCACUAAUCGAAUUUUUUUUCCCUAAGUGUCGGCACUCUCACUCACUCUCGUCUCUCGCUCAGUCACUCUCGUCAAUCUCACACUCACAAAGCCCUUUUCACCCGAAAUCCUUGCAUGGGCACUGAACCACUGCCGCCAUUCUCUUGUAUUUGACUAUCAAUUUGGCUCUCACCGAGAACUAUAUGGAAUACCCACCAAACGCAUGUGCUACUACUAUUGAAUUUCAAUACCCUAACUGAGAGCCCACGCUCACCCACUACUGUAACCGUUCGAUCAAUACAGGUAAAUAAUAUUUCUAGUGUUGUGUUCCAUUUCAAUUUUAAUGUUCUUGUCAAACUCGAACCCUAUAUAUGUAAACUUAAAAACCCUAGAUGUGUUCUUGUCAAAUUCGAACCCUACACACCUAAAUCUUGUAAAACCUAGAUGUUUUCUUGUCAAAUUUGAACCCUGUACGUGUAAAACUUGAAAAUCCUAGGUGUGCUCUUGUUAAAUUUGGAUCUAUUUGAUUGGUCUUCUAUGUUUUUUUAUUUAUGGAAUUUUAAACAUUUAUUUGAUUUUUUUGGAAUUUAAUUAUUAUAGUUUUAUUGUUAAAUUAAUUUGAUUUAUGCUGUAAAGAUCCUUGCCAAUUUAAUCGUGAUGGGUGUUGGGAUAUUGUCUAGGCUGCUUUAUCAUUGGGGUUUUCUAAUAACUAAUUUUUUUUUUCACUUUUUUGUGGAUGCAUGGAACUAUAUAUAUAGAUAAUUCUCAAAUUCGUUCACUGUGAUGCAAAGUCUUUUUUUUUCAAUUUCAUUGGUUAAAUUCACUAAUUCGUUGAAAUUAGUGGUGAUUGUGGGCCGAGUCGCAUGUGCAGGAAGUGGUGUCAGGUCUGGGCGCACAUUGAGUCAUGCACUUGGUGGGCAAUUGGUAUUGUUUCUAUUGUGUGUGUUGGAAAUAAUGUCAAUAUCAUCCAACCAAUGUGUGUUUCUAGUGGCUGUUUUUGCACCGAGCAGAUAAUUUAUUAUUACAUCAGAGUUCCCCAUCCCUUGUUUCUCUUUUGGGUAAUGCAGGUAUUGACUAGUUCGUUUCCAUUUUCAUUUGUCUUGAGGGAAUGUUAUCAAUUUUUCGAUCUUACAAGAUAUUGAUUGAUACAUAUGUGUACAAUACAUUAAAAAUCGUUAAACAUUUUGCUCUUAGUUACAAUUUUGAAUGAAUGUCACAUGGAAAGAUCCUCUAAGAAUAUCAAUAGUAUUGUGGUUUCUACUCAAUUUCCACUCUCCGCACUCAUAUGAGCAUGGUUUGAAUCUCAAGCCUUUUGUACCAUUCAAAAAUUUAUACCAAUUAACAACAUAGCUUGCUAGCACCACAAAUUGUUUCAACUCCAAGGCAGAGAAUUCCUAGAAGAUAUAUACAUAUUGAUAUAUACUUGCAUGUAGCCGUAUGCUCACUACCUUCGAAUUGGGGAUAUAGUCACUAUUUUUGUAUUCCCUCCAAGUGUUUGAUAAAAAGCAUGAAUGAAUCUUGGCUCUUUAAUUGUUGCAGGCCAUUUCUACCUAUGAGGAGCGAAGGAAUAUGAAGCUUAUUAUAUUCAUUCACAAAGCAAAGCUGAUACAAUUCAUGGCAAAGCUUGAUGAGGUGUUGUAUUUAAUCUUGCUCAUGAGAUCAAUUACCUAUCUUGUUGGACUUUAUUCUUGUAAUUAAGGUCCAUCCAAAGUUGAUGGCUUGUUUGUCAGAAAGAUAAUCUGAAGGCUAUGAUUGAUUACUUGCGGGCCGAUGGAAAUGUCUCCAUGAUUGGUUUAUGAGGUUGUUAAAUUACUAAAUAGGUAUAUUUACUUUUCAUGAGCUUUAUCUUCGUUUUUCCAUUAUGGAAAUGUCUCUAUGAUUGUAACUUUUAACACGUGGAACUCUUGAACCCUAUGUUUAGUUAUAUACUUAUAUUGGGACUUGUAUAAAUUAAUAUGAUGGUUUUAUUAUUAUUAUUAUUAUUAGUAGUAGUAGUAGUAGUAGUAGUAGUAGUAGCAGCUACAAAAGAUCAAAAGAACUUAAAGGUGUGGCUUGUGGCUUUCUUGCUGUUUGGGCUUUAACUGCUGCCUCACUUGUCAUUGUUGCUAAUCUGGUGUGCCACGUCCAUUUCAGUGUAAUUACAUAAGUUAGUUUGCUUGAUUAAUUAAUUAAUUAGUUAGUGGAUUGAAUAGCCAGAGUACUACAUUUUGCAUAGGUCUGAUGCUGGAUGAAUUUUCAUGUCUUGGCUUUGGGGCUGCUGGAUUUUGCUGCUGGAAGACUAGAUUUUGCAAUUUUGUUGCUGGAAGACUACAUUUUGUGUAGGUUUGUUGCUGGAUGUUGCUGAAUGCGGAUUACUUUGCUUGGUUUUGGAUUGGCCUUUGUUGUCUAUUGGCUCGACUUUGGAAUAUGGAUUAACUAAUGUAAUGUACUUUGGAUAUUUUUAUGGUUAAUAAAGUUCACUAAUUUAGUUCAUUAGUUUUGGAUUUAAUUGCAUUUAGUAAUUUAUUUUCUUUCAUAUAAUUUUAAUAAUUUUAAUAAUUUUAAUUUUUAAAUUUCAUAAUUUUUAUUUUAAAUUAAUAAAUAAAAUAAAUAAUCAAUUUUUUUUAAAAAAAAUGUGAUAGAAAAUACUAGUCAUACACACAAUUGAUAUCCCAAAAAAAAAUACAAUCCAAAAAUUUCUAAAAAAAUGAAAAUAAAAAAUAAAAAAAUAAUUUCCCUCUUCUAAGUAGUAUGACAUAAUUAUGAUAGGUAAAAUCUAUCACAACUUGUGACGCGAUUUUAUCUGUCAUCUUUUCUUGACGCUGGCUAUAAUGACGGUAAGGAUAACCGUCAUCUACCCCCUAAGAUGACAGUUUUUACCUAUCAUAAUAGGCCAUUUUUCUUGUAGUGUAAGAAAAGCGACAUUUGUAACAUGCCUUAAAGUACACAUUAUUUUUCUACAGUUUACCUAUUACUAUUAUUUUCUUUCUACAUACAGAGUUGUAAACACAUUUCUUUAUAGAACAAAGUUUCACUAUUAUUACUGUAAUUCUCCAUAUUGGCCAUUCCCCAAAAAUAUAUAUCCUAACAUAACAUAAAAAUGAUCUUUUAAGUCCAUGUUUAGUUGGAAGAAACAAGAGAAGAGAAAAGGAAUGAAAAGGAGAGAGGAGAAAAUAAAAUGAGAGGAAAAAAUAAUCAUUCUAAAACUUCAUUGUAUAGUUUAACAUGAAAUUCAUCUCUUUUCUUCUUAUUUCUUUCCCAUCUCCUCAUUUCUUUUCUUCCACUCUCCUUUUAUUUAUUCAAAUCAAGCAUGGCUCCCACGAUGACCUUUUGGAAUCUUCCACUAGUCAGCCAUUUCUAGAUUUGUUGCAACAAACCCAAAUGUUUUCAGCCAAAACCAAACAUCUUAAUAGCCUUUGAGCUAUCUUGGCCCACGUGGCAAGCUCGUGCCAUUUCUUUUUAAUACACCGAUAUAUUACAAUUAAAAUCUUACUGAUAAAAGAAAAAAGAAAAAAAAUUUCAGGGCUACCCUUGAUAAAUCUAAUAUGAGACAAGCUCAUGCCAUUUUGAGUGAUCAAAACAGCACACAAUGGUAUUUGUCGUUUUAGGUCAUGUUUGGUUUGAAGAAAAUGGAGGAGAGGAAAAGAGUGGAAUGGAGAGGAAGGGAGAAGAAAUGAAUGGAGAAGAGUAGUGAAAUUAGAUUUUGUUGUUCGGUUUGAUAUAAAAUUUGAUAAGAAAAUGAAUUAUAAUUUUUCUCUUUAGACAAAUUUAUCCUUUACCUUAAAUAUUAAACUAUAUAUAUAUAUAUAAUAAAAUGGCGGUCCGGUGGCCGGCGGCGGAGGUCUGGCGACUUUCGGUGAAGUCCAACGUUGGUUUGGCGACCAUCCGGCGAGGUCCGACAGUGGUCCAGCAACCUUCCAGCGAGGUUCGGCGGAGGUCUGGGACCUUCCGGCGAGGUCCGGCGGUGGUCUGGUGACUUUCCGGUGGAGGUCCAUUUAUAAUAUUAAAUCAAUAAAAUAAAUUUAUAAAUAAUAAUUAUUAAUGGCAUUAAAUAAGUUAAAAAGUUGAAGGGUAAUUUUGGAAACUUUGGUUUCUAAUAUAAGAAGAAUUUAAAUUCUUCACUACUUAGUGUAGAAUUCAAAUUCUACAUUAUGAUGGCUAUUAAAUUCUAAUGGAUAUUAAAUUCUAAUGGAAAUUAAAUUCUUAUAUAUUUUGUCAAACCAAACAAUGAAAAUAAAAAGAGAAUUUAAAUUACUUUCCUCUCCUACAUUCUCUACUCCCAACCAAACACCACCUUAGGAUAUUUGUUUUGAGUUGUAACAGGUGCAGCGUACAUGUAUCACUUAACGUACUAACGACCUAAUCAGGCAUUUUCUGGAUGUCAUACGUCUGAAUCAAAUCUCCAAUCGCCAUGUUCGUGUAUGGUCGGAUAAUGAGACAUAGAGUCUUUAAACAGAUUGCAAGAUUUCAACUAACAUUAUCUUCUGCUUCGGAAACGUUAAUUUGAGAUCACAUCAUUCAGAUGCACUUCCUAGUACUCGUACAUGCUUUAAGUUUAUUGUAUAAUGUUCAGCAGGAAUUAGAGUGAAGUUAUUCGCACCCCUUCUUUAUUUCCUAUAAAACCCUACUUUAUUUAAAAUUACAUUUAAAGACAAAUAAUAAUUAAACACACUUAAGUUUUAUUCAAUAAAUUACUUGCAUUCAUUAUUAACUCGUUUGUUUUUAAUUUUUAACCUGUCAAUUCGUCCUAUCGAACCAAAAUAAAUUGCAUAAAUUCAUAAUAAUAUAUUGUUCUUUUCCUAUUUCUAAUUAAUUAAAUAUUAUUUUACAUAAAAUAAUAUUAAGGUUUGGGAAUAUAAAAUAUUAGGGUUUGGGAAAAUAGUCAGUCUUAUCUAAUUAAUUAAAUAUUAAGGUUUGGGAAAAUAGUCACAAAGAUCCUCAAGUUUUCAAUAAGGGACACCAAAAUCCUCUUUUGCUAUCAUACCCUUUGAUUUAUAAAUCCAAAAAAUUGACCACAAAAUUUUAUAAUAAAUGGAAAUAUGGCAUUAAAAUAAAUGUAAUAAUACAUACAUUUUAAAAUAAUUUUGAUAUUUAAAAAUAUUUUUAUAUUUUGCAAUCUAUUAGACCUAAUUUAUUAUAUUAAAUUAAUUUUAAUAAUAAAUAGAAAAAUAAUAUUAAAAUUAAUAUAUUAAAAUAAAAAUAAUUUUGAAUAUUAUAAAAAAUAAUUGUAUUAUUAUUAAUAGGGAGAUAUUUUAUUAAUUUUAAAAUCUAUUUAACACAAAUAUUUAUUUAAAAUCUCUAUAAUAAAUACAAAUAUAUUGUUAAGAUAAAUGCAAUAAUUUAAAAUUUAAUAUUAUUUUAAAUAUUAAAAAUAAUUUAAUAUUAUUAGUCUACUAGAUAGAAUAUAUUAUUUAUAUUUAAUUUUGUUAAUUAAAAAACUUCAAAGUUAACUUUCUCAUUACUAAAUUCAAAGGGUAUUAUUGUUAAAAAAUGAUUUUGAUGUCCCUUUUGAAAACUUGGGGGUCUUUACGACCGUUUUUCCAAAUAUUUGGGUUGUAGGUGUCAUUUUCCCUUUAAAAUAUGUAUAAUUUAAGUCAAUAAAUGACAUUAAAAAAUUCAUCAUCAAUAAAUCUUUUUUUUUUGUUUUGAUUACGAGGUAUCCUGGGGAGGGCCCCAACUGUGGGAGACACCUUUAAGCCCGUACAACAACCCAGACUAGAAAUCUCCGCUCCCCAACUGUGGGAGACACCUUUAAGCCCGUACAACAACCCAGACUAGAAAUCCCCGCUCGAACCGAGAGGCACAGGUUCUCCCAACAAAUGAGACUUCCCUACGACUCGAAUUGGGGAGCAAACCCAGUCAAACCACUUAAGGGGACUCCAUUACCAGUGGAGCCAACACUUUGUUGGUAAUAAAACUUUUUUAAUUUUGUGUGUAGAGUGAAAAUAAGAUUGUCAAACAAAAGAAAUAACAAAAUACUAAUUGAGUUUUAUUAAUUAAAAAAAUUAAAAACUAGAUGAAGUAUUUACAAGAAAAAAGGAAAAUUUUUGGAAUAGAAUAAAAACAAAUGAUAAUCGGGUUAGCUUGCACUCAAUCUUGGGAUUGGUUAUACGUGAAGUAUUGCAUGCAUGUCAGGCUAGAGAGAGUGCUUGCUUAAUUAAUAACCAUAACAAGAAAACAUGCACAAAGAAUUUGGAAUAUAUUAGUUGCAUGUUUAACUGUUGAACAAUAAAAUGAUAUAUUACUGUCCAAAAAUAAUAAAACAAAUAAUAAUAUAUUAUUCUUCUUAAAAAUAUACGUAUCCGUCCCUUAGAGUAUGGCUUUGAAUAUAAAUUCUAAAAGUCUGUGAAAAAAAAAGAAAAAAAUCUAGGCAAGAAAGUCACAAAAUAUAACCAUGCGUAUCUACAAAGUGGUUGGCAAGAAACUUUUCAUCAUGUUUAUUCAUGCAAGUAAUGCAGGUGAGAAGUUGAACUAAUUAACAGGAUUGAAUUUUAUUUUUUUUCCUUCAUUCUCUUUGUCAUACCAAACCUUAACUGAAAAACACCUUUUCUCCACUUCUCACAUAUCUAUAAAAGGCCAUUCACAUGAAAACCCAUGCAGUCAUGCACAAAAGCACGUGCAUUAGUUCUUUCAAUUGAUUGAUAUAACCCUAUUGCGCAUCCUCAUCUCAAACUAUGGCUUAUAAAUCUUUUCCAUCUUUUUUCUUAACACUUCUACUUAUUACUUUCUCGUUAAUGUGCAACAAUAUUAAUGCAGUAGGUGCUAGACUUCUCCUCGAGACAGCGUUGCCAGAGAUACCUAAGCCCGAAUUGCCUAAGUUUGAAUUACCACCAUUGUCGAAACCUGAAUUGCCUAAAGUUGAAUUGCCACCACUAUCAAAACCCGAGUUACCCGAGAUUCCAAAACCUGAGCUCCCAAAAGUCCCUGAAUUGCCUGAAAUUCCAGAACCUAAGUUACCAAAGAAACUUGAAGUGCCAGAAAUUCCACAACCUGAGCUACCAGAGUUUCCAGAACCUGAGUUACCAGAACUACCUGAAUUUCCAGAGAUUCCAAAGCCUGAGCUGCCAAAUCUUCCUGAACUGCCUUUUUUCCCUCAUCUUCCGGAAAUUGCUAAGCCAACUCAUUCAACUUCUAAUCCGUAAAUUACCAUGCUGCGUCAUAUUGUUUCAUCGUCGUUGGAUUUCAUGUGUCGUGAACUUUCAUAAAGUACGUUUGGCAUUAUACUGGAAGAUAAAUUAUAUACGCAUUGUGCUUGUGAUAUUUUCAAUUUAUUUUUUCUUUAUUUUUUUACUGGCUGAUUCACGUGUAUUUUACGCAGUGUUCCUUGUCUUCUCUCUUGUAUUAUGUACAAUUAUAUGUGUUUCAAUUAAUAUUUCUUAAUAAUUCAUGAUGCUCUAUGUUAUCUA